rnacentral:lncRNA from 1 species
CCUUCCAACCUCGUCUGCUUAAGCCUGCAGGAAGCAGCGUUUCUGAGAGUGAGAGUGAGAGAAAGAGAGAGAGAGAGAGAUGGCAGGGAGGAGGCAGCUUCUGCUUCUUCUUCUUCUCUGGGGAUUCUUGCAGCUCAUUCGUCUUCCUUAUUCAGGUAAGGCUAUAUCUUUCUCGCACACAAUUUGUCUCUUUUCUUGUGUUUGGUUCUGAUAAUCAGUCUUGGACUCUGAAUCAUGCUCUUGUUGCUGGAGCAGUUUCAAUUUUGAGUUGGUUUUGGUUGAUAGGUCAAACAAAUUAUAGCUCCAGCAUGCAUAAUCUACCUCAUUUUUCUGACUUUUUGUCCAAAUUUUUCCCUAGUUCGAGAGUUACAUCUUCCCUACAAUUCGGCAAGUGCUCUUGUGCUAUGGAAACGGUUUUCCUCUUCGUUUUUCUCUUGUUUCUUUAUACUGUUGGAUGGAAUCUGCUGGACACAAUGGACACAAGGGAUAUGGUUGUAGACAUUUCGGCUCUCAUCUUUUCUCGACUACACGAAGACGAUCAGUCGUUAUUUGGAUGUCGUGUCAUCAUGUGAUGGUGACUCAGGCGUUGUGCAGUGAUAAGAUGACACCUAACCUACUGAUAUACAGUAUACAGAUUACCCAGUGCUGUGGCCAUUUUAUUGCGGAACAAAAGCUUCUGUCUCGUUCAACACUUUUUAACUUUGUUUUUAUAGAAAUAAAUUGUUUCUCAUUCAUGUGAGGUUUGAAAUGUGGUAUUUUACAGUGAAAUCCAUGCAAGAUCAUGUGAGGUUUCUGCUUUCAAAAUAGGGCAGUAGUAGUAUGGUCGUCCAUCUUUUCGCUAUUAGAGCAGCAGUAGUAGUAUGUGCUUAGAGCAGGUACAAUAACAUGCUAUUAGUUAGCUAUAAACAUAUUUUAAUAAAAUAAAAGAUGAGAGAGAAAAGCAGCGGGCUACAAAUUUAUAGCCAGCUGUAUAGCACGUACUUCAAAACGUAGUGUGUGUAUGACAGGUGGGACCAUAUAUUAAUAGUAUAGUAAGCACUAUUGUAUGAACUGGCUAUUAGAUUGGCUAUAUAUGAAUUGGAGCUAUUAGUGGGCUAUACUAUUGAACUUGCUUUUAUACUUAUCAGCUAAAAUUUAAAUUAUUUUGGGUUUUUUCAUCGAAGAUUAUUUUUCAGUCUUUACUUUUAAACCACUAAAAACAUAGAUAUAUAAAAGUUUUAUUUCUAAAUUAUUAUUUGUUUGCAAAUACGCGGCAAAAUGUUUUCACUGAUCACGCGGGAACCGAUUUAUUCACUGCAGCGUCGCAGUCCUUCAUCGGCAUCAACUACGGCGACGUCGCCGACAACCUCCCGCCGCCGGCGUCCACCGCGCGCCUCCUCCAGUCGACGACCAUCACCAAGGUGCGCCUCUACGGCACCGACCCGGCCGUCAUCUCCGCCUUCGCCGGCACGGGCAUCUCCCUCCUCCUCGGCGCCGCCAACGGCGACAUCCCCAACUUCGCGUCCUCGCCGGCCGCGGCCGCCGCGUGGGUCGCCGCGCAUCUCCCGUCCACCUCGUCGCCGGCGAUCUCCGCCGUCUCCUUGGGCAACGAGGUCCUCUUCGCCGACACGUCGCUGGCGUCGCAGCUCGUCCCGGCGCUGCAGAACAUCCACGCCGCGCUGCCGCCCAACUCCAGCGUGAAGGUGUCCACCGUGCACGCCAUGGACGUGCUGGCGAGCUCCGACCCGCCCUCCUCGGGGGCGUUCAAGCCGGAGCUCGCCGCCGCGCUCGACCCGCUCCUGGCCUUCCUGAGCAAGACCGGCUCGCCGUUCCUCAUCAACCCGUACCCCUACUUCGCGUACCUGAGCGACCCGCGGCCGGAGACGCUGGCGUUCUGCCUGUUCCAGCCCAACGCCGGGCGGCCCGACGCCGGCUCGGGGCUCACCUACACCAACAUGUUCGACGCGCAGGUGGACGCCGUCCGCGCCGCGCUGGACGCCAAGGGGUACAAGGACGUGGAGAUCGUCGUCGCCGAGACCGGGUGGCCGCACAGCGGCGGGGCCGACGAGGCCGGCGCCACCGUGGGGAACGCGCGCGCGUUCGUCUCGGGGCUCGUGUCGCACCUCCGGUCCAUGGCCGGCACGCCGCGCGCGCCGGGGAAGCCCGUGGACACGUACCUGUUCGCCGUGUACGACGAGGACCUCAAGCCCGGGAAGCCGUCGGAGAAGUCGUUCGGGCUGUUCCAGACCACCACCCUCGCCGAGACGUACCCGACGGGGCUGAUGAGGAACGGCACCGCCGCCGGUCUGGCACCAGCCAUGGCGCCGGCGGCGGCGGCGCCGACCCUUCCGGUCAAGCCAUCACCUGCUCCGGCGAGACUGCCGGGGCAACAACCACAGGUGACUCCAUUGCAGCCGGGCUCGGCGGCGGCGGCCGGGCCUUCAGCCCUGUGCGCGCCGGGGACGGCGACGACGACGGCGAGGGGAGCAGCAGCUGCUGCUUGUAGUAGUCCUAGUGCAGCGGAAUCGCCACGGACAAUGUCAGUGAUCAGCAUAAUUGCAGGCGUGUUGUUAAUGUACCUGUUAAUCUGAGAGGCAGAUGCAUGGAUGCAUUCUCUUGUACUCACAUUUUGUUAAUCAAAUCCUGUUGAUCUUGUCCAAGUAUUGCAUGAAACAUGGCAACUCACAUUCAAAUAACGUACAAUGUUUGUGUACGAACAAUUCUGGAGACAGAAUUGCACGCUGGGCUCAACGUGAGCAGCAUGUUGGGAACAGAAGGUAUAGUGACAGUCAUGCAGAAAGAAUGAUCAUCAAUCAGCUCAAACAUACAACAGUAGUUUGUUGGCAUGCAAAUACACCAACCAACACAGUGAGUAGGGCAGAAGAAACAGCAAUCGUAGGCACCAUCCAACACUCCAAACAGCAUCUCCAACAAACAUCAAAUACUGUUACAACUCUCAACACACAACCAAUGCACAGACAAACCCAGAAAGGCCGGUAUGAUUGUAGCUAUGCUCCGGAAUGAGACACCGGUGAGGUGAUGAAUUGCCCGUCUUUGAAGCUGUGGAUGUACUGUUGGGGCAAAGCAUGUUCCACCUGCAAUAUAAGAACAAUAUCUUAAGCGCCAGACUGUAUAUAGAUUGUCUCUAGAAGCAAGAGGAUAUCGACUGUAAGCCCCUAAUGGUACUGUUUGUACUCAAAAGAGAUGUCUGCAUCAUCAAAGGUGUUUGAUUAUAUUGCCCAGUUAAUGUGCACACCAACAAGGCAACAACUAACAUCACCCACAACAGAUUUAAAGAAUUCCCAAUUGGGUCAUGGUAAACACAUAGACAGAAGAUCAGAUCUUACCCAAUCACCAUCAGUAGCACCACUUGGAACCAUCACAUUGAUUUCACUAGAUUUAGCUGAAGUGAUGGAGGCUCCAAGUGAAUCAUUGCUUAAGUACAAUUGACAUCCAGAUGUGUUGUCGAUUGAUAUUGUUGGUGCUGUACCCUGCAAGUUAAAGAACUUCAGUCUCUGACAGCAACACAGACAAGGGUGUGUUUAGUUCAUGCUAAAAUUGGAAGUUUGGUUGAAAUUGGAACGAUGUGACGGAAAAGUUGGAAGUUUAUGUGUGUAGGAAAGUUUUGAUGUGAUGGAAAAGUUGGAAGUUUGAAAAAAAAGUUUGCAACUAAACACGGUGAUGGUAAAGCUUACGUACCGAAUGGCAAUGAAAACUCACACUCAGGGGUCAGGACAACAGAACACAAAUAAAAAUAGCUUCUAGACAGAAUAAUUUGUUGAAAUUUAUAAGUACUAAAUUCAAAAGGAAAGGCGAUAAAACAUUAAGUUCAAAAACAAGCAAUUAUCUAGUCCCUCGCAUUCUUUUGUGCCAGACUUUGCGCCUCAUCUGCUGGCAGCAUGAUGAGGGUGAAUGUCCAACAUUUCAGUCUUUCGACCUGACCAUCCAAUAGUGAUUUUAUGACAUCGUAUAAUAAUAACUGACCAAGCAAAGGAGAUUAGGAGAUCGGCAGAUUGCUUAAACCUAGAUGAUUCUGGGCAUGCCCAAGCUUGAUAUUUCUAAAAUUAGAUAAAGGUCAAAUCCUAAAAGUAUGACAAGCAAUCCAGAACACACACAAAAGCGACAUCCUUUUAGAGAGGGAAGAGCAGUAAUGUAACCAGAUAGAAUACUCCUUAACACUGUUCACACAUUUACAGUUAUGAGUAUAGCAUUCCAAAACUGAAUACCUGGCAUUGCACCUCAACACCAUUGCAAUUGACAACUUCAAAAGCUGCUACAACAUGCUGAAACAUUCGGUAAACAGAAUUUAGUUUUGCCACAGUAAUAGAAUAAAAUUUAGCUCAGGGUUAAAUUUGGUCUCAACAGUUUAAACUAACCCACUAACCUUGAAAACGAUUCCAACUUUGGUGCAUUUGUCAACAGUGAUAUUGUUCACUUUACCUGCAAAAUGUUUUAUAAUUGUUAUGACACCAAAUAAUAUGGGAGAACGUGAUAUGUAAUACGUUACAUAUCCCAAAUAAAGGUGUAUAUUACCAUUUACUUGAAGGACAGAAUCCUUGCAUCCAUACACAUAUACAGAUUGUCUAGCAUCACAAUCAUCGAUUGCAAGGUUCUUUUUACCAACUUGAUUUUCGACCACCCAUCUGCCAUUUUUUUUAUAUCUCAGGGAAAUAUGAACAGAAUAAUCAACAAUAUAUAAUAUAAGCACAUUUUAUCAGAACAAGAAAAUUAUAUGGCGUCCUUCUGACUAUAUGUCUAAAUGAGUAAAUGAUGCAAGGUCCUUCAGACUGCCACGGUGCCACCAUAAUAAAAUAAAUGGUUAUUGUGUCUUGGGAAGCUUCAAUCAUGUGGAAUUAUAUGAAUUUGUGGCAUAUAACAUACUACUCAAAUUUGAAAUUAACUAGAUGUAUGUAAUUAAUUCUAUUUGCAAUACUUAUCUUGUACAUAUAAUUUAACUAUAUAGAAAUGUAUGGUUUCAAGCUAUUUGUCUACCAAAGCCCCCAUUCUUGCAACUUCUGUACCAACUCACUAAUGCAACCUAGCUAACCAGAAACGAGGCUUCCCAGAUAAUCCUCAUUGUUGGACCUGGUUGGUGUUCAUGCAGCCAUGCAGGCCAUCAAUCAAACCCAUACUGUACCAAUUGACAGUAUAUACUAGAGUCUUAGAUAGUAAUCUAUUUGGUGUUUUGUUUAAUAAUCAGGGUGAAGCUCACUUGCGCCCCAUCUGAAGCUCCAAUUUUGGAGGCCCAGACUUGAAGGAGAAAGACCCUGCACGAGAGGUCUUCUCAGGAGCAGCAGCCGGAGCAGCAGUGCUGCUGCUAACAACACCACUUCUAUCAGACCGGUUUUUAGUCUUCAUGUCAUCAGUAACCUUUCGCAAUCCUGCAAAACAGUAAUAGGGCUGUCACAGGUCUGUUUUUCAGUAUUGAUAACAAAAACAAAAGGGAAAAAAAUGUCACAAAAUAGAUGAAUCACGUGUUUUCAUCUACCUGUGGUCACAGCUUUGCCUGAACUAAUCUCCUGAAAGACAGCUGACAUUCCUUCUUUAGGCUGUGCAGAUUUAGGAGAUUUCUCUGUGGUAAAAAGGGGUGCCGAAGGUAGAGCAGGUGGAGGGGGAGCCUUAGCCCCUGGUGCUUUAGGAGCUGGAGCAGUAGCCUUUGGUUGGGAUACAGGUGCACCUCCAACUGGACCCCAGGAAGGACCAAGAGGGUAAUGUUUCUUAACAAAAUCCCGUAAACCAGGCAUGUAUAGCUCCUUCAAAGCUUUAGCCCACUCAACAUGGUCAGCAUCUUUGUUCCUGUACUCCACAAGAACCUAAGAGGAAGAUUAAUGAGCAUUCUUCAAAACAGUAUAAUUAUGUGUAUGGUUCUGCAAUUGAAUGAGAUAACUCAGGUCAAUGAUUAAUAUCAUCAUCGCGUACUCAGCUAUAAGGAAUACUGGAAAAACAGGUAAAAAAAACUACUACUAUGUUUUUCAUAGGAGUAGUUGGUUUCUUACUUGUCAGGCUAAUGGUGAAAGAAAUUGUUGGAUGUCGCGCACAUUUUAUUAUGUGAAACACUUUAUGAUAUGCAUAUAACAAAAUGCAUUAUUUCCCAGAAACUUGAGAGAUACACAGACUGAAGGAAUAAUGAAAGGUGACAAAACAGCCCUACUUCUCACCAUACGAAAGCCAUUCUCAUCGCGAGAAUGAUUGUCUAGCAUCCCUUUCUAAAAGGAGAAAACUUUGAGCAUUCUGACCAGGCUUCACAAUUGACGCAUUUUGUGACUUUACAUACUGUAGGUAUAAAAUAUGGAGAUAUUUAACUAUUUGCCACUCUUACAUGUGGCGUUUAACAAUUUGCCAGCUGGACCCACAUGUCUAUGGGUGGCAAAUUGUUAAAUGCUAAAUCUAAAAGUGGCAAAUUGUUAGUAAAGCAAAUAUAGAAAAUGGUCGAAUAAAAAAAGUGUACCUUGUUAUUGUAGAACUCAGCCAUCUGCCAACUUUCUUCAACAUGUGCUGUAGGGAAACUCAUGCCUUGCAGAGAAGAAGAAUGGGAGAAAUAUUACAGAAUGAUAUAUAUGGUAGUCGGCAAGACACCAAUGCUAAAAUCCAAACAUAACAAAUUUACUAACCACAAUCCUUUCCUAGGAAGCCAACCCACGCCAAAGCAGUGAGACUGUCGGCAACACUCUUGAUAUGGUUGAAAUAGUCAGGCCUCCUUCCUUCAGUCAUCGCAAUUGCUUUCGCAAUAACAUCAUUCAGCGGCUUAAAGAAGUCUUGUGCAUCAGCCAUUGAUGCAGGUUUCUGCGCAACAUUAGGAAAAAAAAGCUGAUUACUGAUGCAAGAAUGGGCACCUCUUCACCCCCCCUCGCCCUUAGUAACUGAAUGACUAUGUGUAAUGUUCCCAACUUAGAACCAAUCAAAGUUCAGGCUAGCAAUAAGAAUGGACAUCGCAUUUUUCAGAUCUCACAAUGGCUGAAGUAAUUUUGUACAUAAAUGUUAUCAAUAAUUUUGUACAUAAAUGUUAUCAAUAAACAUGUAAGCACGUCAUCGCACAAUGAACCUCCAGCAGAAUGGCCCUGGCCAUCUCGAUAAACAAAAUACCAAAAUCCUGAAUUCGCCUCCAAAUCUCGGGUUGAUCAGUCAUUCCCGCGAGAUUCCUCCCCGGGACGCACAUCAGAUUGGCCCAAACAGUACGGAACGCCGGGAGAUCUACGCGCCGAGCACACCCAAAAUCUAAGAGAUCAAGGCAGGAACACAUGAGAGAAGCCGCGCCCCGUACCUGGAGCUGCUUGGCCUGGACGAGGCGGUCCUUGGAGACGGCGAAGGCCUCGGCGAGGACCUUGGUGGCGUCGAGCACCUUCCCUCCGAUCUUCUCGGCCGCGGCGGUGAGGCGGCCGACGGCCCCGGCGACGAACUCGUCGUAGGCCACGAUCGCCGGAUCCGACGCCGCCGCCGCCGCGUCCAGCCCGUCCCCGAGGUCCCGCGGCGCCGCCGACAGCGAGGCCCCGGAGGCCACGGCGGCCUCGAGGCGCGCCACCGCCGCCUCCAGCCGCUCCACGAGCGCCUUCUCCAUGGCGGCGGAAUCAACAAGCUAGGUUACUCUUCCUCUCUGCCACUUCUGCUAGUGCUCCGUGCGUGCGCGUCUCUGUGGCGUGGCGCCGCGCCGCUUCCAGCCUUGGCGGAUUUAUGGCUAUGCGCCUUCAGUUUGAGCUUGCUUGCCAGCGCCGCGUUUAUUUUUUUUUCCCUUCGUUUUUUUCCCUGAUUCCUUAUGAGGCGACAAAAUAAUAAUAAUAAAUUAUAUAAUAGAUAAAUACAUGAAUUUAAGCGUGUUAUAAUAAUAAUAAUAAUAAUAAUAAUAAUAAUAAUAAUAAUAAUAAGUUUAAAUAGGUUUUUCAGAUUUGAGAAACGCUUUGAUACUAUUUCGAUCUAUUUGUAAGGACGUGGAAAGGCCAACAUGACAGGAUCAUGGUUGCACAUGAUCUUUGAUUUCUUUUCAAAGCUUUUGGAAUUGAUGAGCUGGGCUAAUUGCCGAAAGUUGAAGGCAAACACCGAAGGAUAGAGGGGUUUCACAACAACAACAGAUCUCUCCCGUCCUUCAGCAUAACAGAGAAAUGUCGGUAAGGCUUUCAGCCCAACGGUCCCAAAUGGCAGACAACAUGCUAGCUCAAAUGGCAAAUUCUUUCUAUACGGGCCAAAAUGCCAAACCAGAAUCAAAAUAGGAACAAGUUCACUUAACGUGCCUAAAUUUUGCAUCGAGUCUAUCGGAGAUCCCCAAUCCGCAAUACCAAAAAUCUCGACCCCUCAACUAUCACAAACAGUGCAGAAAAGGUCAUGAGGUAGUAUUUGUCGGCGAAAUGGGAUCUAGGGCCCCCCAUUUACCGGGAAUAUUGUAGCUCUACAUUUUUGUCAUCAUAACUGGACCCAUGGUCAAGGUUAAUUCCUAGAGAAGCUCGGGGCUCCUGUCUGCCAGGAGCCUAGGCCCGCCCGCGUUUUAAUAUACUAUAUUUAUUCUUCUCCAAGAAGAAUGUCGAUAUGUACAAAACAAAUACACAUAUAAAUAUUCAUAACCACAAGGUAACGAGAAUCCGAGUCCCAGCCUGCCCGGGGACCUGAGCCUCCUCCUGCCCUUGUGGAGAAAGGCGUGGAGACUUACAAAAUCUAUAUCUAAAAGAUAUAAGGUGAGUGGAAGCGAGGAGCUCGGGUUCGCUUGGGCGCCGGACAUGCCAUCAAAACCUAUAAGAUUUACAUCUUAUAACAGCAAAGCCUGGGUCUGGACUGCCCCGGUGCCCUAUAGGCUCCGCAACCCUCUCCCAAAGAGAAGCGUGGAGACGUACAAAACUUACAUCUUGUGUAAGUUUUCGUAAAUGACAUAUUUGAGAAACUAUCAUAAAUAUGGUAAAAACAUAAACAAAGAGAUGCGGGGACGUGGCUCGGGACUGGAUGUUAGAACACAUCCCACAACCAGUUGUAAGCAACCGCUACUACCAUAAACAGGAUAAGUUCGUGGAGAACUCCCACUAACUGGUAUUGAAAAGACCUGGGUGGGUCUAGUGUACGAACGUUUGCAUCUCGCGAAGGGUGGGAACUGGGAAGGACGCGACAGGUGCGUAUGGUUCUUCCGUUCCUAAUUUCCCGUUUUCCUUUUUUACGUGAUUCGUUUCAAUUUUCUGUUAUCCUCUUUCUUACGUUAUUCUUCCAUAACGGUAUCAAAGUUUGUGUUUUUCUUUUUUUUAGCUAUAGUUAUUUUUAUAGCUUUUUUAAUGGAAAUUUUUUAUAUAUGAACUUUUUUUUGGAAACUCACAUAUAAACUUUCUAUAUAUAGAUUUUAUGUGCAUAAACUUUCUAUAUAUAGAUUUUAUGUGUAUAGACUUUUUAUUUAUAAGAGAUGAAUUAUAUUUACAAUUAGAAAGUUUAAUUAGUGUAUAAACUUCUGCACAAUCAAAAAAUCUAAUUAUCAUCGGAUAUUUUUUUAAGAAAUAAAAUCCAAUCUAAACAACUUAAUCUAAUAGGAAACAAUGAUUUGUUUGUCUUCUACCCGAAACACCCUAAUCCUACGUAAGAGCUUCAACACGUCAUUAGGAUUAACGAUAAAACGAGCUGUUCGCGAGAUGCGAACGUUCGUACACUACACCCACCCGAUGGAAAUAGCACAGGAGGAAUAAACGAACAGCGGCACGCCUCCAUCCUGGAGGUUAUCUGUAUCGUCGCCGCGAAUGGCCGAGAUGAAUGAAGUAUCUCGAUCCGUAGGUGCUUCGAUAUAAUUUUCAUCAUAAAAAUCUCAUCUACAUCAACCUCAAUAUCAUUGUCAUGCUAACAGUAACUAGUAGUAAGAACUAACAAGUGUAGUAUCAUUAUGAUUUUGAGACGUUGGAUUUGAUAAAUGAAGUACGAAGGAUGUAUGACUGUGCUGGUGAACUAUAGGGUAGAUUAUAGUAGGGGUAUAAAUUUGCAAUACUCGAAAACAAAAAUGUACUACUUUUAUAAAUCUCACUAUUAUAAAAGUUGAAUAUGUUUUUGUCGAUUGUUUGGUACGUCAUCCGAUUCGAGUACGAAUAAGAUAGUCCGACUUCAAAUCCGUAUCCUAUUCAAUCGCCAUAAAAAAAAGUCUCAAAUACAUCUACAUGUAUGUCUCGAAUUUGUUGCUCGCAUGUAUUGAAGAAGAGAACAGGUCAUCAGAUCGAUUCGUGCUAGAAUAUACCGCGCAUAUGUAAAUUUCUCUUUAUUAGUUUAGAAAGAAGCGCAGCUAGCAUCGGCUGCAUGCUCUUCCUGAUCCGAUUGUGAUAUGGAUAAGAUGAUACAGCUUGGCUAUUUUUCAAAGGUUGUUGCAUAAACACCCAUGUAGACAUAUCUUCAUGUUAUUUCUAUCAUUUAUGAAUUUGGAAUAUUACUAUUAUGUUUUUAUGAGAUUUUGCGAUCGCAAUGCAAUAACCAGCCACGUGAGACAAUUUCGCAAGUCAUAAUGCUCAAAUACUGUUUAAAAAUAUGUCACGAUUUAGUUUUUUCGUUGCAACGCACGAGCACUUUUCUAGUAUAUUAAAAGAGAAACAAAAGAAAAAAAAAUCAGCACAGCACAGGUGUUGGGCUAAGUUAUAGGCCUAUAAUGGGCCGGCAGGCUGUGUGGAGGAAGAACCGAGGAGAGAGAGACCAAGAAACGAACGGAGCCGUAGGAUGGAAAGGAACGGUGGAUAUGAGAGAAGUGCACGGCCGCCGCCUCGCCCUCCUCCCCUAGCUAUCACGACUUCUUCCUCUUCCCCAAUCCACGCCGCCGCCGCCUCCGCUCCUCCCCUCGAGAGUCGCAACCUGCCCUUUCCCAAUCUCGCCGCCAAAUUCUCCGGCGAGACGGCCAUGGAGGUCCCACCUUUUGCUCGCCCCAAUCGAGCCUCGCCGUUGGCUUGGGAAGCGGAUUUCCUCGAGAGGACAAAUCUCACCAUGUCGACGGUGGAGUACGCGCUUCCUACCGCAAUCAUGACGUCGCCAUCCUUCGUCGCGGAAGGCGCUGGAGGAAGCCAGAUUUGCGCCAUGUAUUCCUUUCAAGCCUUCAGUGAAAUGAUAAACGAGAGGAACGCUGAGCCCGGGAUGAUCGACGUCUUCCUACUCCCCCAUCUUCCCCUCAAUGACGUCUCCGAUGUGUACGACCAGAUCGGCAGCGGCGACGCCCCCUACCGCAUCUCAAAUGGCCCCAUGCUUCUCAACAAGGUCAAUGCUUAUCGCGAGCUGAUUCGCGUGGGUAAAGAGCUGGCGCCUCUGGAGGGUCUCAUGAAAAGCCUUGAGGACGAGCUGCUUGUCCGUCUUAAUAGCAUUGUCUCUAUACUCAAAUCAGAUGGUGAAGACAUCCCGUUGCCACUUGACAUGUCUGCAGCAACUCAGCUUCUAUUCAAGUGGGAAUCUGAUUUUGUCGAGGCCUGUGAGAUGGCAACGAAGGCCAGACGCCGCCUCAUGCUGGCAACUCUUCUGGCAAUGUUCUGGUCCUCCAGUGACGACUUUGUGGAGAAUGAAUUCUCAGUCAGGGAGGGUGAUGCAAUCUCCAUGAGUCAUGUACAAGAGACUCUCCAAAGGUUGGCUCCAGAUCUUUACCAGAAUGUGUUUGGCGCCCUCAAUGAGGUACACUAUACAGAGGAUGGAAGGCCACCGAAGAGUGUAGUUGUUUCGCUCAAGAGGCUAAUUACAGAGAUCACAUCCGAGAUGACACCUACUGAGUUCGUAGCAUUCUCACUGGAGACGAGUCGCAGGGACUUGAUUCACCAGCUAAGUGAUGUGUCCCACCAGGAAUUUCGCUUGAAGGUCUUGAGGUCUCUUCAGUCUGUGGCAUCUGCUUUAAUCCACCUCCACAUGCUGGAUAAAGAGAUGUUGGAGCCCCACCUCUCACGGCCAACACUCUUGGGGUGCAAAGGUAAAAUUUAGCAUUAGCAUUGUUGAUGCUAUGACGUGUACGGCCCUGGAUCGUUUGUAACUAUCUUAUAUUGUGUGUUCUAGAUUAUUCACCGCUAAACCAGGAUCCAUAUUGGCCCCAUUUUCAAGUUUUAUCAGAUGAGGAAUUAAGUGUUGAAGUCCGUCGAGGCUCCCUGCCAAUGUUCUGAGGUAACACUUUGAUUGUUACUUUUGUUCCACAAAAAUAUGCUAUAUUGCAGAAAUGGACUGGUUUCAAAAGUAUUUGUAUAAAUAUACUAUUUUUAUACUGGGCUUGAAAGACCGGUAUAAAAAGAGAAGGGGUAGCGAGCAGCCGUAAAGAGUAGAAUGGUAGCGGUUUAUGAGAUAACAAAAAGUAUAAAAGAAAAUUGUAAAGAGUAUUCUCCUCGCAUCAGGAAUUCGAGUCAUUGUAUGAUCCAUUUUGCUGAGUAUAUUCCUUCACAAGUGUGGUUUGUGCUUUUAUAGUCUCACGUCUCAGCAGUCAGCACUAAAGUACAAAUGUGAUAGUAUAAUUGAAGAUUUUCUUAUCAUGCAUUCGUUCCUAUAUGCAUCUUAACCUUUCUGUCAAAUAAUUGUUUGUCUCACUUUUGAGUCAUUUUCCUGACUGUUUAUUGUCAACUUCGUUCAUUUGUAUAUGCAUUGAGCAGAGCAGAUAGUCUUCUUCUCUUCAAGACAAGACAUUUGUCAGGAUCUCUCUAGGUCAUUGAGGGCUAGCAUAUUGGUCAAAACAAUGUAAAAGAACCUCUUAAACUGCAUAACAGAAAUUUCAACUCUAAUCCCAUCAACUAACCCUGUUUAUGUAUAUAGUUAUUCCAUUAGUUUGUUGCUACUCUUAAGACAUGGCUUUAUUUUUUUCUCAUUGGCUUGCCUUUAUGAAGUGGCGUAAAAGUUGAAUACCCUAUGUAUUGUAGCGGUUAUGCAUAUUGUUUUGAUAUGCGAUGCCUGCUAACGUGUCUUUUGAAUAUAGCAGAAAUCUAUGCUGUGCAUCUACUGAUUUAUUCGGUGUUUACUGAGAUGCUAUGUUUACUUUUUUGUCUACCUUACGCCUGUCGUGCAGGUUUGAUUUUUGUGCAAAAGGAGGUGAAGAACUAGAGGAAAGUGAAGAGGAGAGAAAAGUCGAUGUUGUUUGAAAGCUUCAUGCCAUAUUGCGCCCCUUCCUUCUAAGGCGGAUGAAGGUGGAUGUAGAGCAAAUGCUUCCAUGAAAGAAAGAGAUAAUCAUUUAUGCUAACAUGACUGACAAUCAGAAACAAAUCCAAAAUCACUUGGUUGAACAAACAUUUGAUGAAUACCUGCAUGAAAAAUCAGAAAUUGGUACGGAUGCUUAUGCACAUAGUCUCCUACACACAUUCCUGUUGGCUUAAAAAGUUAAUCCAACAAGUGCUGAGUAUUGCAGUUCUGUGUGUUGUAACACGAGGCCAACACCAUUCCUCCCAUUCGGUCAAAACACUAACAACAAAGGAGGUCGUGAAGACUCCCAAGUGUUCAAGGCAGAAAGUACCUUUUCGCAUGGUAAAAUACUCUCGAAUGGGAAAGUAUCUUCGAUUCUUCGUGCCUGCCGUAUCUGAAAAUUAAGGUAGAGCUGGGCUUAAAUUUUCCAUCAAUGUUCAAACUGCCAACGGUUCUGCGUAUCUCGGCGUACGGCCGACUUCUAUGUUCUAUCCACCUGACCUCGGUGCACAGCUGCGCCUGCAUGCGUCAGGCCCGCAACGCACAUGACGUUGCGUUUUGCACGAUUUGGUCCACUACUGUUUCUUUUGCGUGGAGGAUAGCCUCAUCAAUCAUCCAAGUGCUUUGCGCCGCGGCACGGAAGUCGAAGUCAUCAUGUGUACAGGUUGUACUCGUAGGAGUAUCUUGCAACUGCAGCUCGUUCAUUAGAUCGAUCGUGUGUCGCCGAUGAUUUUUGCCGUGUACACAGAAUUUUGUAGCGGAACAGGUUGGCUCGCUCUGCUGAAUUUCGUCCCGUCCAUCGCCUAACCAGGCCAGACAUUCGUGACGCAGGUCUGCAGCUGCGUCAUGAAGAGAGAUGCAUGCAUUUCCAUUCAAUGCUGACGGCUCCGCCGUGCUGGACUCGUUCGUGCUCGCCGGCCGCCGAUCGAGUCCGCUCCGGUGAUGCGAAAUAGAAUACCGAGUAGCAAGAUACUCCGUAUACAGCAGUUGUUUCCCUCCAUCCAAAUACUACUAUCCACAUUACCUAAUAAGCCAAAACGCUUUAUUACAAAAUACAAAUUAAUUUAUAAGUAAAAAUUUUCUAUAUGUGUUGUUAGCGAUUUAAAAGUCAAAACUAUACUUAAAAAUAUCUUAAAAUUAAAUUCAAAAUUAAGUUUAAAAAUUUAAAUUUUAGCUUUGAAUUUGGUUUAUUAUUAGAAGCCCUAAGGCUGACGCCUAGUUCAAUAGAGCAACUUUACUCCUUUUCAUUACCAAGUUUCCCAUACUGCUAAACAUUAUGUUUUAUGUAACAAACAUUUAUAUAGAAUUUUUUUUAAAAAAAUCAAAUUAAUUUAUUUUUAAAAUUUAAAUUAAUUAAUCCUAUGCUAACGAUCUGUCCUAUUUUCCAAAUCGCCAUCAACUCUAGCUGUUCGUUUUGGGUGUUGCGUAUGGAAACUUCGUGUCACAUAAAACAAGAUGAAUCGUUAGAACAUGAUUAAUUAAAUAUUAUUAUUAUAAAUUUGAAUUGAGUUUUUUUAAAUAAACUCAUAUGUAAAAUAUUAAAUGUUGCGUAUCGUUUAUCAGAAAUAGUAGCAGCGGUCCAAGUCAUUUCCAGUGUGCCCUCGCUAGUCGGUCUCCCCUGGCGAUGGCUCCGCACAACGGGCGAAGGCCGGAGGCGGGGGCUUCACGCGAUGGCAGCCGGCGGCAGGGGCUUUGCGUGACGGCGGCCGACAGCAACGAUACCGAUGGUGGUGGCUUUAGCUUCAUGCAGCGCUAGCUGAGCAUGGGACUUCACAAGAGAUUAGGCUGGUAAUCCUCCAGCGAUACUACACCUCGAGCUCAGGCGACCAAAAUCGGUCACCUGACUCAGGCCAGUGACAUGCCAGGUUUCAUCAGGCCAGGCGAGUGGAAAGGGGGUUUAGGGUGGCAACCAAACAGAGAGUAAAAUAACUUAGGCUUUUGUCUCAGGCCAGGCAAAUUUUUCUCAGGAUAGCAAUCAAACAAACCCUUAUUCAUUUGAGAGUCUAAACCAGAAUAAACACUUGUGUUCGUAUGCUUAUACGAUCUUGCGUAGGCCAAUGUACCGCGCGAGGCCGCCGACGCCGACGACGACGACGCAGUCCAAGUCCAACGACACUCGUGUAGUCGUGUGCCACUGGAUUCCCUAUUGUUCGUACGCGCGCGCAGUAAUUGGUAGGGUUCAGCCAUUUAGCAAAGGUUUCUCGACCUAUGAUGGACCGAUGGUUGGUCGCUGGGGCGUUCCACCAGCCAAUUUGGCGAGGAACAAAGUGACAAACUUGGAUUGGAUUUGAAUUAGUAGGUUCAACUAUAUGAACAACUUGGAAUGCUCGUGAAAAGAACGUACGGGCCACUAAAGCCAUCAUCACAAAUGAUAAUUACAUAAUUUUUUUAAUAAGAAAAAUGAUCAGACGUAUCUCAGAAAAUCAAAUCAUAUAUUAAAAAAAUGUUUGGGUAGAGGACAAUAUACGCGUAGAAAUGAUCACGUGAAAUAACUCCUAUUGUAUAUAUAUAGUGGUAGUAGUCUCUCCGGGUUCAUAAUUCUGAUCAUUUUGGACAUGAGCAUCAAUCUAAAAAAACUUUGACCAUUAUUUUCCAUUAUAAUAGAUAUAAAAAUAUUAACAAAUAUACGGUUUUAUUAAAGUACUUUUUAAGACUAAUCUAUACAUAGUCACCUUAUUUGAAAGACAAAUAUUUUUAAAAUGAUUCAUAAUCAAAUAUUUUAAAAUUUGCCCUCACCCUUGUCUAAAACAAGUAUUUUAAAGAAAACACUGUUGUGCUGAUAGUAGCUUGAUUCGUUCAUGGAAUUAAUAUAUGCUUAGGCUAUUUAAGACUUUUACAGCCGCAGUACCCCUCAAUUCCCCCAAAUUGUCGUGUCGUGGAACGUUUGUGCUUGCACGAGUGCACGGUACAGGUACAGUGCAGGACCAUGCUGCACAGAGAGGACAUCACGCGUGCUAAUCCAUUGCAAAUUAUUGGAUUUCAUCAAUUUAUUGUAAUAAAUUAUUAGUCAAAGGCAAAGACUGCAUCUUGGAGUGAGCUGACGUCAAAAACCAUAUUUCAUGCGGCUUUAUCUCACAAAACAGUGAGGACACCCUGAAACUCCUGCCUCUUAAGAAGCUCUUUGGCAAUCCUGCGGCCUCUUUCCUCCAACCAAUCAACCGUCGGGAGACCCUUAAUUCUAACCAUCGGAUCCAUGAUCAUACAGUCAAGUCUACUAGCACAACGACGAAUGUGGUGUGCUAGCUCGAUCAGCCCCUGCCAAUGACAGGCUCCAGACAUGACCACCCUCUUGAGCUUGUCAUGCCGAUACGGUAGCAUAUCCACUCUGAUCGCCUGUCUGAUGACGAAAUCAGAGAAGCGAAACUGCACGCAACAAAUCAGCGCACUUGUGAGUUCCAUCGCAUAAUGUUUCCGUCAGUAAUUCAUCCAAUGUUUGGAAUGCAUGAAUUUAUGGAAGAAGAAAAACUAAUUGGAAGGAAAAAAAAAGCAAACACAAAAGUCAAAACCAGAGUGUUUGGAAUCGGGUCGGUGCUGUUUUAUGAGCAGCAGCAACAACAACACCAACAACAAUAAUUAUAAAUUAAUAAUAAUAAUAAUGUACUAAUAUGUUGUCCUCAGAACAGAUGCUAUCCUAACGAAUCUACCCUCAUAAAUCUAAUAGCUUUUAUAUAACAUAUUGUUUUAAUCUAUUUUUAAAAUUUUUCUUAUAAGCAUAGAUUUCAAGAUGAAAACUGGAAGACAUCAAAUCACUCUAACCCUACGGUUUCCCAUUUCAAACUAAAGGAGCACACCUGCAGCUUAAGAAUAGGAUCAUCACAAUUGCCAAUAAUUUUUAUAAGGUGCCAACACAUUUCAAAAUUUAAAGAGUAAAUUUCAUAAAACCCCACCUAUUAUGGUCUAAGUUGCACAGAACCACAUGGAUUUUAACAUGUCACACAUAACCUCAAAUAUUAUAGUCCUAAAGUUUCACAAAACCACGCCGUUAACCAAAUUGACAUACUCCUAUAUCAAAAUUUUAAAAAGAUUUACUUACAUGGAUCUAACAUUUAUAUGAUGGAUAAAUCUCUACUAUUAUAAAAAUUGAAGAUGUUUUUGCCGAUACUUUUGGUACGUCAUUCGUAUAUGAAUCGGUUUUCAAGUUCGUUCGCUUUUGGAAAUACAGAAGGAGUCGUAUAAAAAAUCUCUUUAAAAAUUUCGCAUGCUAACUUGAGAUGAUUGGACUCCUAAUUGCAGCUCAUGAUUUUCUAGAAAAAAAUAUAUAUCCACGAGAAUUCUCAGAGUGAUUUUCAUCUUAACUAAACUAGAGUAUAUAAUAAUAAUAAAAUUAAAAUAGCCUUCAUCCGUUGCAACGCACGGGCAUUUUUUCUAGUAAAUUAUAAAUUUGAGAUGUGAUUGUAGAACUAACAAAUGUGGUAAAUCAAUGUUGAAAUGAUCAAAAUCGUGGUUUUGUGAAACUUUAUGGCCAUAAUACCUAAGGUUAUGUGCCACAUGCCAAAACCUUUGGGUUUUGUGCAACUUAGACCAUAAUACCUAGGGUUAUGUGAAAUUUACUCAAAUUUGAAACAAUCCAAUAUUAUAUAUAGACUCUGUGACAUAAAUGGGAUGAUACCAUUAAAUAUGCAUAUGAAAUUAUUCCCAUAUUAUCAUGACUUUGUAAUUACAAAACAACAGUACAAUGCAAAAGAAAGUAACACUCAAAGGUCAAAUUGUAAUUGUGGCUUCAAAAUAUUAAAAGAAGGAAUGGUUCUAGAACAUUAUGCCAAUAAAGAAUCCAACAGGCUUCGAAAUAUAAACAAAAUUGUAUUGUAUCACAAAAUAAUAAGGUAAUAAAGCAUGGUAGUCUCUAAUUUCCAAUAGAUAGAAACUUUGUUACCCUUUUGUAUUUUUCAACUAUAAGAUCAAAAUCGACCAACUCCAAAUUUAAGCAAUGUAGUUGUAGCUUUAGAUGAAUGAAAAUAACAAACAUACAGGAAAUUGAAAAAUAAAAAGAUUUGUUUUAGAUGAAUGAAAGAAAAGUAGGUAAUAGAAAAUAACAAGGAUGACGCUGUGCCACCACAAAAAUGUCUACACAUAAUGCAUGUUUAAGAAAUUGUGAACAGAUUUUGAAGUUGUCAAAGCCACUCACGUGCAGUUCCAGUUCCUCUAGAACUGGAGCGAGCUCCAAGAGGUAGGCCAAACGAAGAAUCCCACCAACUGACCUGCCGUCCCCAUAAAGAGGCAAAUACAAGCUCAGAUGCCUCAAAUUGAUGAAUCUCACUGAGGUUUUGGCAAAACUUUGCAACUGAAACACAACCAUGAUAGUCAAGGUAUGGAUGAGAUGACAAACAGAUGUCUAACUGAUUAAUGAAUUUAGUUGCUUUCAGAAAGAGAUAAAACCUCAUCGUAGAUGCAGAGUGUCGAGGUAAUGGAGAGUUUCUGCACAUGCGGAAGAGCGGCAGGAAGCUCGGUGCAGAUGUAGUCCAGAUUAUCACCAUAAAGCACGCUCUUAUGUAGCAGUUUAAUGUUUGCCUCCAUCACCUUCAGAGAUUCACUUAGUGCCAACGGAAUUGGCCGAUUGGUCAAAUCGACCGAUGUGAGGUUUGGAGCUUCCAGCUCAACCUUUUCCAUGUAGCAGUAGUGCAAAGAAAGAUAACGCAGACGGCGCAGUGGCUUGCACAAGGUUAGCUCAGUGAAGGAAGAGCAGCUGAUGCUCAGCCACUCAAGAGCAGUGCACUCCGACAGCAUCAGAUGUUGGAAGUCAUUUAAAAAGGAAACUUUGUGCAGGGUGAGCUUCUUGAGGUUUGCAAAGCCAGUGAAACCAGUGGUUGCUGUGUUCAACCAGACGUAGCUCAGAUGAAGGGAUUUGAUAUGAGCAGGGGAGCGGUCAGGGACACUGAAAACAUGCAGGUGGAAGAUGUACUUUUCAUCAGCUAAGCCCCUGAAAAUACCCUUCACUCCAGGAGUGAAAUCAAAAGUGAUGUGCCUUGCUCUCAACUUGGAGCAGAAGCCAACCCAUCUGUUGACAUGGCAGGUAUGUUUCCUGCGCAGCCCAAACUUAACAACAAACUUAUUCAGGGUAGGAGGUGCACAUAGCUGCCGCAAAAGACUGUUGACUCUCCUGGCAAAGUUGGUCCUUGUACGUCUUAUGGUUUUAUUCCCAGGCUUGAACAUGGUGGCCCUGGUGAAGAUCAAUUUCGGGCAGCAGCUUCUCCACAGUUUCUGCCACUUGCGAGAAAGAAGGCCCAUCCGUGAGGACUCUCUGAAUGUUAAUCGAGACAGUAUGCGGUGCAGGACAUCCUGCACAUUCGUAGGUAGCAUGUUACGGAUUAAUUACCGAGUAAACUGAUUCAUUACUAAGUAAAGAGUUCGCUCAUUCUCUGGAAUCAUUUAGCAGAUGUGUAAGUGUGAAAGGCACAUUGAAUUAAUUGCUUACAUCGGGCAGAUGGUGAAGUUGCAGGGCUUCUGGCUUGGUCAUGGGAACAGAUUUAUCUGGUAUGAACAUGCCAGAUCAUGAGAAUACAAAGAUGUAACUCCCAAAAUAAGCAUUGGGUAAUGCCUUGCUUGGAUGCCUCCCCCCUCCCCCAAAAAAAAAAAAAAGUACAGUUGAACCCAAAAAGCUUUUUUGGGAACAAACUGUAAUUAGUACUGAGGUUAAGGCAAAGAGAAAAGCUUCUCAGAUCUAGAACAGAACAUAAGGUAAGACAGAAAAGGAGGAUGUGCGUACAGGUGCUCACCGGCGACGAGAGGAUGCAGCUGAAGGAAGCAGCACUGCUCGCGGGAUGGAGAUUGGUGCAGGUGGCUGGCGAAGUCGUCACGAGACAGGAGAGAGUCGAGGCAGAAGAUGCAUCAAUACACCACCCAGAAGCCGUUUCGGUAUUGGAUAUCAGAAAAGAUACAGAUCAAAAUAAUUUUCGAUACGGCUUUGAUACGGAAUCGAUCCUUCCCUCCGGAAAAAAUCUCGAUUUCGAACCCCAAAAUUCUUCUCUUCACCAAAAAGAAGAAACAGAAAAACUCCUGACACACUAAAAAAAAUCAAAGCUGCGACAAACUUUCCUGGUCGCGUCGGGGAGGAGCGGCGUCUAUAUUCUGAGAGCGUAAGGCUGCCGGUGAAGAGCCAAUCCCAGUCUCCUGUCCUCUUCUCACUGCUCCACUUCCCUCCCGAGAGCUUCUUCCCCUCCCGGCUACCCUCAGUAGUCCUUCUCGAUCUGGCCUGAAGGUCACCGGUGGCAAUCCCCAGCCGCCAGAUGCCACUCCUCCCCGACGCGACCAGGAAAGUUUGUCGCAGCUUUUUUUUUAGUGCGUCAGGAGUUUCUCUGUUUCUUCUUUUUGGUGAAGAGAAGAAAGAGAAGAACUUUGGGGUUCGAAAUCGAGAUUUUUUUUUCCAGAGGGAAAGAUCGAUUCCGUAUCAAAGUCGUAUCGAAAAUUAUUUUGAUUUGUAUCUUUUCUGAUAUCCAAUACCGAAACGGCCGCUGGGUGGUGUACGGUGCAUCUUCUGCCUCGACUCCUGUCUCGUGGCGACUUCGCCAGCCACCUGCACCGAUCUCCAUCCCACGAGCAGCGCUGCUUCCUUCAGCCGCAUCCUCUCAACGCCAGUGAGCAACAGGCAAAUCAACAAAAUUAUGGGGAAUGUCAAAAAAAUUCAAAUUCAAGAGGAACAGGCAGUGGACAGAUAAAGCAAGAAAGAAAUUUACGAGAGAAGAUCAGAGAGUAUACCAGCACUUUCUUUGCGCUGCUGGGGAUGCUUGACUGCUUGAGACGAUGUCAGUUGUGGACGGCGGCACCCUCGGCCUCCACUGCCCCUGCCCGAAUCUCAAAGCUUGGGAGGUGAGGCUGGGCAAGACCUGGUUACCACUGCCCGAGACUUCUAACUGCCUAAAUAAUUAGGAAUUUCGGAAUGUAGUCUCUAACAACAAAUUGCCCUUAGUGGCAACACAAAAAAGGAGCUUAUUGACCAAACAAAAGGAGUACCGAACAAAAGGACAAAAUUAGGUACCUGAAAUAAGGUGUACCAUCAGAACAGUAAGAAAAAAUUUGCAUGGAUUCAAAACCUCAAGCUUCUUUUCAUCAUCUAGCAAAAUAAUUGGAAUAUUCAUAAAUGAACAGUAAUAAACUGAAUUUCAUGAUCUUAGAGGACACAAUUAAUGCAGGUGUAAAGCAUUCAGUUAAAAAUAUAAUAUGCUAAAAGGUUAAAGAUUUUUUUUCCAGAGCAUCUCACAGCAACACAUUCUUAUAAGACAUGGCAACUCAGAGAAAAUGGCUUCAUAUUAGCUUAUCUGGUUUAAACUGUAAUGGUGGCCUUAAAUAAAGAGAGAAUUCAUUGACUUCAUUCUAUACCCCCUAAGUUUACUCUAGUUCAAUGAUUUGUCAUCAACUUUGUCUCUCUCUGCAAUAUGCCACUGACUUUGACAAUUUUUUCUACAAUAUGCCAUUGGGGUGGAUACUUUUCAAAAAAUGCCUAAAAUAACCUUCAAGCUAUACAAGGGUUGCCAAUCAAUUGACUCAUUAUAAGUUUUGAAAAAAAAAUUGAAAGUUUUAGUGUAGCCUUCUUAUAUACGAUACAAAGUUUGUAUGUAUAUUUUAAGAUUUUCUUCAAUGUUUUUUUUUUUGAAAAAAUAUUCUUAUGUGGCAUAUGAAAGAUGAAUCAUACAUAAAAUAUAGCGAGAUUAGAAAAAUAAUUUUGUGUAGCAUAUGAAAGAUGAUUUACAUAAAAGAACUCAACGUUACAGUAUUCCAUUAGCAUAUGAAACAUAAAUUAUAUUUCCAAAAAAAUUAAUCCAAGCAAGAAUAAUUGAAGCAUGAGUACCAAAUGAAAAUGAUAAGCACCAAAUCUGGAUCAGCAUGAGUACCAAAUGGAAAUUGAUAAUCAGUAGUUGAUAAUCAGACAGUUCCCUAGCCAGAGCACAUUCUGUCAACUACUACCAAACAAAUAAUGUGCAUGUAAAGUCCUACAAAUACCAGGUUAUUGUGUAUGCUUGACCAAUGAGAAGUUAUUUAAAUGAGAGGCACCUUAGCACUUAGCAGCUAGACAGCUGAACACAUUUGGAACAAAGGCAGAAAGUGAGACACCUGAACAGAACAAAUUGUUAAGCUAUUUCUAAAAUCUAGACCUCAUAUUUAUCCAUCCAAAUGUUGUGCCUAUUUACAUUCUGAACUUUAAACUUAUUAUAUACAUAUUCUGAAAUAUAUACCAUAUGCUGAAUCAGAAUAACAUAAUGAUCGCGCAGAGUGGGUAGCAAGCACAGUAAGAAAUAGUGCAGAAGUUCAGAAGAGGACAACUGGCAUUACCUUAAUUGCAUAGGAUGUUGAGCAGCAGUGACCUGGAGCAGAUGCUACGAGAAAAUGUAAGCUGUUAAAACAAUGACAUUCAAUUAGAAACCAAACUAUCUGUUUUCCAAUGGCUGAGAUUAUAAAGUGUACUGCAUUUUUUAUACAGAAAUAUUGUAGUCCUUAUAUCCAAAAGUUGGAGCUGCAAUAGUUUAACCACAAAUAAGUGUGUGACCUUAGGAAUUAAUGUACAAUCAGUAUAGUGCUGGCUAGUUUUAGCUAAAUAAAAUAAUUUAGCUAUGGAAUAUGCCAUUUUUCACUACAGUUCCAUUGGAGGUUGUUUAACAGAGUAAAAACAAUCGAUGCGAGAUACUACACUAAACCGACCCCUGCAGCCGGCAGCUGUACACCGAGCCAACCAAAUGAAAUCAGAUCAGAACCUCUGUCACUAUUCAUAUUGGAAAUUUCAGUUAGCCUUAUUUACUUGAAUAAUAUAAACAAGAGCUAAUGGUAUACUAUACUAUAUGGGAUCCAAAUCGCUAGGCAAUUAAACGUAUCGUCAGAAAGCAUCACCUUUUCAUAGCCUGGCCACAGGCGUCAGUGCAUAACAACAUCUUCUCAACUUGAAUGUAUGCAUCACAUAUCCACAGACAGGAAGCAAAAAGCAAAUACCUGAUGAAAUCUUAUCGGUCUUUUCCGGGUAAUACCUCGAUUUGGCAUGCUGUACUUCUCCGCCAGGAAGCCAACGACGAUGCAAGGACCCGGGCAGCGUAGAGGGGAUGUUAGAGACGCGGCGGCAGUGAGUCCCCACGCGCCGGCGGGGCAGGGAAGGCCACCUCCGCAGAUCGGCCUCAGCCCUCAGCGGCAGUGAGAGGGUUUCACCGAUGGUGUGGGGAGGGGGAAGGAGCGGCGGCGGGACUGAGGGGGCGGUGGCGGCGCGGGACGGAUCUGCGUGAGUCUAGGGUUUCGUCGGUAGUGGUAGUGGUGGCGGUGGCGGUGGCGGCGGGACUGAGGGGGCGGGGGCGGUGGCGGCGCGAGUCGUGGCGGGAGGGAAAGGAGCGUAGGGGAGACGGUCGUGAGGAGGGAGGGGCGCGCGCGGUUUGGGGGAGCGAUCGAGGGGUAGGUCUGAUGCACGAGUUUUCGCGGUCACCGGCGCGAGCGAACGAGAAACCAUAAAAACCGGGAAAAAGUAAACGGAACGUCUCCCAACUUGUCAUCAGGAUAAAAAACAUCAUCGAUCCGCAAAAGAGAUCCUUUAACUAUAUAAAACCGGUCUUAAUAGGUCCAUUAGCGGUUUUGAUCCCGGUUUUAUCCUACGUGGCUGCUGAGUCAUCGUGGGCCCUACCUGUCAACCUCCUAUUUUUUCCCCUCCUCUCUCACUCUGGGCAGGCCGGCCGAUUAGGUGGGGAGGAAGUCGGCGGCGGCGGCAGCCUCCUCUCCGUGCUCGCCGACGAGGAGGAGCGGCAGGCAACCACGGCGGCGGAGCUGGAGCCACAUGCGCGGCCGGCAGAGACGCGGGGCGGGUGGAACGCGUUGGCGUCGGCUCAGGGAGCAAGGCGGCGGUGGAGGUGACGACGCGGUCGCAGGGGAGGGGCAUCGGCGGCGGGGAGGGGAGCAAGGCAGCGGUAGCAGCCUCCUCUCCAUGCUCGCCGACGAGGAGGAGCGGCGGGCGAUCGCAGCGGCGGAGCUAGAGCCACACGCGUGGCCGGCGGAGGUACGUGCGUCAUGGUAGCUAAGGGCUCCCAUCGAUCUUGUAACAUCCCGGCCUAGAGUUUAAUAGAAUUAAUAGAAUACUCAUAUCAACAAGUUGCAACUUCUUUUUCGAAAGCCGAUCUCCAAAGAACUCCAAGGUUAAGCGUGCUUGGCCUGGAGCAAUUUAGGGAUAAACUGUAGCAUCACAUAGGCUAAUCAUGGAUUAAUUAGGCUCAAUAGAUUCGUCUCGCGAAUUAGUCCAAGAUUAUGAAUGGGUUUUAUUAAUAAUCUACGUUUAAUAUUUAUAAUUAGUGUCCAAACAUUCGAUGUGAUAGGGAUUUAAAAGAUUUAGUCUCGUCUAAACAGGUCUAAGUGCGUAUGACCGUGCGUCGAGUGUAAAAUUGGAAGAUUUUAGUCGAUUGAUCUAUACAUAUAAAUCUUCGGGAGACACUAGCGAGCGUACCAUCUUCAGCUUGCCCGUAUUUCGGCUGGUGGCGUUGAGCUCCUUUCGGAUAUUAUCCAGAUCGAACUGCACUGCAUGCAGGGACGAGAAUGCUGCAAGCCAGAUAGAUGUACCGUAGAUGACCUCGUCGACAAUAUCGACGGACCGCAACGACCGGUGCGGAAGAGGUUGAUAUCAAGCAUCGUCGUGUGAUGAGGUGGAGCAGCGCCGACGGACGACUUUCGGUUGGCAAAGUACAACGACCGGCGGCGCACGGUAGGGUUAUGGGAGUUCUCCGAGGCUCGAUAUAUAUAGGAAAAAGUACACCGAAAGUCCCUCAACUUAUCAUCGAGUUACAAAAUCGUCACUGUCAUACCCAGCAGUAAUCGGUUAAGCUCGGCGGAAUCCACCAUUUACCAAGUCUUAAUAUGGGAUAAGCCACAAGACCAACAAGACCCACGCCGCCAAAUAUCGAUAGAUGAUAGAGAUUAGCCUAGACAUACCCCAUCCCGUGCCUAUGAAAAGCCGGCAAGAGAGAUCUAGCACAAUCUCUGAUCUCUUAUUAUACUUGUGUGAUCUAGAUGGAUAAAGAGAACACCGGCUUCGGCUAACAGGAUAUAGGGCUAUUACCUGUCAAAUAAGGGGCCCUAACCUGUAUAAAAAUCUAUGUCUCCAUCUCUUUUACCUCAAUCUCACAUAUACCCUAGUAUCGACAAUCCCCAUACCAUCUAAAUAACUUAGUCGCGGUACCACCCGUCGACAGUCUCCCAACCACAAAACCAAAUAUAUGAUAUCCCUCAACUUAAAAAACCGUCCACUUUAGGUCCUUUGAUGGUUUUGACCCCGGUUUUAUCCGACGUGGCGGCUGAGUCAGCAUGGGACCCACGUGGAGCCCAUAUAUCAGGAAUCAGGAUGCCAUCAUCACCCCCUCUCUCUCCCUUUCUCUCUCUCACUUUUUCUCGUCUCGCAGGCCAGCCGAUGGGGCGAGGCAGGAGAGAAGUAGGUUUGCAUGGUUUUAAUUACAUGAGGAGUAAAGAUUUCUGAUAUUAGAGAUUAGGAUGUCAUGCAAACUCGAUGUAAAAUUCAGGGAUGGUAAGUGAACUUAUUCCAGUCAGAAUCAAUACUGGUUGCGGCCGUGAAGGCCACAUGGUAUCAGCCACAGUUCACAGUGGUCUACAGGACUAGUUCCACAGGACUUCAAACUCUCAUGUUCUUCAUGGGCUGCUGCCUGAAAGAAAGUCCGGUUUAUUAUUGCCGGUAGCCAUAUGCCGCAUAAUUUCAUCAUAAAAAUCUCAUCUAAUUAAGCUCAAUUUCAUUGUCGCGCUAACAGUAACUAGAAAAGUGCAGUAUUGUUGUUGGUUUGUGUAACAUUUGGCAGGGCCACAGGAUAUUGUGUAGGCCAUUGUUAUGUUUGGUUGAGUGCAACACUGGUGUUUAAGAUUUGACCAGCUUAGCCCUGGUGUUUAGUUCGUGCCAUAAUUAUCGUAUGCUAUACGUUUUAAGAUAUAUCAAGUACACUCGUAAAAAGCUCAUUUUACCACAACUUAUUACAAGUGUGACCAACAAAUCACAUAUAAUUAUAUAAACUUUUGUAGAAAAGUGAGAUUAAUUGUCUUCUCUCUCCCUUUUUUUAGAACUAGAUUAUCUUCCAAACAACCCCUUAAUCUGAAGUCGCUAGCCAUCCUGAUCUCAUGCAACUACCGUGGAGGACAGAGAAUGGGUGGGGUUCCAGACUAUUGGCUCCUACCCGUACAGAUACAAUGAUAUCAUCAUCAUACCGGUACUCAAGCAAAAUACUCCAUCCGUCCCAAAAUAUAAGAACAUAUGACGGGGAUGAAACAUACAUUUUUUAAUACUAUGAACCUAAACAGAAAUGUCUCGUUUAGUCCUAUGUUUUUAUAUUUUAAGAUGGAGAGAGUACAGUACUACUUCUUCCAUUCUAAAAUAUAUUAAUAUAGUACUGAACUGAACACAAUCGAAUCGAGUACUACAAAUUUAGAUAAACUCUUUGUUUAAAUUGUUAUAUUUUAAGACUAGAAGUACAAUGCUUCAUCUAAAUAUUAAUCUAAGAAAUACAUUACUCUCCAUACUAUGAAUCUACUAUCAUCUACGGUGCACGACAAUGACUCCAAUCGACAUAAACUGGACCAUACAUUAGACAUUAUGCUCCAUGAUUUGAGGCCUUCACUGUACACGCCACGCCAGCUAUAUAUACAUAUAUACACGGUACACGCCUCCAUGGACCAUUGCCGAUCAAUCAUAUGCGUGCAUAGGAAUAAGAUAACUAAGUCUGAUCAGUGAGAGUAGAAGACAGUGACUCGUCACUGAAUACGCAUACCAACAUCUAGUAGAGAACAAAAAAAAUAAACAGAUAAAAUACGCAUACCAGCUAAUCCGAGUAGCUAGUCCUGUUUACCCUAAAAUUCAGGGUAAUCAACACGCCGUCACAUACGGAGUAGGAGUACUCCAGUAUAUUACACUCACGCACCGUAGCAUCAGUUGAUAAUUAACUGCGUGUGGACAAACCGAGACGCAUUGUUGUAACCAGAAGCGCGCAGUAGUAGAUGAUCAGGCCGUGGUUUUUUACCUUUUCAACCGCACAAUCCGGCACGUUUUCCUUAAACCGCGGUAGCCAGCUGGAGUGGUACGUGCCUGCUACUACCUGCCAAGCGUCGGCGAGUGCGGACACACAAGCAACAGGAGAGGAGUGGUCGAAAUCUACGUGCAGCCCCGCACAAAGACAGCGGAUCCAUUAAAACGCGACGCGUCCACGUCGCUCGCGGGUGCGCAUCGGUCGCCGUCGCCCCGCCACCGAAGAAAAAUCCAACCCCCCGCCCACCCGGGCGGCGCUUGCAGCUUUCGGCCGCGCGACGACGCGAUCACAUCGAAAAGCGCCCGCAACCUCACGAAACUUUGCGCGGGCGCGCGACGGCGGCACGGCGCGCGAGACGUACGCACGCAAAGUGCGCGCGCGCGGGAGUUUGAACCCUGAGCGCGACCGGUGGUUUUUUGUCGCGUACACCGGCGUCACGGGGACAGGGACGUGACUAGCUCCAGGCAGCGCGCGCGUCCGCGUCCGCGUCGUCGUCGUCGAUCGAUCGAGCUAGCGACCGGCGGCGCGCGGCCAGCGACGACGCGCGCGCGCACGCACGGUGUGAAAGGCCGGCUUGACCCUAUCUGAGCCUUUACGACCGGUGCGGGCGGAUUUGCUUCCGUCCCCGAAACUCGUUUGGUGCGCGGCUAGCUUUCCCGGAGGAGAAAAAACGGUUACGCGCGUUCACUUGACUAUGGCAAAGUGAUCAGAUAUCGGGAUAUGCAAAGCAAAGCGACGUAGUUUCAUUCUUUGCUGAGAUCGGAGGGAAAAGUGGCAAGAGAUGACCUGAACCGGGCAAAGAACGUGUGCUUGUGAGAUUUAUUAGUGCCUUGGCAGGACAGAAUUAUGGUGUUCCUUUCCUUUAUCCGGGCUAUAGGCUACGUGAACGUGAUCCACGCUUCCCGAGCAGAGAGCAGCUCGAGAUUCACGUCCCGACAGAUUAGAAUGGUUACAAAAAAAACUCAGCUGUUGACCCAAGGCUGGGUUUUGCACGUCAUUUGGGUCCUCAAAGUCACGGCACAAUCAUUUUCAGACCCCCUGGCCCGUCACUCGGGCUAGCUAAGCUAGCCGCGCACGUGUAAAAGUAGCUUUCACUGGUGGAGAAACCAUCUUUCGUCGGUCGGCCGAUUUCCACAAUAGUGCCGGAUGCAAUAAAAACCGGGGCUAAAGAUGAUCUUUAGUCCCGGUUCAAAAGGGUAACGGGCAUAUUUGAUCUUUAGUCCCGGUUUGUGCUACCAACCGGGACUAAAGUUAAAGCACCAACCGGGACUACUAAAGUUAAGAUCUUUAGCCCCGGUUGGUGCUACCAACCGGGACUAAAGAUCUUAACUUUAGUCCCGGUUGGUAAUACCAACCGGGACUAAUGAUCCCGGUGAUCUUUAGCCCCGGUUGGUGCUACCAACCGGGACUAAAGUCCCACCCCUAUAUAUAUGUCUUCUUCCUCCUCCAGCUGCCCGAGCGAGCUUCAAAAUUUCUUCAAAAAAGAGGGGAGGUCAUGCCAAAAUUUCUAUUGAAUUUAUUUUGGUGAUUACAUACAAAUCGGAGGUGCCUAAAAGGUUUGCAACUUCAUCCUCCAAUGUUUUUUUUGUCAUACUACAUUUGCACCUAUGUUUUGCACACUUUUUUUUGUCUCCAAAAUUUAGUUGUAAGUUGAUGAGAGAGAAAAUGUGUGUGGGGAAGAAAGAAUAUAUAGAAAUUUAGUUCAUUUGCUAAACAAGGUUUUAUAAAAUAGUUGAGAAGGAAAACUCUAGUGAAAGUUAAUCUUAAAUAAUAGAAAACAAACUAAAAUGAAAAUUAAAAGAAGUAAAACACAUUAAAAUUAGUUUAAAACUUUACAAAUAGUUUUUAAGAAUUAUUUGGUGUAAUAUUUUAUGAUUUUUGUAUGAAUAAAGAUAUCUUAUAAUUAUUGUAUGACUGUCAUUAUUGUAAGAAUAAUUAUUUGUGUGCGGUUUUUUUGACUCAUGUAGAUGGAUCGGCAAUGGAUGUACGCUGACCGGCGGUCCAAAGAGUUUAUUGACGGCGUGCACUAUUUUUUGAGAGUGGCCGAAGCUAACAGGCAAAGGGGUUUUAUUUGUUGUCCAUGCAAUAAGUGUAAGAAUCAGAAGGAGUAUUCUGCAUCCAGGACUAUUCAUUUCCACUUGUUUGAGUCGGGGUUCAUGCCAAGCUAUAAUUGUUAGACAUCCCACGGAGAGCAAGGUGUUGAAAUGGAAGAAGAUGAAGUGGAAGACGACAAUAUUCCGGACUUUGCUCAGUAUGUUGGAUUUGAAGGAAAUCAAACGGGCGAGGAGGAAAUAGCUGCUGAUGGUAACGAUGUUGCGGAUGAUCUUGGUCAGAUGUUGCAGGACGCCAGGGAAGACUGCGAAAGUGAAAAGGAGGCCCAUAAAUUGGACAAGAUGUUGGAGGACCACAGAACUUCGUUGUACCCAGGUUGCGAGCUGGGGCACAAAAAGUUGGAUACCACUCUGGAGUUGUUGCAAUGGAAGGCAAAAAAUGGGGUUAGUGACAAGGCAUUUGGCGAUUUAUUGAAACUCGUCAAGAACAUUCUUCCGGGGGGAAACAAAUUGCCCGAGACAACGUACGAGGCUAAGAAGAUAGUUUGCCCGUUAGGACUGGAAGUUCAUAAGAUUCACGCAUGUCCGAACGAUUGUAUCCUAUAUCGCGGUGAGGAGUAUGAGAACCUAGAAGCAUGCCCUGUUUGCAAAGCACUACGAUACAAGAUUAGACGGGACGAUCCAGGAGAAGUUGACGGGCAGCUAACAAAGAAGAGAAUUCCUGCUAAGGUGAUGUGGUAUUUCCCUAUAAUACCACGGCUAAGGCGUUUGUUCAGGAACAAGGGGAAUGCUAGAAUGUUGCGAUGGCACGCUGAAGAGCGUCAACAGGACGGGAUGCUGAGACACCCCGCCGAUGGUUCGCAGUGGCGAAACAUCGACAGAAAAUUUAAAGAAUUUGGAAAGGACGCACGAAACAUACGGUUUGGUUUGAGUACGGAUGGCAUGAAUCCUUUUGGAGAGAUGAGCAGCGGCCAUAGCACUUGGCCCGUUACGAUGUGUAUCUACAACCUCCCCCCUGGCUAUGCAUGAAGAGGAAGUACAUAAUGAUGCCGAUUAUUAUUCAAGGCCCCAAGCAACCUGGUAACGACAUCGACGUGUACCUAAGACCACUAGUCGAAGAUCUUAAACAGUUGUGGAAGAAGGAAGGUGUCCCCGUGUGGGACGAGGACAAACAGGAGGAGUUUAACCUACGAGCGCUGCUGUUCGUAACCAUCAACGAUUGGCCUGCACUUAGCAACCUAUCCGGACAGUCCAACAAGGGGUACAAGGCUUGCACUCACUGUAUGGAUGAAACAGAAAGUACGUAUCUUAAGCACUGUAGGAAGGUUGUAUACAUGGGUCAUCGUCGAUUCCUUGCAGCAAACCACCCGGUACGGAAGAAAGGCAAGCACUUCGAACAUAAGGCCGACCACCGUACGAAGCCUAAACAUCGCAGCGGGAAAACAGUGUUUGCUAUGGUUAAAGAUCUUAAAGUAGUGUUCGGAAAGGGGCCUGGAAGCCAGCAUAUAGAGAGCGAAGAUGGUCACGCGGCGAUGUGAAAAAAGAACUCUAUAUUUUGGGAGUUACCAUAUUGGGAAUUCUUAUACGUACGCCACGCAAUCGACGUGAUGCACCUCACUAAGAACCUUUGCGUAAACCUUCUUGGCUUCCUAGGUGUAUACGGAAAGUCGAAAGAUACACUGGAAGCACGUAAUGAUCUGAAGCAUAUGGAACAACGCGGCGACCUUCACCCGGAACCAAAGGAGAAAGGAAGCCAUUACUUGAGUCCAGCCAGCUACACUCUUAGCAAGGAAGAGAAGGAAAGUAUGUUUGAAUGCUUGGAGAGCAUAAAGGUACCGUCUGGAUACUCCACGAAUAUCAAGCGAAUAAUAAGCACGAAGGAGAAGAAGUUCACAAACCUAAAGUCUCAUGACUGUCACGUGUUGAUGACACAACUGCUACCAGUUGUAAUAAGGGGUAUCCUUCCAGACAAUGUCCGGGCAACAAUAACAAAGAUAUGUGCAUUCAUGAACGCAAUUUCGCAGAAGGUCAUCGAUCCGGAUAGAUUAGAAGCCCUUCAGAAUGAAGUGGUGCAAUGUCUCGUCAGUUUUGAGUUGAUAUUUCCACCUUCAUUUUUCAAUAUAAUGACGCAUCUGCUUUGUCACCUUGUGAAAGAGAUCCGUAUUCUCGGGCCUAUGUACCUACACAACAUGUUUCCUUUCGAGAGGUACAUGGGCGUUCUGAAGAAGUAUGUUCCUAACCGUGCUCGUCCAGAGGCAAGCAUCGCCAAGGGUUAUGGAACAGAGGAGGUCAUCGAAUUUUGCGUAGAAUUUAUCGAAGACCUUCGCCCAAUCGGGGUACCUGAAUCACGCCAUGAAGGGAGACUACGGGGAAAGGGAACUCUCGGAAGGAAAGCAAUAACGACGGUAGACAACAAUUUAUUCCGUAAAGCCCAUUUCACUGUUCUGCAACACUCUUCAUUGGUAGCUCCUUACAUCGAGGAGCACUUGGCUCUAGUUCGCGCCAGGAACAUCGGUAAGUCCGAUGCAUGGAUUACACGGCAUCACAUUGAUACUUUCCCCGCGUGGCUACGACAUCAUCUCAUGGGUAACGAGUCGAUCAACCAACAACUUGCCUUCCUGGCGAGGGGACCGUUUGGGUCGAUCGCGACAUUACAGGGAUAUGAGAUCAAUGGGUACACAUUCUACACGAGAGCCCAAGACAUGAAGAGCACGAACCAAAACAGCGCUGUUCGUGUCGAUGCCAUGGGACACGAUGGAACAACUGCCACGUAUUACGGUGCCAUCGAGGACAUAUGGGAACUUGACUAUGGUCCUCUCAAGGUUCCUCUGUUCCGGUGCCAAUGGGUUAGGUUGACUGGUGGAGGCGUAAUGAUUGAUGAUAGUGGGAUGACAACUGUUGACCUUAACAAGGUUGGAUACUCGGACGAACCUUUUGUCCUUGCCAAUGAUGUAAUGCAAGUCUUUUUCGUGAAGGACAUGUCUAGCAAAGGAAAGAAGGGCAGAGGGCCUGAUGAGCCUAAGCGUCAAGUGGUUCUCCCAGGCAAAAGAAAAAUCAUCGGAGUUGAGGACAAGACUGACGAGGAUUACGAUCAGUUGGAUGGGCAACCCCCUUUCACGGUGACGAUUGACCCUAGCAUCCUCCUAUCAAAUGAAGACACCCCUUACUCACGCAGCGAUCACAAGGAGGGAACAAUAGUGAGGAGAAAGUACGUGCCGUAAUUAUUGUGUACACGAUGUAAACUAUUUUGGAUGUAUUGAUUAUCCAUAUAAAUCAAUUGAUGUAUGGCAUAUGUUAAUUACGCACGAUUAUUAGAGGUUUCAACAAGUUUAAAUCAUGUAUAUGCUAGUUAUAUGUGAUACUUACAAUUUUUAAAAGUUUUAAAUCACACAGGUGACAAUUUCAUAUGUAUGUUAAUUAGAGUUUUUAACAUUUAAUUUACUAGCAUUCAUAUGCUAAUUAUAAUUGACUAGAGGAUUUUUAAAAGUUUUAAAUCACGCAAGUGGCAAUUUCAUAUGUUAAUUAGAGUUUUUAACAUUUAAUUUACUAUCAUUCAUAUGCUAAUUAUAAUUGACUAGAGAAUUUUUAAAAGUAUUAAAUUUAAUAUAUUUUUAAAACUAUCAUUCAUAUAUUAGAGUUUUUCACAAUUAAAUUUACUAUCUUUCAUAUGCUACUUAUAUAUGACUAUUCGAAUUUUUAAAAGGUUUAAAUCAUGCAUGUGGUAUUUACAUAUGUUAAUUAGAGUUUUUAGCAUUUAAUUUAAUAUAAUUCCUACGCUAAGUACAUAUGAUGAUUACAAUUUUUAUUAAUUUUAAAUCAUGCAGUAUGUACAUACAUAUCUUAAUUAGAGUUUUUACCAAUAUAAUAAUAUCAUUCAUAUAUAUGCUAAGUAUAUAUGAUUAUUGGAAUUUUUAUUAAUUAUAUUUGCUUAUUACGAUUUAUCCACUUAAUUUAUUACAGACAAAAAUAAUUUUUCGAAGUAAUUGUCAUUAAUCUUUGUACUUUAAAUAAUGUUAAUGCAUUAACUUCUAUUUUAUAAACACGUAUGUAAGCGAAAAACAUAUGCAGUGCUAUAAUCUUUAGUCCCGGUUCUUAACCCUAACCGGGUUUAAAAAGAAUUUCGAAAUAGCGGGAAAAGAUAUUUACUCCCGGUUGUUGAGAACAACCGGGACUAAAGAUAUCUUUAGUCCCGGUUGUUGACAACAACCGGGAGUAAAGAUCUUUUCUUUACUCCCGGUUGUUCUCAACAACCGGGAGUAAAGAUCCGGGGGUAUAUAUAUUCCCGGUGCGCCCUCGUCUUCUUCACCAACACUUAAACGUUUUCGGCCGAUCGAUCUCUCUCGGCCUCUCUCCUUCGCCGCCACUGCCUAGGGCAAAUCCCCGCGCCGACGCCGCCGUAUCUCGCCGUCGUCUCGAGCUCGUCGUCAUCGCCGCCGCCUCCGCCUCCUCCGCUGCCGCCGCAUCUCUGGGGUGAGAGCCGCCGCCGCCAGAUCUCCCUUCAUGCAUCUCGAUCUCUCCGAUCUCGAUCUCUCUCCGUCGCGCCGCCCGCCACGAGACGCCGCGCCACGACGACGACGCGCCACGAUGACGACGCGCCACGCCGCCGCCUUCGACGCCGCGCAACGCCGCUGCCGCAUGCCAACGCCACGCCGCCGCCGCCGUCGCCACGCCGCCGCCGCCUUCGCCGCCGCGCGCGCAAUGCCGCCGCCGCCACGCCACGCCACGCCGCCGCCGCCACGCCACGCCGCCGCCGCCACGGCCCCGCAACGCCACGCCGCCGCCGCCGCCGCCACGCCGCCGCGCCAACCGCCGCCCCGAUGCCGCCACACCGCCGUUAACGAACGAGAACGAGAACGAUCGAACGAACGAGAGCGAGAACGAACACGUCAACGUACGUUGCCGCGACAACGUGAACGAGAACGAGAACGAUCGAACGAACGAGAGCGAGAACGAACACGUCAACGUACGUUGCCGCGAGAACGUGAACGAGAACGAGAACGAUCGAACGAACGAGAGCGAGAACGAACACGAUCGAACGAAGACAAGCGAGAACGAGGGAACGAACGUGAAUGAGAACAAGCGAACGAACGUGAAUGAGAACGAGCGAACGAACGUGAACGAGCUAGGGAACGUGAACGAGCGAACGAACGAGGACGAACGUUAACGUGAAAUGCAAUAUAUAUAUAUAUAUAUAUAUAUAUAUAUAUAUAUAUAUAUAUGUUACUUCGCAUUUAUCCUAAUACAUUUUUUGUAUCUUGCAGAAAAGACGUGUUGUCGGAGUCGUCCGUCAAGCCUGAGUGGAAGAGCUAGCCCUAGAAGGAAUUGGAGCAGGCAAGUGACGUAAUAAUAUAAAUGAUUGUUAUAUUUGUAAUGCAAUUAAUUAAGAUUAUUAGACCUUUAAUUAGACUUAUCAUAUAAGAUUGUGUAGUGUUCUAAUAUUAUUUGAGUUUUAAUAUAAGAUUAUUUUAUUGCAAAUUAGACUUAGUAUGACAUUAUUGACUACGGAAUUGGUGCGACUCCUAGCAAUUGACUAUUGUAGUCUUAAUUAGACUUAGCAUAUACGCACGAAACACUUAGCAUACAUGACUAUUUUAGUCUUAGCAUGUAAUAUUAUUUGAGUUUUAAUAUAAUAUUAUUUUAUUUGUAAUUAGACUUGGUAUGUAAUUAUUGACUACGGAAUUGGUGCGACAAGUAGCAAUUGACUAUUGUAGUCUUAAUUAGACUUAGCAUAUACGCACGAAACACUUAGCAUAUACAUGACUAUUUUAGUCUUAGCAUAUAAUAUUAUUUGAGUUUUAAUAUAAGAUUAUUUUAUUUGUAAUUAGACUUAGUAUAUAAUUAUUUACUAGCUAGGGUUGUAUAAUAUACGUCACCUAGACUUAGCUUAUAUCACGAUUUAUAAUUAGACUUAGCACGUAAGGUUGUGUAGGGUUCUAAUGUACGACAUUUACACUUAGCAUACAUGACUUAGAUUGUUAAAACAUAAAUGUCUCGUGACUUAGCAGAUGUUUCUUGUAUCAACAGAUGGCUGACCGCGAUGAGGAACAGAUAUUGUACGAUACAAUCGCGGAGGGAAGCAGCCAGUACUGGAAUGAAGAAGAGGGGAACGAGGAUCCAAACCAGUACUUGAACGAGGAAGGGAACGUGGAGAGGGAUGCGGAGGGGAACCAGCAGGGGCACGUGGAAAGGGAUGUGGAGGGGAACCAGGAGGAGGUUAGUGGUAAUCAACCCUCCGUUGGACAGAAGAGGGCAUGCGGGCAACGAGGUGCAGCGAAGAAGCUUGAGGGUCGGCACAUCAUAACGGAAGUGGAAGAAGAUGGACGUCCUAGUGCCCCGGCCGAAGCCGCCAAGAACUAUGUACGUCACAGCGGUUGGGUUGUGCGGGAUAACGUGCCUGUCAGUACGGUGUACUGGCGAAGAACAAGGGCACACGGAGAUCAUGAGAGCUUUGUCCCAGAUUCGGAGAAAGAGAUGUUGUGGACCACAAUGCUCGAGACAUUCACCCUUCCUGCUGGUACAGAGGACAAAGUGAAAAGGUGGACUCUGAAGAAAAUGGCAGAACAGUUUCAGAGCUUCAAGGGAGAUCUGUACCAGAAGUAUAUACUGAAGGGGCAGACACCGAACUUCGACACAUUCCCAAAGCUAAGGGAUCACUGGGACGAGUUCGUUGCAUAUAAGACAGAUGAACAAGGGCAGGCGAUGAUGGAAAGAAACAAAGAAAAUGCCGCCAAGAAGAAGUACCAUCACCACUUGGGGUCAGGAGGCUAUAGCGUCGCGAUACCGAAGUGGGAGCAGAUGGAGGCUAGCUUGAUUGAGAGGGGUAUCGAACCGGCAACAGCCAAUUGGCCGGAACGAUCGAAGUUCUGGUACUAUGCUCACGGUGGAACGCUCAACCCAGCUGAUGGCUCACUGGUCUUCGGCUAUCAGAUACGAGAGGCUGCGCGACGACUAACAGAUGCAGUGGAAGCCUCCUCUCAGGGCACGUUCCGACCAGACAGAGAUAGGGACGAGCUGACACUCGCCCUGCAGACUCCAGAGCAUCCAGGACGAACUCGAGGGAAAGGGGUGAUUCCUUGGAAGAUUGGUUUCAAGGAGGACAUCCACACGUACAGGAGUCGGAUGAGGAGCAAGAGAGAUACCGAGGCGAAGAUUGCAGACCUAGAGUUCCGGGUAUCGAGCUACGAACUCAACAUGCAAGAGGAGGUGGCAAGGAAGGUUGAUGAACGCAUGGCCGCACAUCGGUCCCAUGAUCCCCAGCCGACCAUUCCUCUUGCAAUGGUGAGCCCGUCAGGAAACCGUAGCAGCUGCGCCUCAACAGGGCAGGUAGGAUCACAGAGCAUGGACGCCAUGCAAACACAGGACGAAUCGACCUGUCCCGUUGAUGACAUCACUCAGCGGACACCAUGUGAGCUGCAUAUUCCUUUCAAGAACUUAUCAAUAAAGGUAAGAUUUAGCCAUUCCGCUAGUUGCUGCUUAUAUAUGUUGAUUACUAAUAAAUAAUCUCUCACAACAUGAAGGUGGCGUCGGGCAUGGCCAUCCCAACGGACCCUUCAGGUACUUAACACUGUAGGCCGAUUCCAGCAGGAUACUCGAAGGUCGAAGUUGAGUUGGUCGAAGGCGCGUACGAGGACCUCGAGCUGGAUUACCCUGGAGGAGACGGUGAGACGCAUCUACGAGACACAUGCCAUGCCAUUAUUCUAUGGCGCAGGCGGUACAUCAUCCUCCCUGGGCGACAAGCGGCGUCUCGUGCACCAUCUCCUCCGGCUCCGCCAUCUCCUCCUCAGGAUCCUGCACCGUCUCCUCCUCAUGCUCCGCCAGCACCGUCUCCACCUCAGGCUCCAGCAUCGACUCCUCCUCAGGAUCCUGCACCGACUCCUCCUCGUGCUCCUACACCUACUCCCCCGCAAGCUCCUCUUCUGGCACCUUCAAAGUCAGGGGCCCCCCCAGCUCCACCGCCUGCCCACACAAGGGCAACGAAGAAGGCGAAAGUUGACGCCGCCAAGAACAAGGACCCGGGGUACGAUUGCACGCAAGAGGAGCUUGACGCUUACGUUGCAUCAGAAGUCAAGAGACAAUUCAAGCCUCGAAGUCCAGAAAAGAAGAUUCCUAUAGACCCCAGUGUCAGGAACUUCUUCAGGGGUAUGUCUGCAUCUGUCAAGGAGGCCAUCAAGCUAUCGGACUAUGAGCGAACGCUGAAGAAAGCAUCUUUUGGAAAGUCCAAACCAGUCCCUCAGCUUGGAGAGCAACCAAACCAGGAGAUCGAGCCGUUGGUGACCGGUAAAGAAAUGACGAUAGAACAAUUUAUUACUGACACCGGUCUAACUACAGAUCAAUUGCUAGGAGUCGCACCAAUCGAAAAGGCGGAAGUGAAAUACAUGUACGAACUCGGUAAACCGCUUGUCAAGCCUGAGCUGCUGCAGUCCCUACCCACACAAAUGUACAAGUUCCAUCAGCUGUACAUGGAGAUGAGCGCCACCGGUAGAGAGAUGAUCGGAGCGAGGAUCAGGGACACGGGCUUCUUGCAAGGAGAUGACAUUCUCUGGAUCAAUUUCAGGGGAAUCUACGAACUAUACCAGCUGGACGCCCUCGACGUCUCUAUUAUGAGUUGCUGGAUUUUGUAAGUAUAUCGUUCAGUUAGAUUUCUUACUAUACGUCUCCUUUAAUUAAUUAGGUCCUUGUAUAUAAGUAGACCAUAGAAAAUAAUAUACUCCCUUUUAUCGUUGUAGAAUGGAGAUUCAAAGGGCCCGACGGCGGAGGGUUUUCGAUACUGGAUUCAUCGACCCUCGGAAAGUAAACGUCGCAAUGCUCGACCAAUAUCCACAAGAAACAGAGGACAAUCUCGUCCAUCUCCUGAAGGCGCAGCAUUACAAGACGUUCAUACUGUUGCCAUACAACACAGAGUUAGUUUAAUUUUACUGUCUUCCUACAUACCAAAUUUCAUUCCCGUACGAACUUGCUAAGUGUUUCAUAUGUAAUACAUCCCACGCACAUUGCAGAUUCCACUGGGUGCUUUUACUCAUCGACCUGGAGGCCUGCACCGUCAACGUAUAUGAUUCAAUGGAUAAAAAAGAGUCUACGUUUGACAAGGUUUUCGAACUUAUAGACAGGUACCGUCAUAAGUUCCUUUGUUAAUUAAGAAAAUCUUGUUAUGUUAAUUGCUACUACGAAUCAUAGCUUUAAACUCCAUGUAGGGCUUGGUAUCGGUUCCGUCAUUUGGUCCGCGGCAAAUGGAGAGAAAGACUUAGGCGGAAGUUCAAAUUUCCUGUGAGUACACAUGCUCUACAUUUAUAUUUCUCCGAUUCAAAUACAUACAAGUGUAUAUUAAUUAGAUCUCUCGUUGUUUAUUAUUUAUUUGUAGUGCGCAAAGCAAAAGCAGAGAACUAACUUGUGCGGCUAUUACGUGUGCGAGUAUUGCCACUGCCUUGCAGACCAAAUCAUCACCACAAGAGAGCUCGAUGUACGUACAAAUAAAUUCAAAAUUUCAUUACGUAGCGAUUUCUUGUUUAAUUACUAAUCAAUUUCAUACAUUCAUAUAGUUUAUUCGCAUGAGGGAUAACCUGACCACACACAAGGAAUUUAUCGCGGCGGUUCAAGAACAACUCAUGGGAUUCAUCAACGAAGAAAUCCUUGAUCCCAAGAGUGAAUUCUACUACGACGGAAACACAAUUCACCGGUCCUUAGCUUCUGAGCUAGCAGCGAGUACUACUACGUCGAAAUCGUAGCUAGCUAGGACAUAUAAUGGAUUGUAAUUAAUACAUGACUACAUAUGUUUCUAUAUGCAUGUGUACACAUUUUCUAUAAUGUAAAUAUAUUUUGUUCAUAUAUAUAUCUAUAUACAUAUGCAUUUGCAUAACAUAUAUAUGUAUAAAUACAUAUAUAUUAUGCAUGUAUAUACAUAUAAUAUAAUAUAAUAUAUAUAUAUACAUAUAUAUAUGUAUGCAUAUAUAUGUAUUGAAACAUAUAUAUGCAUGGUUUAUAUAUAUAUAUAUAUAUAUAUAUAUAUAUAUAUAUAUAUAUAUAUAUAUAUAUAUAUAUAUAUAUAUAUAUAUAUAUAUAUAUAUAUAUAUAUAUAUAUAUAUAUAUAUAUAUGUCGGUGACAUGGGACCGGGAGUAUCAUGACUUAGAGACUUGAGGCAGACACGAUCACCCACGUGGCCUAACCCCCUCGGGGGGGGGGGUCGGGCCCGAGGGUGAUACGGCCGCCCUUCUCUUUGUCUCCCCGAGGGGUCGGACCGCUCCCGUCUCGGCCCCGAGGGCCGAGGCGCCCCGACCCCUUGUGGGUUUUGCGCCGCGUAUAUGGGGUAGGUGAGCAUAGCGGGGCUCACCUAACCACAUUUAUUGCGGUUUGGACGAGCGCGUCACGCCGCAUGUAACGCAGUGCAGCGCGCUCGUUUAUCCGGUCAGUGACCAGUCACAGACCGAUCAGAUCGUGGGUUAGGUGGCGACAGGCGGUCUGACGCACGCCUCGCCCCAUCCCGUCAGGAUGAGAGCCUCCAAGCACUCGUCCCUAGCCGGAGCCGGCGUGUUAGCUCCUGGAGAUGGCACGUUGGUCCCGGUCAGAUAUAUACCAGGCUUCAUCCUAACCAUUACAAGCAAGACAUUGUAUGAAGAGGGGCGAACAUGCAGAUUGAUAAACUGACGCGUGGUGGACAAGAAUGACCGAUUUGUGACCGGUCUGACACUGAUCAUGUCGUCAGCAGACAGCCAUGUUCCCAAGUCGCGCCUGCUUCCGGCGGAAGUGGAGGUAGGUAUGGGCUGUCCCAUCAGAAGGUCAUUCGGACGGCAACCAUACAAGUCUCCGUCUGUUUAUGAAAAGAUAGGAUAAGUCCCCACAAAAAAGAAGGAGAUGGUGCAUGUGGUAUCCCCUUGAGGUAUAAAAGGAGGACCUUGCCCACUUAGAAGGAGGAGGGAUUUUCGGAUCCAGAACGAUCAGAGAGGAAGAGAGUAAGAGCUCUCUGGUUCUCCAGCUCUUUUGUAGCUUCUUCAUACAUAGAUCCACAAAAACACAGGAAGUAGGGUAUUACGCUUCUCAGCGGCCCGAACCUGUAUACAUCGCCCGUGUCUUGUGUGUUUCCAUUCUCGCGAACCUUCCACACAAAGACUAGGAGCUUAGAAUCUCACCCAGGGCCCCCGGCCGAACCGGCAAAGGGGGGCCUGCGCGGUCUCCCGGUGAGGAGCCCCACGCUCCGUCAUCUGGCGCGCCAGGUAGGGAGCUUUGCGUGUGUUUUUCUAAGCUCUCGCAUUCUUUCGUGUGCGCCAAGCUUUUCCUGUUCGGCCCAAUGGCCGAACAAGCAAAGGCGCACAACCUCUCUCCGAGUGUUAGCGGUGAUGACGGGGAGCCGAACCCACGCCGUCGAGCUCGUACUCCACCGCCCCCUCCACGCCAAAGUCCUAGGCGGGAGGAGGCGCUCGAGAGGGUCGAAGGAUCCGCGACUUCGACAUCCACGGGUGAUGGGGAAGGGCGGCGAGAUGGGGAGCGUCGCCUCCUCGUCUACGGCGACGGCAGCACGCCCCAGGGCGCGCUCCAAGCUGCGGGCGCGCUCCUACGUCACCCGCCCAUUGUGCCUGACCCGGAGGCUCCAGCCCAACGUUGGUUGGACGACGUGGCCAACUUGGUCAUGACGGCACGGCAGCGCCUAGGUGCUGGUGGGCGGUCCUCCGCCACCAAGACCUCUGGCGCUGCUACCACCGGCUCCGUGUCGUCAAGGCGGAGGGCGCGGCGAGCGGCGGCUGUUGCUCGCCAUUCAGCCGCCACUCCUUCGUCAGCGCCUCCGACCCAGGAAGAUCUGCGUGGGGGGCCGGAUGCCCGCAUCAGUAUCGAGCGCCGGCGUAAUGGCCGGCGUGCUGCCCACGCAACGGAGGGCGCCUCCUCGUCCGGAGUGUCGCAUCAACACGGACGCGGGGAUCAGCCCUCCGUGCCCCCGGUUGGUGGUGUCGGCUGUAGAGCCUUUGUGGCGAGCCUUCGGAACGUCCGUUGGCCCCCAAGGUUCCGGCCCACCAUCGCCGAAAAAUAUGACGGGAGCGUCAACCCCGCCGAGUUUCUCCAGGUCUACACGACCGGGAUCGAGGCCGCCGGGGGUGACGACAGGGUCAUGGCGAAUUUCUUUCCCAUGGCCCUGAAGGGACAGGCACGGGGUUGGCUAAUGAACUUGCCACCCGCGUCCGUCCACUCUUGGGAGGAUUUGUGCCAACAGUUCACCAUGAACUUUCAAGGCACAUAUCCGCGCCCAGGUGAAGAAGCGGACUUACAUGCAGUCCAGCGAAGGGAUGAUGAGUCACUUCGCUCAUACAUUCAGCGGUUCUGUCAAGUCCGCAACACCAUACCAUGCAUCCCUGCACACGCGGUGAUCUACGCGUUCAGGGGGGGUGUGCGGCACAACCGCAUGCUCGAAAAGAUCGCCUCCAAAGAGCCCCAGACUACCGCGGAGCUUUUUCAGCUCGCGGACCGAGUGGCUCGAAAGGAAGAGGCAUGGACCUAGAACCCCUCCGGUUCCGGUGUGGCAGCUUCGGCCGCCCCCGGAUCUGCUGCUCGGACAGGGCGGCAUGACAGGAGGAGGAAGAAGAGGUCAGCCCAUUCCGACGACGAGGGUCAUGUCCUCGCCGUCGAGGGCGCUUCGCGGGCCACCCGAAAGGGGAGGCCUGCGAGCGACAAAAAGAAGGAGGCCGGCGCUCCCAGUAGGGAGCGCCCAACCGGCAAGUGGUGCAUCGUCCACAACACCUCCCUUCACGAUCUCGCGGACUGCCGUGCAGUCAAAAGUUUGGCUGAGCGGACGAGGAAGUGGGAGGAGGAGAGGAGGCAGGAGCGCCGAGAGGGCAAGUCCCCGGCGGUUCCUUCCGGCAAUCGGCGAAGUGAGGCCAAGCAGAAGGCCCCCGCCGAGGACAUCGAUGACGGCGAUGAUGACCUAGGUUUCCAAGAGCCUGGGGCCACCAUUGCCACUGUCGAUGGGGGAGCGUGUGCUCACGUUUCUCGUCGGAGCCUCAAGGCCAUGAAGCGAGAGCUUCUGGCCGCGGCCCCUACUCAUGAGGCGACGCGCCGGGCGCGGUGGUCGGAGGUUGCCCUCACCUUCGACCAGACCGACCACCCACCGUGCGUUGCCCGGGGAGGACAAAUCGCAAUGGUGGUUUCCCCCACUGUUUGCAACGUGAAGCUGGGGCGUGUCCUCAUUGAUGGGGGAGCAGCCCUCAACAUCCUUUCCCCCGCAGCCUUUGACGCUAUCAAGGCCCCGGGGAUGGUGCUCCGGCCGUCCCAGCCGAUUAUCGGUGUGACGCCGGGUCACACUUGGCCGCUAGGUCAUAUCGACCUCCCGGUCACCUUCGGUGGAUCCGCCAACUUCCGCACGGAGCGGGUGAACUUUGAUGUGGCGGACCUCAGACUGCCCUACAACGCGGUCCUAGGGAGGCCCGCGUUGGUGAAGUUCAUGGCGGCAGUCCACUACGCCUACCUCCAGAUGAAGAUGCCGGGCCCCGGUGGCCCCAUCUCUGUCCAUGGCGACCUCAAAGUCGCGCUUGCUUGUAUGGAGCAGCGCGCGGACCACCUCACCGCCGCGUCCAAGCCCGAGGGAGGCGACGAGAGGCUUGGCACCUCCGCCCCCGCCGCCCCGAGGCAGCGGAUAGUCACAUGCGACGAGGUUCCGGUCAAGGAGGUUGCCCUGGGCGACGGCCCGUCCAAGACCACACGGAUCGGUGGUCUUCUGGGCGGCAAAUAGGAAGACGCGCUCGUCUCUUUCCUGCGGGCAAACGCUGACGUCUUCGCAUGGAGACCGACGGAUAUGCCCGGGGUCCCCAGGGAGGUGAUUGAGCACCGUCUCGCCGUGCGGUCGGGCGCAAGGCCGGUCCGGCAGAAAGUACGGCGGCAGGCCCCGGAACGUCAAGCCUUCAUCCGCGAGGAGGUGGCGCGACUUCUGGAGGCCGGAUUCAUCCGCGAGGUCAUCCAUCCGGAGUGGCUGGCGAACCCGGUGGUCGUUCCCAAGGUGAACGGCAAGCUUCGGAUGUGUAUCGACUACACCGACCUUAACAAGGCAUGUCCUAAGGACCCUUACCCCCUGCCUCGCAUAGAUCAGAUUGUCGACUCCACAGCGGGGUGCGACCUUUUGUGUUUUCUAGAUGCAUACUCUGGUUACCAUCAGAUUCGCAUGGCUAGGGAGGAUGAGGAAAAAACUGCAUUCAUUACCCCCAUAGGAACUUAUUGUUAUACGACAAUGCCCUUCGGGUUAAAGAAUGCAGGUCCUACUUUUCAACGUACUACUCGAAUUUCUUUGGGUAGCCAAAUAGGACGUAAUGUUGAGGCUUAUGUCGAUGACUUGGUUGUAAAGACGCGCAACCAAGAGACCUUACUCUCGGAUCUAGCGGAAACUUUUGAGAGUCUCCGCUCCGCCCGCAUAAAACUGAACCCCGAUAAGUGCGUGUUCGGUGUACCUGCGGGCAAGCUUCUCGGGUUUUUGGUCUCUGCCCCAGGCAUCGAGGCCAACCCCGAGAAGAUACGAGCUAUAGAGCGGAUGCGCCCCCCCAGCAAGCUUAGGGAUGUGCAAUGUGUCACCGGUUGCAUGGCCGCCCUAAGUCGGUUCAUAUCGAGGCGGGAGAGAAGGCGCUACCCUUAUUUAAGCUCCUCAAACGCUCCGGGCCGUUUACUUGGACGGAGGAAGCUGAACGUGCCCUCACUCAGUUGAAGGCGUAUCUCAGCUCUCCCCCAGUUCUGGUCGCCCCGGAGCCAAUUGAACCAUUGCUACUCUACUUAGCGGCGACCCCGCAAGUGGUUAGUGCGGCGUUGGUUGUGGAGCGCGAUGAGGACAAUCCUCAUUCCGCGCACCCCCACCCUGUGCUGGCUUGGCCCGGGAGAGAGCAGGGAGGAGAGGCCCCCGAGCCGAACGGUGGCCCAAGGCCCCCGACGACCGGAGCAGGCCCUCUGCCCGCUUGUCAGACGGUGCCAGGUGCCCCCGACCCCCAGGAUGGCCCGAGGGCCACUGCGGGAAGGCCGCACCUAUCGCCCUCUGACCCCGAGGCUAACCCUGUGCCGACUCGACCCGGGAGAGAGCAGGGAGAAGAGGCCCCCAAGCCGAACGGUGGCCUAAGGCCCCUGACGACCGGAGUUGGCCCUUUGCCCGCUUGUCCGACGACGCCAGGAGCCCCCGACCCCCAGGACGGCCCCGAGGCCACUGUGGGAAGGCCGCCCCUGUCGUCCUCCGACCCCGAGGUCGUCGGCACAGAAGAUGAGUGCACCCCGCGAGGCCGCUUGGACAAAGAGCGCCCCAGGGAUGUGGCCCCUAGCGAAGAGGAUCGGCCCCACCGAAAGGUGCAGCGGCCCAUCUACUUUGUUAGUGAGGCCCUCCGGGACGCCAAGACCCGAUACCCUCAGGCCCAGAAGAUGCUUUACGCUAUUCUGAUGGCUUCGAGGAAACUGCGCCAUUAUUUCCAGGCACAUCGGGUCACGGUUGUUACGUCUUACCCCCUCGGCCAAAUCUUGCAUAAUCGAGAGGGUACUAGACGUGUGGUGAAAUGGGCAAUCGAACUUUCUGAGUUUGAUUUGCACUUUGAACCACGCCACGCUAUCAAGAGCCAGGCCUUCGCCGAUUUUGUGGCAGAGUGGACCCCAGCUCCCGAGCCCGUCUCAGUCCCCGAGGCCAGCUCGGGCCCCUCACAGCUGCCUCACACCGCCCACUGGGUGAUGCAGUUCGACGGCUCCCUGUCUCUUCAGGGCGCCGGUGCGGGGGUCACGUUGACCUCGCCGAACGGAGACGUCCUCAGAUAUUUGGUUCGCCUUGACUUUCGGGCGACCAAUAAUAUGGCAGAGUACAAGGGACUCCUUGCGGGACUCAGGGUGGCAGCUGGACUGGGGAUCCGCCGCCUCCUGGUGUUAGGCGACUCCCAGCUGGUCGUUAACCAGGUCUGUAAGGAGUACCGGUGCUCUGACCCGCAGAUGGACGCUUACGUGCGCCAAGUACGGCGUAUGGAGCGCCAUUUUGACGGGAUAGAGCUUCGGCAUGUGCCCAGACGGGAUAACACGGUUGGCGACGAACUCUCACGGCUCGCUUCCUCGCGAGCCCAGACCCCACCGGGCGCCUUUGAAGAAAGGCUUGCCCAGCCGUCGGCGCGACCCGACCCCUUAGGGGAGACGGACGCGCCUGACAGGCCCCCGAUGCCCGUCGGAGUCCAGGCCUCGGGACCCGAGGGGAGCGCUCCCAGCUCCCUUAGAUUGAUUGCUUGGAUCGCUGAGAUCCAAGCAUACCUCACAGAUAAGACUCUACCCGAGGACCGCGAAGGGAGUGAACGCGUCCAGCGCAUCUCCAAACGCUACGUGCUGGUAGAAGGGACCCUCUAUCGGCGCGCGGCUAACGGAAUCCUCCUGAAGUGCAUUCCUCGGGAACAAGGCGUCGAGCUUCUUGCCGAUAUCCAUGAAGGCGAAUGCGGAGCCCACUCCGCCUCGCGCACCUUGGUUGGCAAAGCCUUUCGACAAGGUUUCUAUUGGCCGACAACUCUUAAUGAUGCGGUCGACCUGGUCCGGCGAUGCAGAGCGUGUCAAUUCCACGCCAAGCAAAUCCAUCAGCCGGCCCAGGCCCUGCAGAUCAUACCACUUUCGUGGCCAUUUGCUGUCUGGGGGCUCGAUAUCCUGGGACCGUUUAGGCGGGCCCCGGGCGGGUUUGAGUAUCUAUAUGUCGCGAUCGACAAGUUCACUAAGUGGCCCGAGGCUUAUCCGGUCGUCAAGAUCGAUAAGCACUCCGCACUUAAAUUCAUUAAGGGCAUCACAGCCCGGUUUGGAGUGCCUAACCGUAUUAUUACGGAUAACGGCACCCAAUUCACUAGUGAACUUUUCGGCGAUUACUGCGAAGACAUGGGCAUCAAGCUCUGCUUCGCCUCACCUGCCCACCCCAGAAGCAACGGCCAAGUAGAGCGCGCCAAUGCGGAAAUCCUCUGAGGCCUUAAAACCAAGACCUUCAACAUCCUCAAGAAGCACGGCGAUUCGUGGAUCGAGGAGUUGCCAGCGGUGCUCUGGGCGAACCGAACCACGCCAAGCCGAGCAACCGGGGAAACGCCUUUCUUCCUCGUCUACGGCGCGGAAGCGGUUCUCCCAUCCGAGCUCACCCUGAGGUCCCCUCGGGCCACCAUGUACUGCGAGGCUGAUCAAGAUCAGCUCGCAGAGAUGACCUCGACUACUUGGAAGAGCGAAGGCGGCGCGCGGCCCUCCGAGCUGCGCGCUACCAGCAGAGCCUGCGGCGCUACCAUCAGCGCCACGUCCGGGCCCGAUCACUCUGCGUCAACGACCUCGUCCUACGCCGCGUCCAAACGCGUGCUGGAUUGAGCAAGCUCUCACCAAUGUGGGAGGGUCCGUAUCGACUGAUCGGCGUCCCCCGGCCGGGCUCCGUUCGGCUGGCCACGGGCGAUGGCACAGAGCUGCCUAACCCGUGGAACAUCGAACACCUUCGUCGCUUCUACCCCUAAAGGGGGAUCGGGUGUCAGGUUUCGGGCUCGGGCCAACCCCGCACCCCCCUCGGGCGUGCAGGGUUGGCCGGGGGCUACCACAUAUGCAUAUUCUUAUUUCUUUUAUAUCUGUAUUUCAAUAAAAGCAUUUUCGAUUUCCUAAAGGCUGUAUCUGUGCUGUUGUUUCCUUUUGAAGGAUCUUGACUUGAAAUAGGUCACUCGUGUUCAAUCCUGCCCUCGGGGGCUCGGGUCGGCUAAAAUCGCCAAACGGGGCCCAGAACCGAGCCGUGCCCCGGGGCGUGGUGAACUCCGGGGGGGAAUCGGCAAAAACCCACAAUCGGGUCACCCAUAACCCUCGGUCAUCACGCUCCCGGCCUGGCCAGUCUCGACAUGUGGAUCUCCCCAGGCACUAGCCCCGACCCGAGCCAUUUGAGGACUAGGACCUGGGCACGAGCCCUUGUUCAAGCCAAGACACAAAAGGACCGCGGCACAGACCAUCCUCGUCUCAUACACACAACAAAUAGAAUUGACACAAAAAAUUUUCCUCUUUAUUUGAUUGCAGAUUAAAUUAGUCUAUACAAGAAGGGGGCCCGAAGGCCUCGGAAGAAGAAAAGAAGAAACUAUUUAAAGAUUGGCGGGGGCCUGGGGGCUCACUCCGAUGCACCCGGGUCGCCAGCCUCGUCGCCACUGUCGCCCACUCCGCCGUCAUCGUCCUCCUCGUCGGAGUUGAGGGCGAACGCGAGCCGAGGGGCCGAACCCUCGAAGCUGUGGACGAUAUGGUCGGCGGCGUCCCGGACCUGCGCGCGCGCGCCGUCCUCGGUCCCGGGAGGGAACUCGUCCAGCGCCGUCCAUGGGGAGAAGUCGGGAUCCCUGGCUUGGUAACUCGCCAGUACGAGCUCCACCGCUCCUCGGGCGAGGUCCCUCGAGGAUGACUUAAUCGUCCUCUCGAGCUCCUCGGGAAGCCGUUGGAGAGUCCCGGCUAUCUCCGAGAGGCGCUGGGCGAGGCCCCCCUGGUUGGCGGCGUACUUCGCAGUCCGCCCGCCCCAGAGGCCCGCCUGCCGGCCGGCGCGGUCUAGACGGGAGACGGCGUCCCGAAGCAUGCCGGGCCCUACCUCGCCUGCCAAGCGGAGGGCCUCGACCUCCCGGCAGACGAGUCUAGCGCGCCCUGCAGAUCGGCGAUGGUGUGUUCGGCAGCUGCGAGGCGGGCGGUUAAGUCGCUUUCGCCCGCGGCCGCCCCGCCACUGCGCGCCCUCGCGUCCAGCUCCCUCUCCCGCGCCUCGAGCUCACCGGCCCACUGAUUCAGCGCGGCCCUCUCGGCGCGGGCACCUUCUAGAUUACGGCGCGCCUGCUCCUCCCGCACUGCCUCGCGGAGGGACAGGCUGUCCGCCAGCCGUUGCGCCGCGGCCUCGGCCUCCUCGAGAGCUCGCUCCCGCUCGGUGAGCGCGUCCUCGCGGAGGCGGAGCGCGGACUCCUCUUCGGCGCAGGCGGCCUCGUGCGCAGUCAGCGUUGCCUCCCGGAUGGCAACGGCGGCCUCGCGAUCCGCCAGGUUCCUCUCCACGGCACAGGCACGCUCUUCCAGCGCCAUGGCACGGGCCUCAAGGGCUUCUUCGCGCCGCCGGGAUGCCACCUCGGUCUCCGCCGCCCGCCGUUCUCGGGCAGCGGCAGCGUCAAGGACCCCCUGGGCGGCGUCGAGCUUCUUCCCUAGCUCCGCCUCCCAGCUCCCGUAUUGAAGGCGGAGGGUGUCCUGCGCCUCGUUCAUCACGGUGGUGGCGAUGAGGGCAGCCCCCCGCUCCUCCUCCACCUCCUUGGCGAUCUCCCCCAGCACCUUCCGACGGGCUUCGAGCUCUGAGACGUGCCGGCGGUGUGCCUUGCGGCCCACCUCCACCAUGGCCUCCACCGAGCGUCGCCCCUCUUCGACACGCGCCCAUGCGGCGUCGAGCUCCGCCCGCUCUGCUUGCAGGGCCUCCACCUGGGCACUUAACCCGUCCAACACCGUGGUGUUUGCGAUGGCCAAGGCCUGCAGAAGGGGUUCUGCGCUCAGUGGAGCAACGGAAGGCGUGGGGAAGAGCCGCCUCGAAGAGGAUGCUGCGCGGCUUGGCCCGCCGAUGGACGUGCCGGACUCGGGGAUGUCCCCCGGACCUGGUUUGUCCUGAGCGUCGCACGAGGGAGUGGGCCCAAGCGAUGCACUCGCGGCCUCGCCGCGAGUUGCCUCGGAAGUCGUUGUCGCCUCGGCCUGGCGAAGUCUAGCCUCCUCCCGAGCGGCUUCUUCAGCUUGGCGAGCUCGGACGGCCACCUGGGCAGCUUCCUCGGCUUCUUGAAGGCGAUCCACGGCCUCUUGCCGGUCAGUUUCACGGGUCGCCUCGGAGGAUGUCGUCGCCUCGGCCUGGCGGAGUCCGGCCUCCUCCCGAGCGGCUUCCUCGGUCUGGCGAGCCUGGGCGGCCUCCCGAGCGGCCUCCUCGGCUUCCCGAAGGCGAUCCGCGGCUUCUCGCCGGUCAGAUUCCCGCCUCCGGGCCUCUGUGGUCGCCGGGUCCUCGGCCUCAGACUGGCCGGACUUGGAAUGGCGGGAGGGACGCGACGGGAUCUCGCUGAAGCAGAAGAAAAGCCAGAAGACAAACAAGAUGGGUGAAUGAAAACUUGUGUUGGAAGAAUGAAUACAGCCACAAUGGGCGUGGGACGAACCUGCGAGGGGGUCGGUUAAACGACCACCUUGGAGGAGAAAUGAGGUUUCCCCGGGAUGGUUCUGUCCCCCCCAUCUUGCGGAGCCGUUUCUUCUUCCGCUCCCCCUCGGGCUGCGGCGUCGGCGCGGCCCCCUCCGGGCGCCUGCUGCUGACACGCGCCGCCCCGCCCCCUCGGGGAGGAGAUGGGGAGGAAGUACCCUCUUGCUUUCUCUUCCCUCGGGCGUCGGCAGGGCGGCUACCCCCCGAGCCCCCAUCACGGGGCCCAGAAGCACGACCCCCUCCCGGGGUAGAUUGUUCCCCCCUGCGGCUCCCGCCCGAGCCAUCGUGGCCUCGAGGAGCCCGCUCCUCCGACGCCCCGACCGCCUGCAUGAUGGUCAGGAUGUUGGCGCGAUCUGGAUCGCUGCAGAGGGGGAGGACUCCUUGGGGGAUGAGGGAUGCCUCCGCGGAGCUGAGAUUCAGCACCCGUUGGAUCAUUACCUUGAAGUCUUCGGGGACCCAGUCCCAUUUGACCCCCCGGUGGGUCCUCAUACAGUCCUCGGACCCGGUGUACUCCCAGGCAUCCCGGGCGCGCCGCUGGAGUGGCGCGAUCCGGCGACGAAGAUAGUCGCUGUACACCAUGGCCCCUGUGAGCCCCAGGGAUCACAGGCCCGCCAGGCGGUCGAGGACGGCGUCAUAGCCAUCUCCCAGAUCUACCGGCGCCCGCCAGCUGGAGGCCUGCGCCGGGGGCUGGCUCGGAAGACGGAGGCGCGCUUCGUCGGCGAGGGGGGUGUAGAACCAGUCGCUCUUCCAGUCAUCCCACUUCUUGCGGAGGACGCAGGGAAUGUAGCGGUUCAACACCGGCCCCCGCGGCUGGAAGUAGCAACCACCAACCACCGACGGCGGCGACACCGACUGUACGGUGAAGAACCACCGGAACAGCCGAAGGGAUGGGCGCACCCCGAUGAACAUCUCGCACAGGUGCGCGAAGAUGGCCAAUGUCAUUACCGCGUUGGGGGUGAGGUGCGCCAUCUGGAGAUCGUAAAACUCCAGAACAUCCAUGAAGAAAGAAGAAAAUGGCGGAACCAGCCCUGCCAUUGCAAAAGGGAGGAAGAAGACGGACCGCCCCGGGUAGCAUGGCGUCGGGCGUCCCUCGCCCAGCGUAACUAUCUCCCGGCCGGUGGCAGAUUCCGGCAUGAAGCGGCGUGGCAGCCCGGCCUGCCUCUCGCUCACGAUGCGGGAAGGCGGCAGCACGCUACCAUCAAGCAAAGCGGAGCCCCGUGCCAUGACGCCGGAGGAAGAGAUGUUUAAGAGCGAGCGCGUGUGGCGAAGGUAGGGCACAGGAAACAAGGAGUUAGGGCGCAAGCGGCGAAGACAAGGGGAAUAAUGGCGAGAGGAAGGAAGCAAAUCUCUUCCUCGGCGACUUUAUACCCUUGCCAACGCUGUGCCCGGCUCCUCGUUUCUCGCGCCCACUAUCUUGCCCCCUCGUUUCUCGCGCCCACGCUUCCACAAAUCCCAUUCGCCCGUUUGCGGUGCAUGAGGUGGACAUGCGGCUGUGGCAGUCGAGAUGGAACAUCUCGUGCGCGCGUUAAUUACGCUCGCCGACCAAAGCGCCAUCACCAUAUCUCCAGGAAAAACGAACCGGCUUGUCCCGAUUUUUAGACCGGCCCCACCAUGUCACCAGGCCUUAGGAAGUGGCGUCACGCCCGACCGCUUCCCUCGAGGAGGGCGAUCGCCCUGGCAUAACGCCGGGGGCUACUGUCGGUGACAUGGGACCGGGAGUAUCAUGACUUAGAGACUUGAGGCAGACACGAUCACCCACGUGGCCUAACCCCCUCGGGGGGGGUCGGGCCCGAGGGUGAUACGGCCGCCCUUCUCUUUGUCUCCCCGAGGGGUCGGACCGCUCCCGUCUCGGCCCCGAGGGCCGAGGCGCCCCGACCCCUUGUGGGUUUUGCGCCGCGUAUAUGGGGUAGGUGAGCAUAGCGGGGCUCACCUAACCACAUUUAUUGCGGUUUGGACGAGCGCGUCACGCCGCAUGUAACGCAGUGCAGCGCGCUCGUUUAUCCGGUCAGUGACCAGUCACAGACCGAUCAGAUCGUGGGUUAGGUGGCGACAGGCGGUCUGACGCACGCCUCGCCCCAUCCCGUCAGGAUGAGAGCCUCCAAGCACUCGUCCCUAGCCGGAGCCGGCGUGUUAGCUCCUGGAGAUGGCACGUUGGUCCCGGUCAGAUAUAUACCAGGCUUCAUCCUAACCAUUAAAAGCAAGACAUUGUAUGAAGAGGGGCGAACAUGCAGAUUGAUAAACUGACGCGUGGUGGACAAGAAUGACCGAUUUGUGACCGGUCUGACACUGAUCAUGUCGUCAGCAGACAGCCAUGUUCCCAAGUCGCGCCUGCUUCCGGCGGAAGUGGAGGUAGGUAUGGGCUGUCCCAUCAGAAGGUCAUUCGGACGGCAACCAUACAAGUCUCCGUCUGUUUAUGAAAAGAUAGGAUAAGUCCCCACAAAAAAGAGAGAGAUGGUGCAUGUGGUAUCCCCUUGAGGUAUAAAAGGAGGACCUUGCCCACUUAGAAGGAGGAGGGAUUUUCGGAUCCAGAACGAUCAGAGAGGAAGAGAGUAAGAGCUCUCUGGUUCUCCAGCUCUUUUGUAGCUUCUUCAUACAUAGAUCCACAAAAACACAGGAAGUAGGGUAUUACGCUUCUCAGCGGCCCGAACCUGUAUACAUCGCCCGUGUCUUGUGUGUUUCCAUUCUCGCGAACCUUCCACACAAAGACUAGGAGCUUAGAAUCUCACCCAGGGCCCCCGGCCGAACCGGCAAAGGGGGGCCUGCGCGGUCUCCCGGUGAGGAGCCCCACGCUCCGUCAAUAUAUAUAUAUAUAUAUAUAUAUAUAUAUAUAUAAACCAUGCAGCAACAAGGCCAUGCAAAAAAAAAAAGGACAGCUCGAUCUUUACUCCCGGUUAUUUCACCCGGGACUAAAGAUAGCGAUCUUUAGUCCCGGAUUGGUACUCCCGGUUUGGAAACCGGGACUAAAGGGGGGUUACGAAUCGGGACUACAAAGGGUUUCUCCACCAGUGUUUAUAAUACGCGAAGGCGUAUAGUUUAGUGGUAAAGUGCGAUCCAUGGACCGUGGUAGGAAUGUAGGAUAAGCACCGUCCCUAAUCUCAAUACGAUAAGAGACACGAUAGCUGGUCGAUCGUGCCACAGAGGUUAUAUCUAAUUUUAUUAUAUAUAUUUGAAAAAAAAACUAAUUAAUCAUGUGCUUAAACCAUGUGAUCAAGGUGGUGCUCAAAAUUUUCUCGUCGCAAUACGCAGCAAUACUGCUAUAGUACUGUCUAGUACUAUCGGCUGUACCGUUUAUUACAUGUAUGGAAAUAGCACUACGUAUAGUAUAGUAUACGGGAGUAUUGUGCUACACCUUGAUGUAAGAUUUGUUUGGAGGGUUUUUGAUUCUGAAGAGAGCUGUCGGGAAGGAUGAGUUAGGUUGGCUUUUUUUUAGACAUAGGGAAUAUAUUAUCAUGAUUGGUUUUUUAAACAGGGGAGUAUAUGCUAAUUAUGAGUUGCUUUAUUUUAGUUCCCAACAACAGCUUUCAAACACACCUUAAAAGCUAGAAAAUCAACGUGGUGAGAAUUUUAAGAAACACAAGCAUUAGACUAUUUAGGAGAGUAAUGGUUUUGAAAAACACUCCCUCCGUUUUAUAAUGUAAAUCAUUUUAGCAUUGCCUAUAUUUAUAUAGAUGCUAAUUAAUUUAGACAUGUCUAUAUAAAUUUAUAUAAAUGUGGAUAAUAAUAAAAUGACUUACAUUAUAAACGGAUGAAGUAUUCUACAGCUAUCAGAGUAUCAUAAAAAAGGGCAGUAAUGUUUGCCUAUCCGCGAUUACGUGCACCAUCCAUCGUCUCCACGUACGUCGUUCGCCGCAGGGUUCGCACUCGCGGGGCGUGUGUAGAUUCGCGGGCCGGCUGCAAUGGGCGAAAAGCUACGAGUAGAUCAUCGGAGGAAAAAAGGCGCCGGCAAAUCUCGGAACGCGGCGUAGUAAAAGCAAGAAAUUAAAAACAAAGCACCGAGAUCGGCUGACGUCGCCGCCAGCCGCCCCGGGAAGGGAAGCCUCGGUCGGGUCUUCGAGCGCCGUUCCCACGUACUCCGUACGGACGCAACCGCAUGGCGCGCGCGCAUUUUGAGGGCUGGCCGGCGCCGCGGGCCCCUGCCGCUGCCAGUGCCAACGUCGCGGCGUCACCGUGUUGUCCGUGCAGCUAGCUAGUCAUCACUGUAGCUGGCGGAGACUCGCCGGCUCGACGGGCGACGGCCAUGCACUUCCAUGGAGCAGCACCACAGACACCGGCCCGUCGCGCAAUUCUGCGUCGCUAGUGGCUAGUGCUACUCGUCAACUCCGGCUGCCAUCGACGGUCAUUGUCUCACAAACAUGUACUCCCUCCGUCGCUAGUGGUUUUGAGUUUUUUUAGUUUGUAACGUUUGAUCACUCGUCUUAUUUAAUUUGUUUUGAAAUUAUUAUUUAGUUUAUUUGUGACUUACUUUAUUAUCUACAAUACUUUAAGCAUAACUUUUCGUUUUUAUAUUUGCAAAAAUAAUUUGAAUAAGACGAGUGAUCAAACGUUACAAACAAAAACUCAAAAUCCCUUAUAUUGUGGGGACAAAGGGAGUAGUACGAAUAAGAGCAAGUAUAAUGGUGAGUUAUAAGUCUACUAUAAACUUAGAUGGAGGAGAGAAGUAGUGAAAAAUCAAGAGUGUUAGCUCUCAUGAAAGAGCUAACUUAUGAGAGAGGAGAAGAAAAUUAUAGCUAACCUUAUAGCUAAUCUAUUAUAUAUGUUGACUUUAAGAUUAGCUAAUAGUAAGAAGUGAGCUAUAUUAUUAUCUUUGCUAUAAGAGUAUCCACUCAACUAACUAGAUGGGCACGCAUUAGUGCUCUUUGUCCGUGCACGUCACGGCACUAUUGCGGUAGUAGUACUCGCAAAGGGCAGUGGCUACCAAUAGUCGUUCGUUGGGAUGGAGGGAGCCGGGGGCUGGUCGAGCGUGGCAACGGGAAACAGGGGACGACCCUGCAAACGAGAGCGCAUCGUUCGUGCGGUCGUGGAUGUUGUUGUGUUGUGCUGUGCGCCCGUUUGGUCGACAGGCACGGGCGCAUUAAACUCCCAUGCUUAAUUCCCCGGGCCCCACCAGACAGGCAGAUCAGAUCCGACGUGUACGACGGGCGGUCAAAGCCCAGUACGGACGGACCCGGUCACCCACCCGGUGCCGGAGCCCCCGGUGGUGUCGCGGCUGUGGCCUGUGACACCUGUGACACUUCACUGACUCUGAGCGCCCGCAGGACGGUGGGCCCCACCGACCCGCGAGGGUGGGGUCACGUCACGGGGCAGCGCUGCGAUCGAGGGGCUCCGGAUCGACGGACCGGAUUAAACUGGAUCGGGGUCGUCACAAUGGCAGGUGGGGCCCGCGGUGCAGCGCGACGUCACGGGGCGGGUGGGGCCGAGGGGCGUCGUGGGGAUAUCCGGAACCGGACGGAUCAGCGGUCGGGCUGGCGUGGCAAUAUGUGUGGUCCAGCCUGUGCAGUUGGGGGCGGGGGAAGGGAAGAUCUUCUGUAAGCAUCAGCGGUGGCAGUACAGUGGAUGGCAGCUGGAGGUCAGGAUGGGAAUGGUUAAUAUGGAUCGAACUUAAACCAUUUGAAAUGUGUUUAUUGUACCAUGGUUUAAAAGUUUCAAUCUAUCAUGGGUCUAUUAUAUCAAUAGGUUAUCUAUGUAUAUCCAAAUGGAUCAUCUAUCCUCCUAAUAGAUAAAAAAAAGCUCUUAUUGCAUAUAUGUAAAAGUCGGACCUAAAAUUUUUAAACUCGUGUUUACAUAGUAAAACCUUAUCAAAUUUAGUUAAAUUUAUAGAGAUGAUUUAUUAUAUGGAGAAGCAACUUUGUUCAAAUUUUAAGUUAUUUAGACAUGCGGAGCCCACUAUGCAUUACUAAGAUUCAAAGAAAUUCUAGCUACACGUGUGUAAAACUCGGACCCAAAAUUUUUAAACUCGCGUUUACACUAUAAAAAUUUGUCAAAUUUAGUUGAAUUUUAUAUGAAUGAUUUAUUAUAUAGAGAAGCAACUUUGUACAAAUUUUUAAAAUAUUUAUACAUGUGAAGUCAUUUUGGGUCAAACCUCUUAAACCUUAGGUUCUAAGGGCAAGGCCAAUGCUUAUGGUUCCAUCAGCCAUAUAUGUGGGACCCGCUAUAAGUAAGCAUUAGCUAUGUCCAUAUCCACAAUGGCUGUGCCUAUGGGAGAAAAUAAGCUGGGUCCCAAUGGGUCCCACCGAAGGAUAAAAAAAUCACUUCUUAUCCUCCUGUGAAACUCUUUGCACAAUGAAAAUUCCCCAAAAGUACUAGCGUGAACAGCACAUCACAAAAGUAUUGUAUUCUAUAGUUUUGUUACCACACCAUAAGGCUAAUGCUCAUUUUUUAUGUCAGAUUCUUAUGGUCCACUUUCACAAUGCUUAAUGUUAUUUAUUGCUUAAGGUUACUUUUAGCACACAUUGUGGUUGCCCUAAUGGUUUGAGCCGUUUGGUCCAUUUAUAUUUUUUUAGAGCGACCCUAAAAUCCGUUAGGACAAAUUUAUGAAUAGAUUUAGUGAAUAAAUGGAUCGACCCUACCCAUUCCCAUCCUGAGCUGGAGGGUGACGGAGCUGUGUAGUAGGGAUAGCAGCGGCCGUCGGGGCCAACCAGACUCAUGAUCGAGUUGCUUGGCGUCGGGGGAGAAACUCUGAAAGAGCAAAUAGGACACAGAUCUUUUUUUUUUAUAUUGACUGUUUGAUACGUGGGCUCUAUAUCCAGUGAGUUUAUAUGGCAGUGAUCCACAUUAGAGGAUAGUAUUGCACAGAAGACUUAUAUGAAGUAAGGUGUGUUUUUUUUCGAGGUAGUAAAGUGUUUUUGGUUGACAAGGAUAGCUCCGGUAUUCGAAAUUAUAGAAAUUAUAUUGUUCUAUGUUGAAAUUCUAAAUGUAGAAAUGGGAUUGUCUUACAUUUGAACUAAUAAAUAAAUGUACAGAAAAGUAGUAAUACUGAUAUGGCUUUGUCUCGAAUUUUGAAAGGUCUGGCAGCUUCAAAAUAUUACUAGCAUUAUACUAAUAAAUUACAAACAAAAUCUAGGCAGUAUACAGCAAAAGAUGUCUAUUAUGGAUAUACCUCGAGUAGCUAUCCUACCCUAGUACAAAGAAAGUUUAGGUCAUCAUCGGUUACUCAUAAAAAUUAAUCUGUAGUUAACAAAUAUAUGUGUGUUUUCUCAACAAUUUAAAAUGACAAUGCUGAAAAAGUAACUACAUUGAAAUUGUCUUAAAAUCAACUUUAAUUUUAAAGUUUUAAAAUUUAAAUUUUGGAUUUGCUUUGACUUAUUGAGGCAACCAAUGAAGCUCUUAAUUUCUUGAAACGUGCAAAUAUAUGUCAAAGGUAAGCGCAUAUGAUAAAGUGCUCGGAAAGCUAUGGUGUAGAGCUUUCCAAAAUUAUCGUUAGACAUACACAAGGAUACUGAAAAACUUGUGGCGUUGUUUUACAGAUUUAUCUUAACACGGAAAAUAAAUACAAAAUGAAAUUUAGGUACAUGAAGUUUGUGUUCAACAAGAAAAGAUGAACAUUCAUAUGUAGCAAUGGUUGUACGGUAUGUCCGUAACAUGAAUACUGUUUUCUAGUCUUGAAUAUUGUUUUCUACCCACAUCAAUAAUGAAACCAAUUCGAACAGCUUGCGGCAACUUAAUAAAUAUACAAAUAUUGCACUGAUCUAUGUUAAAAAAAAGUUAGCCGCAAAAUCUUAUAAAGCUUGUAUCAAAAUAUGAAACCCAAGGAUCCAACUUCAAAAACAAAAAAAAGAAGAGUAAAUUACACUGGUAGUUCUUAAACUUGUAACGAAGUUUUACUUAGGUCUAUAAACUUGCAAAACGCAUAUCGAGAUCCCUAAACUUGAUUUAAUGUAUCAUCCGGAUCCAAAGCCUCGUUUGACCGUGUCUUACCUACGUGGAGGAUAACAUGGAAUUUUUACUUUUUUUCUCCUUUCUUAUCCCUUUUUUUCUCCUUUCUUAUCCCUUUUUUUUUCUCCACUUUGCCUCUUUCCUCUCCCUUAUGCCGCAUUUUUCUCCACGCGAGGUGAGGAAGGAGAGAAAAGAUGGGAAGAAAAAAAGGGAAAAAGAAAAAUUAGCCAAGUCAUCGUCCACGUGGCAUAACACAUAGGCAAGAUUACGGUCAAACCAGUCUUUAGACCAGGAUGAUACAUUAAACCAAGUUUAAAGAUCUCAAUACGUGCUUUGUAAGUUCGUGGACAUAAUUGAAAAUUCGUUACAAGUUUAAGAACCGCUAGUAUAAUUUACUCAGAAAGAAAAGAAAGUAAACUAUCCAAUAUCCACAAAAGAUCCCCACACCUGAUCACACCCAGUUUAAGCGCCCACACGGCCACACUCCCCUGCCGUUCAUCACUCCCUCCCCAUUUUACCGUUGAGGUCGGCGACCUCCGCGGACGGUACGGCGGGACACUAGCCCGUCCCGAGGGGCAAUCCCGUAAUUUUCGCGCAGUACAGUGCCUCCCAGCGCAGUGGCUUCGCCCCACGCCCUACUGUUUUAAAUCCCCCUGCCGCUCUCCUCCGCCGUCUUCUUCCCCCCCUUCCUCUCCACCACCCCCGAUUCGUCGUCCACCACCGUUCGACGAGUUUCUCGCAGAUCGGGCGGGGGCGCGCCGGGAUGGCGUACAUGUGCGCGGACAGCGGCAACCUCAUGGCCAUCGCGCAGCAGGUGAUCCAGCAGCAGCAGCAGCAGCAACAGCAGCAGCAGAGGCACCACCACCACCACCAUCUGCCGCCGCCGCCGCCGCCGCAGUCGAUGGCGCCGCACCACCACCAGCAGAAGCACCACCACCACCACCAGCAGAUGCCGGCGAUGCCGCAGGCGCCGCCCUCGUCGCACGGCCAGAUCCCGGGCCAGCUCGCGUACGGUGGCGGCGCGGCGUGGCCCGCCGGGGAGCACUUCUUCGCGGACGCGUUCGGGGCGUCCGCCGGCGACGCGGUGUUCUCCGACCUCGCGGCGGCCGCGGACUUCGACUCUGAUGGGUGGAUGGAGAGCCUUAUUGGGGACGCCCCCUUCCAGGACUCCGACCUGGAACGCCUCAUCUUCACCACCCCGCCGCCGCCCGUGCCGUCCCCACCCCCCACGCAUGCCGCCGCCACCGCCACCGCCACCGCCGCCACCGCCGCUCCUCGACCUGAGGCUGCACCGGCUUUGCUCCCCCAGCCUGCUGCUGCGACCCCGGUGGCGUGUUCGUCUCCGAGUCCGAGUUCCGCGGACGCCUCCUGCUCCGCUCCCAUCCUCCAGUCCCUCCUGUCCUGCUCCCGCGCGGCGGCGACCGACCCUGGCCUCGCCGCCGCGGAGCUCGCCAGCGUCCGCGCCGCCGCGACUGACGCCGGGGACCCAUCUGAGCGCUUGGCCUUCUACUUCGCUGACGCGCUUAGUCGCCGCCUUGCGUGCGGCACCGGAGCUCCGCCCUCCGCGGAGCCGGACGCGCGGUUCGCCUCCGACGAGCUCACGCUCUGCUACAAGACGCUCAACGACGCCUGCCCCUACUCCAAGUUCGCGCACCUCACCGCCAACCAGGCCAUCCUGGAGGCCACAGGCGCGGCGACCAAGAUCCACAUAGUUGACUUCGGGAUCGUGCAGGGCAUCCAGUGGGCGGCGCUGCUUCAGGCGCUCGCCACCCGGCCCGAGGGGAAGCCAACGCGGAUACGGAUCACCGGCGUCCCCUCGCCGCUCCUGGGGCCGCAGCCCGCGGCGUCCCUCGCCGCCACCAAUACCCGUCUCCGUGACUUCGCCAAGCUCCUCGGGGUGGACUUCGAGUUCGUCCCAUUGCUCCGGCCUGUGCACGAGCUCAACAAGUCGGAUUUCUUGGUUGAACCUGACGAGGCCGUGGCCGUCAAUUUCAUGCUGCAGCUGUACCACCUUCUUGGCGACUCGGACGAGCUAGUGAGAAGAGUGCUUCGUCUUGCCAAAUCGCUCAGUCCAGCAGUGGUCACACUUGGAGAGUACGAGGUCAGCCUGAACCGAGCUGGGUUCGUCGACCGGUUCGCCAAUGCGUUGAGCUAUUACCGGUCAUUGUUCGAGUCGCUGGAUGUGGCAAUGACCCGGGACUCACCGGAGAGGGUGAGGGUGGAGCGUUGGAUGUUCGGGGAGCGAAUUCAGAGGGCCGUCGGGCCGGAGGAAGGCGCAGACCGGACGGAGAGGAUGGCCGGCAGCAGCGAGUGGCAGACCCUGAUGGAGUGGUGCGGCUUCGAGCCCGUGCCGCUCAGCAACUAUGCCAGGAGCCAGGCUGAUCUUUUGCUCUGGAACUAUGAUUCCAAGUACAAGUAUUCACUUGUUGAGUUGCCACCGGCGUUCUUGUCCUUGGCAUGGGAGAAACGGCCAUUGCUUACUGUGUCUGCUUGGAGGUGAGGGUAGUUUUUUUGGGAGUAUUUGGGGGAAUGUGUGGCGUUGUGAUAGAACCUGGGAGGAAAUAGUUAGGAGAAAUCAUUUUGCAGCUUUUGUUGUAGUUUCCUCCAAAACUGUGUUUAGGAUGAUUGGUAUAAUUGGGAAAUUUUAGCUGAAUUAUCUUGCUCGGUGUUUGUGCUGCUGAAUGUGUGCAUGAUAUUAACUGGUUAGAGAAAAAUUAGUAGUAGUUGUACAGAAUUUGGUAACAGGUUUUAGCUGUGGUAUAUUGCUUGCUCAUGUUACCAGGAUGAGAAAUAUAAAUCUGGAUGCAAUUGUGCAUUUUAAGUAACAGAAUCCAACCACAAGCAAUAUUUAAGUAAUUUUCAGCUCCUGAUAUGAUACUUUUUUGAACAUCUUGUAUAUUCAUAAUCCAACAUUUCAGUCCAUUUAUUUCUUUUGAAAGCAUCUGAUUGUAUCAAAGUGAUCUCUGUAGUUAUGCAUGUACUCCUGGUUUGUCCCUUCAGUAAUGAAGUGUUGUCUGGAACUGGAAAGACCUCUUCGACUAUUCUUAUGAUUUGAAAGUAACCUUAAAUUGUGUUUUUGUAUUUCAUCUGUAUUCAGUUUACCGAUUUUCUUCACAUCUGACAUGUUAUUUUCUUGGUAACCACAUUUUUUAAAGCUCAUGUUGUGGACUGCCGAUGUCUUGCAAUGCUUUAUAAACUCAGCAUUUUAACUUGAUCUAGAAGGCAGCAUCCUCUCUUUUGGCACUUGCCCUUUUCUUCCGGAGCUAAAAUUGCUGUACUUAUCAUCUGACUUUUGUGCAUCUGAACUUGAAAACACUGUCCUAAGUAUUCUUUGCAGAAGAUAUAUAGCAGCUGUAAUUUUCAGGCAGCAUACCUUUCUUGGAUUGAUUUGCCUCAUUUUCCUUUGUUGGAAGCCAUGCCACAUGAGUCGUGACUAACUACCAGAAAUUCAGAAUCAAGAGCAAACGGAAGUUUGCCUGCCCCAAAUUUCCUGUUCCCCACAACACACAAACCUGGAAUUCUAAAUCUACCCCUUGUCUGUAAAUUGUAAUAGCCUGAAAUUCACACUAUUUUGCAGAGUGAGCAUGUCUCUCUUUUAUGAAAAGUUCCCUUUGAAUGAUAUCAACCGUUCUUCCAACCGUUCGUGCUAUGAUCCUGUCGAGGUAUUUCUGUCAGGUUUAACUUCGCUGCAAUCUUAAAGCUUGGAAAGCUUUUUCUGAGUACAUUAGGCCAAACAGAGUACAGAGCACCAGUCAGGCCUGUUUUGGCAAGAUCAUGAACCUGACCACCAGAGAGCUUUUAAGUGUGAUCAGUGCUCGGAUACGCUCGACUCUCAGUUGCGUAAGUUCCCUGGAUCUCGUGGCCACUACUGGUUGUCGGGAGACGAAGGCCUCUGCUUCUCUCCCCACCAGGCACCAGGCCACCACCGGCACUGUCGCACUGAGCCAUUUUCUCUGUGAGAAGUGAAACGCUCAGAAGUGAAAUGGCUUUGUUUGAAAGAGCUUUUAGCCGCUGUAACUUCUUUUAAAAUCCGUAGCUCCUUCAACAGUUCAGAUUUUCAUCAAAAUUCUGAGAAUUGAUAGAUGUAAAACAUAGAAAUAAACUGAAUGUCAAAAGGUAGAAAGCAUAACUUUUCAGAUUUUCAUUCAGCUUCUUAUCAGCAUCUUGAACUACCCAUAGGUGCCAUUUCCACUAGCUGGCCCCAACCGUGCAGUGAUGAUUGUUUCAUUGACUAGUUUGAACAUUUGUUGCUCCAGCCACUGAUCUGGCCGUGUGUUCCUGUUACUUCAUGCAGUCGCUCAAUAAUGCGUUUAUGCCCAUGCUAGUCUGAUAGUAGCAGUUUCCUAGUGCUAGUGGCUCCCAUGAUUACGUCGUAAUCUAUCACUCUCCCUCUUGCUUUGACAAGUGAAAUCUCUUGACAGACUCCAUCCGUCCCCUAAUAUAAAGAAUUUUAACAUUUUGCUUGACCACUUAUCUUAUUAAAAAAUUUAAGCAAAUAUAAAAAACAAAAAGUUAUGCUUAAAAUACUUUGGAUAAUAAAGUAAGUCAAAAAAAUAAUUCUAAUUUUUUAAUAAGACGAAUGAUUAAACAGUACAAGCAAAAUCCCUUAUAUUAGAGGAUGGAGGGAGUAUUAAGGACUCUUUUGACAUAUUUGAUGUUUAGUCCGACGGUGUGCCGUUUACCAUUACCGCAUGUUAGCAGGGAUUCAGAUUGGAUGACAUGGGGUGAAUCUUGGCCCUCCGAAACAAAUCCAACGGCUGAGAUUCGUCCACGUCAUCAUGAGUAAAAGUUUUACUCCUAGUUAAAUUUUUACUCCUGAGUAAAUCUGCGAGUAAAAUGUUUACUCGUGAUGACGUGGAUGAAUGUCAGCCGUUGGAUUUAUUUCAUAGGGCUGAGAUUCACCCUAUGUCACCUUGUGACAUGCCUACCCUAUGUCACCCAAUCCCAAUCCACCUUAGCGGUAAGCACAGUUACUAUGGUAACUGGGUUUACUGUUAGGGUAGGGGAAUGUUAAUCGCAAAGUAACCCUUCCAAAUUUUGAAAGAUAAUUUAAUUUCUUGAUAAAACUUGUCUAUAUUUUUCACGGUUUGUUGUGGUUAUCACAGUUAUGAACUAUUAACUGUGCUUAUUGUCAAUGUCUGGCAAUCUAGCCAUAGCCAUACGGUUCAAAUCAACCGUACGGCUAUGGCUAGAUUUCGUGGAAACUGUUGAUAAAACUGAUAAAAACAGAUGAUAUCCGAACAAAUCUUGUUAUAAAAAAUAAAAUUCAAUUUGUUUUUUGAUUGACUAGAGAAACCGAGUUGUUUGUAUUUUCAACCCGGUUUUUUGUAAACCCAACCAGUGCCUCGUCCAUUGUGAGAAGAAAACACUAACGGUGUGACAGUGAGUGUUUAUAUCAUUAUAUAUGCUGAUUAUAUGGAGAAAAUUGAUAUUUAGCCAUUCUCGGGUUAGGGUUUCGCCAAAAUGCCAUCGCCGAAUGUGGCUUCGUUAUAAUGCCAUCUUCAAACGACUCCAUCUUGCCACACUACCAAUCUACCAUUUCAACCGAUUUUGAUUAUUUGCAAAUGUUUUCCACUGUUUUGCUUAUUUGGUUUGACCCAAAUGCCCUUACCUCAGCCAUGGGGCCCACUUGCCAGGAGCGUCUUCCACCUCUGCCCACCACCAUCCUUCUCUCUCUGGUGAACUCAUGCAACAGUGUUCUCUCUUGACCUCCCUCCUCGGUUGUUCUCGCCCCAAAUUGAAUGCAAAAAUCGGUUCCUCUUGUCCUCAUCAAUUCCCCCAACAAAUCCCACUCAAAUCAGCGUAACUCCGUGGUGUAUUUUGAAGUCCGACUUGAAUAGCAAGCUCCACCAUGACCGGCGUCGAUCUCUCUCCCCGGCGAGGUUGGAGAGCCUGCUCAAGCGGCUGGACGCUGCGGGUGGAGCAGGUCGCUGCCCACAUCGAGGAGCUCAUCAGAGAAGGGGGUGACGCCGUGGCGCGCGGUCCGGUCGAGCACUUGGUGCGCCGUGCCGCCGAGCCGAACCGUCAUCUCCGUCUGCACCGCUGCCUUCCCGUCCCCAGCCAUGCCGCCGCGUCGCCUUCCCUGUUCCCGGUCGCUGUCGCCACCGCCGACAACCUGCGGGUGAACCUGGUGAGCUAUGUUGUCGAGCUGGUGAAUGCGGCGAAGGGCAAGGUGAACAUGGAGUACAUGCGGUUGGUGGUCGACCUCAUGGUGAAGCGCGGUCGGCCGAAACUUCACGAUGGUUCGACGUGGUGAAGGCCAGGUUCGGUGACCUCAACUUCGGGUGGGGGAAGGCGGCGUAUGGCGGGCUGGCGAAGGGCGGGGUCGGCGCCAUUUCCGGUGUGGCCAGCUUCCUCAUCCUGUAGCGGUUCGGCAACGGUCCCGAGCUGCGCCGACGCCGCCCACCAUCUGCAACGAAGAGAGGAAUAGGUACAGAGAGAUGCAAUGGGAACCAAGGGUAUUUUGGUCAUCUUAGCAAGAAAAAAAUCAUUAAACUGAGAAGAGAUGGAUGAAAUAACAUUGCAACAUGUUGCGUCUGUUUGAGGAUGGUAUUUUAGCGAAGCCACAUUCGGUGAUGGCAUUCUGGCGAAACCCCAACCCGAUGAUGGUAAAAUGUCAAUUUUCUCGAAUAUAUGGGCCGUCAAGGAAGACCUCGAAUCCACGGCCCAUGACACGAUGGGCCCUCUCAGGUGGGUGGCAAUCUGUUCCAUCUUCUCCGGCUCUCCAGUGUGCUCUCAACGGGAAACAGGACACAGGCCUUUCUUUGGGAAACAGGAAAAAAAAUGCUAGAACCAGCUGCAAUAUCGCUUAACAAGGUAUAUUGGUGGAUCCAUUUCAUCCCACUUUAUGACCAUGCAAAUUGUUUAAGACAUUUUCUAAUUUACAAUAAUUGUUGGGCGAUCUGCCAUUUAUAGAUCGUCUUAAAUCAUUACAUGGAAAAUGGAACACCUACUUUCGCAGCUUCGCUUCAACAGAUCAAUGCAGCCAGGGCGUCAUUUUGUUUACCGAUGGACAAGGUGACAUGGGUUAAUCCUACGGGUAGAGGUGACAAACGGUGAAAUCUUACACGUGGGAGAAGGAGCCACCAUAUAAAAUAACAAGGACAGUCAAAUGAAACUGGUAAAAAAUAUACACUACUAUAUUAUAUAUAAGGGCAGUAGCAAUGCAAAGCUACGUCAAUGAGAAACCUCAUAUUGCCAAAUAGGAUGAAGCAAUUCAGAACCACACUUUCCAUGGUGCAAGCAGCUUGCUGUGUGACCUAAGAGUAGAUAUUUGCAUUUCAGUCCCUAUUACCUUUAAAUUUACAGUAGUACAAAAUUUUACACUCAACACCCUAAAAUCUACAUAAUAAUAUAUAAUCUCUCCCCAGUCCCCACCUACCGCCGAUUUCUCUCCUCUCCCCACCUACCGCCAUCUGUCCUCACACUCACCGGCGCCGGCGCACCGGGUGGGGAAGCCUAGAAGGGCGGCGGUCGAGGAGCUCCUUGGGCGGCACGGCGACGAGCUCCCUGGCGGCACCGGUCGCUGCCUCUCUGUCAACCCGUCGACGACGCCACCUCCGCUCGAGAUCCGCCACUGGGGCGAUGGCCGGCGGCGUAGAGAUCCACGAGCGGUCGUGGCAGGCGACGGUUGCGGUCAUCGACGGGCUGACGGGAGGGAGGCGCGGUCGUGGCGGGCGGCGGUGGCGGUCGUCGACGGGCUGAUGGGAGGGAGGUCGGCGACGGCGGCAGUGGCGCGGUCGUGGUGGGCCCCGGACGACGGCCACGCUUGGCGCCAUGGCUCUUUGUUCCUAUAGCGAGAUGCGAAAAACCAAUCAGAGCUAUGAGGUCUACUUGCUUUUUCCUCCACGUAGACGAGGUAACGCGCCAUAUACUUGCAUUGUGAAAGACCUAAGGUACCAAUCAGGAGGCUUAUGUACAAGAGUGAAAUUCAUUUGAAGCAAUCAAGAGGCUUCCAAACCUUCAUCAAUUUUUUUAUUUCUUCUAAAAAAAGAGGCUUCCAAUAUUUGGUUAGUUAAUCGACUGAUCAAACCAAGAAGAAAAUAACAAAUGAAGCCUCAACCUUAAGUUCGUACUGGAUUGAGUAACCUCUACAACUAUCUCAUCAAUGAAGUAGUUUCCGGCAAAAUUAAUGUGAGGUCGUUUCUUGCCCUGGACAGUGCACAUACUGAUGAUACGUUAUAGAUAUAUUGACUGGAUAUCUUUAUCUUUACCUACUAUAAGGAAGGCCCUACACGUCGGGCGCCCGAUGCUUCGGGGGAAAAAUCGGGCGCUGACGUCAGCGUUCGAUUUUACGUGCAAAAUUACUUUAAACUGAUUUAUCUCUUAAAUUACUUAUCCAAAUCAUGAUCCAAUUGCACCAUUAAAUUCGUUGCAAUUAAAUCUUCAAAACAAGACCACACAUGGAUAUAUUUUGACGAAAUUUUUUUUAGCUUAUUAUUGAAUUAUUUUUAAACAUUGCACGAUGUUCCACCAGAUAUAUCGGAAUUGUUUCACUAAGUAGAUCGAAAAUGUUUCACUCAUUUAAAUCGGGUGUUAUUUCACCUUAUAUAAAAACAAUGUUUCAGCAAAUAGCGAAAGAAUGUUUCAGUUCACUACACAUUAGAUCUAUACAUAGUGAAACAUUAUGACUACACUAGAUGAAACAUUUUUCGGUGGAACAAAAAAUAAACCAAAUUCCAUUAAUAGGGGGUUUCCAAAAUAUGUGGGUUUUUUUUGCAAUGGAAUGUUUCGUUCAGUGCAACAUUAGAUCUAUACAUAGUGAAACAUUGUGAGUACACUAUGUGAAACAUUUUGGGUGGAACAAAAAAUAAACCAAAUUCCCUUAAUAGAGAGUUUCCAAAAUAUGUGGGUUUUUUUUUUUACAAAAAAGUAUUUUAAUUCACAGCAACAUUAGAUCUAUAAAUAAUGAAACAUUGUAAAUAUACUAGGUGAAACAUCUUUUAUAGAAAAAAGAGGAGCAGAAAUAGGUGGGCCCAAGUAGUCACGUGGAGGGAGGGGGCGCGGGGGGAGUGCCCGAUCCAGCUCCCCCCGCGCCGGGCGACCAGCAAGGAGCAUUUCUAUACCUAAUUAAAAAAUAAGUAAGGCUUCCGGUUGAUUUUUUUGUCCGUCAUUAAAGAGUGGGCCCAUGUGAUUAUUUCGCGGCUAAUCUGUGAAUCCGGAUGCAUUACGGCGAUCUCUGACGCUCCGAAAAAAAAAAGAGAAACGAAAAAAAGAAAAACCUAGCGAGCAGCCCAGCCAAGACGGCAGCAGGCCGGCCCAACAUAAAGCAAACGCGGCCCAGCAGCCAGCCCACAGAACAGAGAAGCAGCAGCCCAGUACAGCAUAGUUAUGUGUGAUACUAUCUAUAUCUAUAACUAAUAUAAAUAUUCGUAUUUUGUUUUCGUCACAUCUAAUUUUCGUCCGUACACAAUCCGAUUUGGUUAGCAAUAGCCAUGGAAAAAAUUGCAAAAAAAAAAAAAUCCGCCGCACCCUGUCAUCGCUACACCGUGCCGGCGAGACAAGAAGGAGAGAGGGAGAGGGAGCGCGGACGUCGUCGACGCCGCCGUUGGGAGGGCGCCGUCUCCGCCGCACCCCGCCGUCACCGCGCUGUGCCGGCGAGAAGGGAGAGAGAAGAGAAGGGAAGCGGUGCUGGUGGGGGGAGAGACGACGCCGGUGGCAGGGGAGGCGGCCGGCUGGGGGGAGGGGGAGAGGCGGGAGAGGGGGAGAGGGAGCGGCGCCGCCGGAGGGGAGGGGAGGGGAAGCGGUGCCGGUGGGGAGAUGGGGAGGGGGAGAGGCGGUGUCGGGACGGGGGAGAGGGAGGCGGCCGGCUUGGCUCGGCUGGGGGGGAGGGAGGGGGAGGGGGAUGGUUAGGGUUAGGGUUCUCAUCAAUUUCAAACUGAUCUGAACCGUCCAUCAAAACGAACGGCUGAGAUCGAUCGAGGGUUUGGGCCGCACCACUUGGGCUGCACCACUUGGGACGCACACGGGCCGGCGGUCCACCAAGUGAGAGGAGGAGUAUGGGGGCAUUAAGUAGACUUUGGUCGCUUGCGGGCUGAAGAAGAAAAUGGGCUGAAAAAGGCUCAUAGAGAAAAAAUAAUUUUUAUUUAAAUAAAUGCUGAAAUGAUAUUUGUAUUAUCAAAAUUAGCAAUUAAGCUAUGUAAAUUCCAAGAAAAUUUCAAUGAAUGUAAUUAAUAUAGAAAAUUUAAUCCAAUCAUAACAUUUUAUUUCUCACACUUACUCUACUUAUAAAUUAAUUUAAUUAUAUACCUACUACUUAAAAAAUACCUAAAUAUGUCAGAAAUUUUGUAUUUCAUUUAAUUAGAAUUUAAUAUGUUUUAAUUCAAUUUUAUCUUUUUUCUUUUCGUUGCAACGCACGAACACUUUUGCUAUAAUUUCAAAGAGUGUAAUUAAUAUUGCAGAAAAUUUAUAUGUCAUUAAAUUAUAAUUCAUUUUCUUCAUAAAAAUAGUUCAAAUCAAAGUUCAGUCACCAUAUUAUUAUCCGGUGCAACGCACGGAUAUUUUGUUAGUCCGUAUAAAGAUUGAAGAUGUUUUUGCUGUAGCUUUUGGUACGUCAUCCGAAUUAAUCUCCGUGUCGAGUUGUUUUUCGCGUUAAUCACCGUUUCCGAUUUCGCAUUGGAUCACAACGCGUGAUGCGGAGGGGUGAAGAUCGCAUCAGACGUGCUUGUCUAACCGAAACGGGCUUGUGCAACAUCUGGUCCUGCCGGUUUGAUGCAGAGCCGGCCAGCCCAUUAACAGCCUAACCACGGCUUUCUCUGUGUAGGUCCUGUUUGGUCAGUCAAACAAAUCUAUAUACCUACCGGUAUUUUUUUGUCCAUUGUUUUUUUCCGUAUGCAUUUUUUUCGCACGGUCCAGCUUUUUUUCCGUCCGACCGGUUUUUUUUCGCACGUGCACGCGGUUUUUUCGCAGGGCCCAGUUUUUAUUCUGUCCGAUUGGUUUCUUUGGGCCCGGUUUUUUCCGGUCCGAAUGGUUUUUUCACGUGGUUUUGUUUUGCCAGGUUUUUCCCCAUCCAAUUUUUUUCCUUUUUUUCCAUCCUAUAUUUUUUCCGAUAAGUUUUUUUGGUGUGCACGGGAUUGAAUCCCAAAUCUAUAUAUAUACCAAAUUUCUACUAUUAUAAAAAUUAAAAAUGUUUCGCCGAUACUUUGGUAUGUCGUCCGUAUUUGAGUCACCUUGCAUGCUAAUUUGGGACAAAAGUCGGACUCCUAAUUAAUUUACAAUUCUCGCCAGACCAUAAGAAACUUUUGCAAAUACAUAAGGAGUCGUAUAAGAAAUCAUUUUAAAAACCUAACAUGCUAACUUGGGACAAAAGUCGGAAUCCUAAUUGAUUUAUAAUUUUCGUCAGACCAUAAGAAAGCAACGUACAAUAUAUGAUCAAUACUAUCAAAAUAAAAAUCCAUAUACUUUUAAGAAAUAAAGUCUAACAAUAAUACGAUUAAAAUAGCCUUCACCCGUUGCAACGCACGGGUAUUUUUUCUAUAUUAUAAAAAUUAAAUAUGUUUUUACCGGUAUUUUGGUAUGUCAUCCGUAUUUGAGUCAGUUUUUAAGUUUGUUCGCUUUUGAAAAAAUAUAGAUCCGUGUUAAAGUCAGAUUUUAAGUUCGUUUGUUUUUAAAAAUAUAAAAGAAGUCGUACAAGAAAUUUCUUUAAAAGAACUUGCAUGCUAACUUGAGAUUAAAGUCAGACUCCUAACUGCAACUCAUGAUUUUCUAAAAAAUAAAUCCAAGCGAAUUCCUAAAUGUCAUCCUAUCUAAACCGUAUAACAAUAAUAAUAUUAAAAUAGCAUUCACCCGUUGUAACGCACGGGUAUUUUUUUAGUCAAGUUUAAAAAUAUAUCUUUGUAUAUAUGUGUAUAGGACACCACCACCUAAGGCUUCUUAUAGGUAGGUCUAUACCUAUAAGACUAUAAGGUAUAAGAGAGUAUAUAAAUAUUUUUACUUUCGCAUGUACUGGAGCACACAAUUACCAAACGUUUGGGCCCGAGAGCACUUAAUUUCACUAGAAACACAAAAGCCCACGUAAAACAUCACAUGGCAAAGUAUGGCACAUGCUGUCCAUGCGAAGCUCCCGUUCCACCUCGUUUAGUCCCACCUCGGAAAACUAGCUUCAGACAGCGCAGCUUAAAUAGCAAGAGCGUCCCACCACCUCCAGCCGAGCUCAGCAGCGCGAGCUUGUAACCCGAGCGGGGGCAUUAAGGUGGUGUGGACGUUGCCGUAUGGCUGCGGGCCUGGGUUGGCAGUGCCAUAGAUGGCCCGCCCGUUCCAAGUUGCGUAGUUGGGCCGGCGGGGCUUGAGCGAAAGCUCUGGCCUCACGUUUCCCUAGAGUGGCAGGCAUUGCGUGAGGCUGGCUUCACAGAGCAGCGAAUACUGUCCGCUUCCAACGGUGGAAGGAUAACGGGCCGCCGCACUGCUGGCCCGCUUGGGUCUCGCAGCCUACUCCAACGGACCACCACUUUUUUUAUUAUUAUUUUCCCAUCUUGUUUGCCUGAAUUUACCUCUAACUGACUUGCUGCCACGCAUGUAGGCCGUCUUUACGGAUCAUGAACACGGGUAUUCUUGAGCGGUAAAAAUCCAACUUGUAUGUAUUUGUACACUUCAUUAUCUAAAAAAGAAUGUAUUUGUACACUUUGUUGUAAACAAUUCGAUGGAACAAAAAAAAACUAAAGCUGGUGAAUUUGUCGUUGAAUCAAGUCCUUUUUAGUUUUUUUUUAGUUUUGCUGAUUGAAGUUCUCUGUUAGGCAUAAUUGGAGCUUAUGUUGUUUUUAGAUUUAAUAUAUUUCAAUUGUUGCACAGACUGGGAUCGCAGGGAAACAUAAUUAUUUAUGCUAAUAUAGUAAACUGGGUUAACAGCAAACUGAAAGCAGCGGGAAGAAGAUCUCAAAUGGAAAGCUUCAAUGUGUUCUUCCUGUAGCCUCCAGUCUCAAUCAUUUAAAUACUACUCCCUCCGUUUCACAAUGUAAGUCAUUUUAGCAUUUCACACAUUCAUAUAGAUAUUAAUGAAUCUAGACAUAUAUAUCUAUCUAGAUUCAUUAACAUCAAUCUAUCUAGAUUCAUUAACAUCAAUAUAAAUGUGAAAAAUGUUAGAAUGACUUACAUUGUGAAACGGAGGGAGUAAUUACAAAUUUAUACUCAUUCUUCUUUCUUGAUGGAAAUGCCAAGUGUAAUACAGGCAGAGCAGCAGUAGUUCAUGGAGCAGGAGGCGUCAGCUUAUUGCCCAUUUUUCUCUUGUUGCUGCUUGCCGUCGACACGCUGAAGCUGUUGGUGUUGUCGUUUGACUUUUUUUAACAGAAAGAAUUUUAUUUAAAAUGAAAUUAUACCCGGCCUCUACAUACAUCCUAGGACUCACACAAGCGAAAAAAAGAAGAAUAUCCUGAGACAAACAUUAAUGUAUCAUGUCAUCAGAUCUUCUAGUCUCUGUUGCCAAAUGUUGAAGAAAUCAGACAAAAAAGGAGAGGCAUCAUUGCUGAAAAGGGGAUCAGCUUGCCUACUGAUGUCAAAAGAAACCGUGCCAUCAGCUCAUCAUCCAGCUUAUGUUGUUCACCAGAUCUCUUAUAAUUCUUGUCACCAGAUCCUUAGACCGGCGAGGAGAAGAACAUCAUAGUUUCUGAAGUCCUGCACUGGUGCUGCGCCACAAGGGACACAAGCAAACCUUGGUGGAUUGCAGAAAAGGUGUGAUUUAGCGAUCAGUUCCGUAGUUAGCUCUCAUAGGAUAAAAAGUGAUAGUAAUUAGUAGGCAAAAUUGGUUAUAUAGCAUCGAAAGUUCACGUUUUUGGUUUUAUAGCACCAAAAGUUACCGGUUCACUUUAAUAGCAUCCAAAGUUCACCCUGUUACCAUUUUUAGCACUUCCGUCAAUUUUUCUAUCCGUCUUGAUCGUUAUUGAUCCAGUCACACACAUGAUAUGACAUUUCUACCUCUCAUUGACAUGCAUUAUACUUGUACUUGUGAGGGGUAGAAACGUCAUAUCGUGUGUGUGGCUGGAUCAAGACGGACGGAAUCCUCCGUUUCACAAUGUAAGUCAUUCUAGCAUUUCCCACAUUCAUAUUGAUGUUGAUGAAUCUAAAUAUAUAUAUAUAUCUAUCUAAAUUCAUUAAAAUCAAUAUGAAUGUGGGAAAUGCUAGAAUGGCUUACAUUGUGAAACGGAGGGAGUACAUAUUUCAAACAUAGAGAAGAUGCAUUGCUACUAUUAUAAGUGCUUAAGAAACAAUGGUCAGUAAAUAUUCAGACUGAAGUUCUCUAAGUUUCAGAUAUGACAUACAUUACUUAGUAAGCUUCUCUUUUCGCAAAUUUUCUGUCGGAUUGCCCGAGUAAAAUUUUCUUUUCUUUUAUAUUUUUCCAAUGACAAGUAGUACUCGUACUUAGUGAGGUUAGAAGUAGACUACUCUUAUGUUCUUACGAUGAAAAGAACUUUUAAGGUAUAAUUUAGUGAUUGUAUAUACAACAUAUUGUGUCUAAAAAGUUCUCAAUAAUCAAACCGUUAAGAAUCGGAAGUACCUCCAAUCAGGGGGCAAGUUCAUCGUGGAACUUCAUGGUUGGUUUAGGGGAGGCCACCGCCGAGAGCCAGAGAUAAAAGAUGGUGUCACCAGUACUCCCUUCACUCCAAAAUAAAUUAAUCUGAUACAAAAUAAAACAUCAUUGAAUAUAAUGAAUUUGAACAAUUAUUCUAUUAUCUAAAAGAAAUGAAUUUGGACAAUGUUUAGUGGGCGCAAGAAAUCUGAAAAAUUGGCUUAUACUAUAAUUAGCUCGGACCAAAUAUCGUGAGCUUUUCUUUUCCUUUUUUUUUAUAGUUUACUCAUUCUCUAUUGAAUAAAGUUGGUAGCUUGCGCAUUAAAAAAUUUAGACAAUGUUUCGUCUUACGGACUAAGGCUAUAUUCUUCUCCCAUCUUUUCCAACUCACCUCUUUCAUGUUCCUUGCACACACUCUUGAAACUGCUAAACGGUACGUUUUUUUCAAAAGGUUUCUACACGAAAGUCAUAUUAAUAUAAAAAAAUCAUAUUAAUCUUUUUUUAAAAUAAUAAUAAUAAAAACUUAAUUAAUCAUAAGAAAAUGCGUCGCUCUAUUUUGCGUACGCGGGAUGUGAGUUCCCAACCUCACCUCCUAAACACAUUCUAAAUUUGUUUCUCCUCUUCCCCCUCUCGUGCUGGGAUGGAUAGAAUAGUCAUUAAUGAAGGUUGAAACUAAGUUUUCUAGUUUUUCCUUUUUGUGUUUGUGUAUAUUGUUCUGUGUGAGGCUCGGAGUCUAAAAACUCGCGCAUGUUUUUGGCAGUAUAUCCUUUGACAUAUAGAGACCGAAUUAAUGAAAAAUUCACUAUUAAAAGUUUUUAGAUUAGUUUAUUUUAGGAUAGGAGUGGAUCUAUAGUUAGCGUCAGCUUUAGGCGACCCGACGACUUCCGACAAAAACUAUGAUUAUACUUAUUCAUAUAUUAUAAUGAUAUAGUCUAAGUAUAAUUAGCAUGUCAUGGUAUCGAUAGAUCUAUUAUAAUACCAAUGAAUUAAUUUCUAUAUCCAUCAUUGUUUUAGGAGAUAGAGGAGAACUGAUAUGACCGUGGCAGAGAGGAAUGGAGCUGGGUUGAUGUGGAUAUCUCCGUGAUCGCUACACCAACACCUCCAGGUUCCGUACUACCGUCCAUGUGCCAAAUUGUGGCGCAAAACCGUACCACUCGGCCACUCCGGCUGUUUCCCGAACAAAAAAUUGUGGCCUAGCCUAGCGUCACCCUCACCGUCCUAGAAAAGCCUUGCGAGCGAGAGAGCGACACGACCCCGCCCGGCCGCCCCUACUCUCCUCCCCGCCUCACCGCGCUGCAGCACGCGCGCGUGGACGUGUCACCCCGCUCCGCUGCACGUGGCCAUAGCCCUCGCUGGCCACGCGCCCCCCGAGCCUUCCAGGCGCGCCGCUCUGCGUACGUGUCCCCUCCUGGUAGAGAACGGCAUCACGGCGCGCCGCGAAUUAUAAGCCGAGCACGAGCACGAGCACGAGCUCCCCUCUCAACGCCAGGGCAAAUGUUACAUCGCGCCUCGCGUCUUUACCCCUCAUGUACUCGCUUCGUUUAGCUAGCAGCGGCAGCACGGGACUCGGCUUCGCGCUCGGCCGGCUCGGCGGGAGGAGUGGCGGCGGCGGCGGCGGUGGUGGUUUAGCGCCCGCGUCGGCGUCGUCGUCGUCGGUGGUAUCCGCUCGCACGAGGAGGACCGUCUCCGUGACGCCCAACGCCGCGGCGCCGACUCCGGGCGAGCAGGGCGUCGCGAUGGAGCAGGGCAAGCAGCAGCACCAGCCACCACCUCCGUCGCAGCCGCAGCCGCAGCAGGAGAAGCGCGGCUCCCGCGACGACGACAUGCACAAGACCACAGGGUACGUACGCACGAGUACACUACGGUUUUGGCGUGAGCGGCUGCGUGCGCCGGAUUUAACCGUGGCGUCUGCGUGUUCGCGUGUGUGCAGGGACGUGAUGACCCACUCUUUCGGGGAGGGAUACUCGACGCGGUCGGACGAGGAAGGGUUCGGUGGCGUGUACGGACAGAACGACCCGGUGUUCAACCCUGGGACCGAGGUGCACCCCAGCCACCCUGGUACGUGCACUGCUGCUAGAUAAAAUUAACGAAUUUGCUAUAUAUUUAUCGAUAAAUUUCCUCAAAAAAUUUGUCAAGAUGCAAUUACAGUACAAUCGUAGUGUAAUUACACUGUAACUUGCAUGUAAUUACACUGUAACUAUAAUGUACAACUUGUAUGUAACUUUCAACAAUCUCUCGGUAAUAUGUUAUUUCAGUAAAAUAGAGGUCAUGGAAACAAAUCCUUUUAUAUAUGUGUGUGCUAUGAUUUUUUUUCUUCCUCACCAGAACAAAUCUUGUAAUAGAUCUAACGAUUCAAAAUUACGUGAAACUUAAAUACAAGUUACAGUGUAAUUACAUACAAGUUACAAUGUAAUUACACUACGAUUGUACUAUAAUUAUAUCUGUCAAAUUUUUAGUAGAAAAUUUGUCGACAAAUGUAUAGGUAGUCCCUAAAAUUAAUUUGACACAUCCUUAAAUAUCCGUCUUGAAAAUAGGUACAUUAAUAAACAUAUCCACUACGAAUCUUGAAUCUGGAAGGAUGUCUAAUGAAGGAUGUCUAAUUUUGUUUCGAGUAAUUUUAUAAUCUUGAGAAGGUACUGUAACGUAUCAAAAAUUAAAAUUUAGUGUAAAAUUUGAUCUCUUUAUAAUUUUACAAUAGAAAAGUGAUACCUCCUUGAGGACUAAAAUUGCCUUUUGUUUUGGUUUAUACCGAGUAGUUGGGAACAGUGGUUACAGGAGGGACGUGAACUUAAUUAUUAAUCUGAAAAUUUGGAUUUUGAUCUCUGUUUUGAUUAAUAACUGGGGUUGCUUUGGUUGUACUGCGAUGUGUGCAGAGUACGACACGUCGCAGGGGUCGGAGGUGAAGGAGAAGGAGAAGGCGCGCCACCAUAAGGACGACAAGCACGCGACCUAAGCCUAGCAGUUGGGGGCUGGAUUAGGUCCUAAUCGUAGUUUAGUCGGGCAUGACGGGGAUCACCCCCAUCAUCACCUGUGCAUCCACGUUGCCCUAUCUUUGAUGGGCACUAGUUGUAUCUUUUGCUUCUGAACUGUUUUGAUGCAUUUGUUUUAUUCCUUAGAUGUGAUGUAAAAUCUCUACAGUACUUAAUUAGCUAUGUACUGGUACUGUGAGUUCUCCAGCGCUUGUGUCUCCUGGUGUGUGUGAUCAUGUAAUGAUGAGUCGAUUCAUAUAUAUACUCCCUCCUCCUCCGUCAUCCCUUCUAUAGGAUUUUCAAAAAACAUCCCUUCUAUAGGAUUUGUAUAAUAAAUCUGUAAUAAAAGAGAUUUUAGGUGGCUUGGAUAUAUUCUGAUUUUAGGUGGAUUGGAUAUAUUCUAGUAUAAUUAAUUUAGGCAGAUAGUUUUUAAAUUUAUUGUAUUUUUAAAUUUAUUGUAUUGGGACGUGUUACGUUCAUAAAAAUCCCUUAUAAGAUCGAAACGGACAUACCAGAUGAGCUACGGCAGAUUCACAAAAAUCCCUUAUAAUUUAGGCUUAAGUGCGCUCCAUGUGAGGCCGCCGCUCUAAUUCGACCGACGACUCUUUAGGGCUCGAAGCUUCUGUAUCGUGAGCCUUUUGGGAAGGGACUCAAGGAGUGAUGGGCUACUCGCUAUAUUCUUCUCGAAAUACUACAUCCAUACUAAAAUGUAAUAAUUUUUAGCUAAACGUAUAACUUUUAGUUAUAAAUCUGAACACAUAAUUAUCUAGAUUCAUAGCUAAAAAUACAUAUUCAUAGCUAAAAUAAUUAAAUGUCCUAAAUGUAACAACUUUUAGCUAUGAAACUUUUAGCUAUGAAUCUGAACUUAGCUAUGAAUCUGAACGUGAACUUAGCUUUUUAGCUAUGAAUCUGAACUUAGCUAUGAAUCUGAACGUGAACUUAGCUAUGAAUCUGAACGUAAAGUUGUUUAUAUUCAUAGCUAAAAAUACUUAAAUUUUAGAUUUUAGGACGGGGGAGUAAGUCGUUAAUGGGCCUCUAUGACACCUAAGAAGCAUUUUCUUCUCGAAAUAAGUGGUGUUUGGAUAAGGGACUAAACUUCAGUACCUUACUCUGGCAAUCCAUGUUUAUGUACCGAGAGAAAAAAAUCACUGUCACGCAUCGAAAGUUUGGACAUUUGGUCUAUUAAAUAUAGACUACUUAUAAAAUUAAUUAUAUAAAUAAGAGCUAAUUCGCACGAUAAAUUUUUUAAACCUAAUUAAUCUAUAGUAAGCACAUGUUUAGUGUAGCAUCAUAUAGGUUAAUUAUGGAUUAAUUAGGCUCAAUAGAUUCGUCUCGCAAAUUAGUCUAGGUUAUUGUCGGUGACAUGGGACCGGGAGUAUCAUGACUAGAGCCUUGAGGCAGACACAAUCGCCCACGUGGCCUGGCACCCUCGGGGGGCGUCGGGCCCGAGGGUGAUGUGUUCGCCCUCCUCUUUGUCUCCCCGAGGGGGUCGGACCGCUCCCGCCUCGGCCCCGAGGGCCGAGGCGCCCCGACCCCUUGUGGGUUUUGCGCCGCGUAUAUGAGGUAGGUGAGCAUAGCGGGGCUCACCUAACCACAUUUAUUGCGGUUUGGACGAGCGCGUCACGCCGCAUGUAACGCAGUGCAGUGCGCUCGUUUAUCCGGUCAGUGACCAGUCACAGACCGAUCAGAUCGUGGGUUAGGUGGCGACAGGCGGUCUGACGCACGCCUCGCCCCAUCCCGUCAGGAUGAGAGCCUCCAAGCACUCGUCCCUAGCCGGAGCCGGCGUGUUAGCUCCUGGAGAUGGCACAUUGGUCCCGGUCAGAUAUAUACCAGGCUUCAUCCUAACCAUUACAAGCAAGACAUUGUAUGAAGAGGGGCGAACAUGCAGAUUGAUAAACUGACGCGUGGUGGACAAGAAUGACCGAUUUGUGACUGGUCUGACACUGGUCAUGUCGUCAGCAGACAGCCAUGUUCCCACGUCGCGCUUGCUUCCGGCGGAAGUGGAGGUAGGUAUGGGCCGUCCCAUCAGAAGGUCAUUCGGACGGCAAUCAUACAAAUCUCCGUCCAUUUAUGAAAAGAUAGGAUAAGUCCCCACAAAAAAGAGAGAGAUGGUGCAUGUGGUAUCCCCUUGAGGUAUAAAAGGAGGACCUUGCCCACUGAGAUGGGGACUGGACUUUUCCAAAUUGGGAACCCAGAACAAGGGAGAGGCUGGCUCAUACCUUGUAGCUCCUUCAUACGCAGAUCACCCAAAACACAGGAGUAGGGUAUUACGCUUCUCAGCGGCCCGAACCUGUAUACAUCGCCCGUGUCUUGUGUGUUUCCGGUCUAGCGAACCUUCCACAUACAGAGAGCUUAGAAUCUCACCCUGAGUCCCCGGCCGAACCGGCAAAGGGGGGCCUGCGCAGUCUCCCGGUGAGGAGCCUCACGCUCCGUCAUCUGGCGCGCCAGGUAGGGGGCUCUGCGAGGGAUUUUCUGAGCUCUCGCACUCUUUCGUGUGCGCCAAGCUUUUCCUGUUCAGCCCAAUGGCCGAGCCAGCAAAGGCACACGACCUCUCCCCGAGUAUGAGCGGUGACGACGGGGAGCCAAACCCACGCCGUCGACCUCGUACUCCACCGCCCCUUCCACGCCAAAGUCCUAGGCGGGAGAAGGCGCUCGAGAGGGCUCAAGGAUCCGCGACUUCGACAUCCACAGGAGGUGGAGAAGGGCGGCGAGAUGGGGAGCGUCGCCUCCUCAUCUACGGCGACGGCAGCACGCCCCAGGGCGCGCUCCAAGCUGCAGGCGCGCUCCUACAUCACCCGCCCGUCGCCCAUGACCCGGAGUCUCCAGCCCAACGUUGGCUGGACGAUUUGGCCAAAUUGGUCAUGACUGCACGGCAGCGCCUAGAUGCUGGUGGGCGGUCCUCCGCCACCAAGGCCUCUGGUGCUGCUACCACCGGCUCCGCGUCGUCAAGACGGAGGGCGCGGCGAGCGGCGGCUGUUGCUCGCCAUUUGGCCGCCACUCCUUCGUCAGCGCCUCCGACCCAGGAAGAUCUGCGUGGGGGGCCGGAUGCCCGCAUCAGUAUCGAGCGCCGGCGUAAUGGCCGACGUGCUGCCCACGCAACGGAGGGCGCCUCCUCGUCCGGAGUGUCACAUCAACACGGACGCGGGGAUCAGCCCUCCGUGCCCCCGGUUGGUGGUGUCGGCUGUAGAGCCUUUGUGGCGAGCCUUCGGAACGUCCGUUGGCCCCCAAGGUUCCGGCCCACCAUCGCCGAAAAAUAUGACGGGAGCGUCAACCCCGCCGAGUUUCUCCAGGUCUACACGACCGGGAUCGAGGCCGCCGGGGGUGACGACAGGGUCAUGGCGAAUUUCUUUCCCAUGGCCCUGAAAGGACAGGCGCGGGGUUGGCUAAUGAACUUGCCACCCGCGUCUGUCCACUCUUGGGAGGAUUUGUGCCAACAGUUCACCAUGAACUUCCAAGGCACAUAUCCGCGCCCAGGUGAGAAAGCAGACUUACAUGCAGUCCAGCGAAGGGAUGAUGAGUCACUUCGCUCAUACAUUCAGCGGUUCUGUCAAGUCCGCAACACCAUACCAUGCAUCCCUGCACAUGCGGUGAUCUACGCGUUCAGGGGGGGUGUGCGGCACAACCGCAUGCUCGAAAAGAUCGCCUCCAAAGAGCCCCAGACUACCGCGGAGCUUUUUCAGCUCGCAGACCGAGUGGCUCGUAAGGAGGAGGCAUGGACCUGGAACCCCUCCGGUUCCGGUGUGGCAGCUUCGGCCGCCCCCGGAUCCGCUGCUCAGACAGGGCGGCGUGACAGGAGGAGGAAGAAGAGGUCAGCCCAUACCGACGACGAGGGUCAUCUCCUCGCCGUCGAGGGUGCUUCGCGGGCCACCCGAAAGGGGAGGCCUGCGAGCGACAAAAAGAAGGAAGCCGACGCUCCCUGACCUCGGCUACUUGGAAGAGCGAAGGUGGCGCGCGGCCCUUCGAGCCGCGCGCAACCAGCAGAGCCUGCGGCGCUACCAUCAGCGCCACGUCCGGGCCCGAUCACUCUGCGUCGACGACCUCGUCCUACGCCGUGUCCAAACGCGUGCUGGACUGAGCAAACUCUCACCAAUGUGGGAGGGUCCGUAUCGAGUGAUCGGCGUCCCCCGGCCGGGCUCCGUUCGGCUGGCCACGGGCGAUGGCACAGAGCUGCCUAACCCAUGGAACAUCGAACACCUUCGUCGCUUCUACCCCUAGUGGGGGUCGGGUGUCAGGUCUUGGGCUCGGGCCAACCCCGCACCCCCCCGGGCGUGCAGGGUUGGCCGGGGGCUUAUCUUUUUUCUCUUCCGUAUUUCAAUAAAAGCAUUUUCGAUUUCCUAAAGGCUGUAUCUGUGCUGUUGUUUCCUUUUGAAGGAUCUUGACUUGAAAUAGGUCACUCGUGUUCAAUCCUGCCCUCGGGGGCUCGGGUCGGCUAAAAUCGCCAAACGGGGCCCAGAACCGAGCCGUGCCCCGGGACGUGGUGAACUCCGGGGGGGAAUCGGCAAAAACCCACAAUCGGGUCACCCAUAACCCUCGGUCACCACGCUCCCGGCCUGGCCAGUCUCGACAUGUGGAUCUCCCCAGGCACUAGCCUUGACCUGCGCCGUUUGAGGCUGGGACCUGGGCACGAGCCCUUGUUCAAGCCAAGACACAAAAGGACCGUGGCACAGACCAUCCUCGUCUCAUACACAGAACAAAUGAAAUUGACACAAAAAUUUCCUCUUUAUUUGAUUGCAGAUUAAAUCAGCCUAUAACAAGAAGAAGGCCCGAAGGCCUCGGAAGAAGAAGGAAAAGAAGAAACUAUUUAAAGAUUGGCGGGGGCCUGGGGGCUCACUCCGAUGCACCCGGGUCGCCAGCCUCGUCGCCACUGUCGGUUUUCCCUUGCUGAUGUGCGCGAUUUGCGACCACCGGGAUUCUGCCCGAAGAGAGAGAGAGCAGGGAGGAGAGGCCCCCGAGCCGAACGGCGGCCCAAGGCCCCCGACGGCCGGAGCUGGCUCUCCGCCUGCUUGUCCGACGGUGCCAGGCGCCCCCGACCCCCAGGAUGGCCCCGAGGCCACUGCGGGAAGGCCGCGCCUGUCGCCCUCUGACCCCGAGGUCGUCGGCACAGAAGCCGAGUGCGCCCCGCGUGGCCUUUCGGAUGGAGAGCGCCCUGGAGAUGUGGCCCCUGACGAAGAAGAUCGGCCCCGCCGAAAGGUGCAGCGGCCCGUCUACUUCGUUAGCGAGGCCCUCCGGGACGCCAAGACCCGAUACCCUCAGGCCCAGAAGAUGCUUUAUGCUAUCCUGAUGGCUUCGAGGAAGUUGCGCCAUUAUUUCCAGGCGCAUCGGGUCACGGUGGUUACGUCUUAUCCCCUCGGCCGAAUCUUGUAUAACCGAGAGGGUACUGGACGGGUGGUGAAAUGGGCAAUCGAACUCUCUGAAUUCGAUUUGCGCUUUGAACCAAGCCACGCGAUCAAGAGCCAGGCCCUCGCCGACUUUGUGGUGGAGUGGACCCCAGCUCCCGAGCUCGUCUCCGUCCCCGAGGCCAGCUCGAGCCCAUCGCAGCUGCCUCACACCGCCCUCUGGGUGAUGUAGUUCGACGGCACCCGUAGGAACCGGCCCUACCUGUCACCAGGCCUUAGAAGUGGCGUCACGCCCGACCGCUUCCCUCGGGGAGGGCGAUCGCCCUGGCAUAACGCCGGGGGCUACUGUCGGUGACAUGGGACCGGGAGUAUCAUGACUAGAGGCUUGAGGCAGACACAAUCGCCCACGUGGCCUGGCACCCUCGGGGGGCGUCGGGCCCGAGGGUGAUGUGUUCGCCCUCCUCUUUGUCUCCCCGAGGGGGUCGGACCGCUCCCGCCUCGGCCCCGAGGGCCGAGGCGCCCCGACCCCUUGUGGGUUUUGCGCCGCGUAUAUGAGGUAGGUGAGCAUAGCGGGGCUCACCUAACCACAUUUAUUGUGGUUUGGACGAGCGCGUCACGCCGCAUGUAACGCAGUGCAGCGCGCUCGUUUAUCCGGUCAGUGACCAGUCACAGACCGAUCAGAUCGUGGGUUAGGUGGCGACAGGCGGUCUGACGCACGCCUCGCCCCAUCCCGUCAGGAUGAGAGCCUCCAAGCACUCGUCCCUAGCCGGAGCCGGCGUGUUAGCUCCUGGAGAUGGCACAUUGGUCCCGGUCAGAUAUAUACCAGGCUUCAUCCUAACCAUUACAAGCAAGACAUUGUAUGAAGAGGGGCGAACAUGCAGAUUGAUAAACUGACGCGUGGUGGACAAGAAUGACCGAUUUGUGACUGGUCUAACACUGGUCAUGUCGUCAGUAGACAGCCAUGUUCCCACGUCGCGCUUGCUUCCGGCGGAAGUGGAGGUAGGUAUGGGCCGUCCCAUCAGAAGGUCAUUCGGACGGCAAUCAUACAAAUCUCCGUCCAUUUAUGAAAAGAUAGGAUAAGUCCCCACAAAAAAGAGAGAGAUGGUGCAUGUGGUAUCCCCUUGAGGUAUAAAAGGAGGACCUUGCCCACUUAGAAGGGGGAUUGGAUUUUUCGGAUGGAGAAGGAUCAGAGAGGGAGAGAGUAAGAGCUCUCUGGUUCUCCAGCUCUUUGUAGCUUCUUCAUACAUAGAUCCACCAAAACACAGGAGUAGGGUAUUACGCUUCUCAGCGGCCCGAACCUGUAUACAUCGCCCGUGUCUUGUGUGUUUCCAUUCUCGUGAACCUUCCACAUACAGAGAGCUUAGAAUCUCACCCUGAGUCCCCGGCCGAACCGGCAAAGGGGGGCCUGCGCGGUCUCCCGGUGGGGAGCCCCACGCUCCGUCAGUUAUGGAAUAGGUUUUUUCAAUAGUCUACAUUUAAUAAUUCUAAGAUGUGAUCGGGGCUAAAACCUUUUAAUCCCAUCUAAACAGCCCCUAAGUCUGGUUGCCAACCGUAAUAUCAAAAAAUUAAUUUAGGGUGUAACUUACAGAAUCAUAUUACAUUCAGUCUUGGAUAAGAAACUAUCUUUGUUCGGUCGGCCAAAAACCACAAUAGUUCCGGUUGCAAUAAAAACCCAGACUAAAGAUGGUUUUUAGUCCCAGUUUAUAAGCAGAACGGGACUAUAUGAUCUUUAGUCCCGGUUCACAUGUUGUCAUGGGCUGUCAGGGCUCUCCGGGAUCUUUAGUCCCUGUUGAAGUUACCAAUAGUGUAUCCGAGAUACACUACUGGAGACCGGGGAGGAGGGGAGGCAGCGGCGGCUGCGCCGGCCGUGGGCAUGAGAGGAGGACGGGCCGGCGGCCGGUAGCGCCGGAUUUUUGUCCUUUCUUUUUUUUAAGAAUUUGUGAUUCAUUGUAUUGAAAUGAAGAAUUUGUGAUUCAUUGGAUGGAUUGAGAUGUAUAAUUUCUUUUUUGAGAAUCUGUGGUCUGAGAUGUAUAAUCUCUGAUGUAUUGAGAUAUUACUUUGAUUUGGGGUUUGAUUCGGGGAUAUGUAUCUCACUCGAUUUGAGAGAAAAUAGUUAGGGAUUAAGUAGUAAGUAUCAAUAGAAACAAUGAAAAAAAAAGAAACUAACCGGAACUGCCUCUGCCUUCUUUAGUCCCGGUUGGUAAAGAUCGAUCUUUAAUCCCGAGUAUUUGAAUCGGGGCUAAAUAUAACGAUCUUUAGUCCCGGAUUCAUAGUCCCAGAUAAAAAACCGGGACUACAGAGAAUUAUAAACUGGGAGUAAAAACGAUCUCUCCACCCGUGAUAGCUGGUUUUGCUAGUGGCAUCCUAAAAUGAAAAGAAGAAAAAUAAAAAACAAGUAGAAGAUCAAGACUCACCUUCUUCUACUCUCCAACUCUUCCCCUCACCCCCACCCACCCCUUCGCCCACUCCUCCCUCUUCACGCCAACAAGUUGCACGUAGAUCGUUACCAACGGCCUCCACCUGGGGCACCUGUUCCAUCGAUCCCGCAUUGCCACCAUUACUGCAAGCUCGAGCUUGGCAAUCACCUUCCCAAGUGCCCGCCGAUCCUGCAUGGCUGCAUCGCCACCAUCACUGCAAGCUCAAGCUUGGCAAUCGCCUUCCCUUCACACGAUAGCUACGGAACAUAGCUGCCGAUCCUGCAUCGCCUUCACCACAGCUAGCUCGAGCUUGGCAAUCGCCUUCCCUUUGCACGAUGGAUGCGGAACAAGGAAGGAUGGGGACGGGGAGCUCCACCCAGAUGACAGUGGCGCCAGAGCAGAGGAGGCACUGUGGGCCGCUUUGGCGCAUCUUUGUCUUUUUGUCUUAUUAUUAUUAUUAUUAUUAGAAUUGGCGCAUCUUGUAUCGACAUCCCAUUUCUCGCAUAGUCGCCUGCCUUCCCUUCUUGCGGCGGGCGCAUAGAGUGGUGUAUCGUGGGUGCUCAUGGUGUCCGUUGUUUGUUCGAAGGACCAUUGACGUCCGGCCCCAGCACCAGGCCUGCGUCUAUCCCUUAGCAGCCUGCGCGGUAGUGUGCCAUGGCUCCAUGCCCUGAGAGGAAAAUGAAUCAUUGGCCAGAGUAAGGGACUAGGAGGAAAGAGAAUCCUGGCCAGAUAGCUACCACUUGCGGCCUUGCAAAUUUAUCACAAAGUGUAAUGGUAGUGUUAAGAUUUAACGCUAAAAUAUAUAGUUUUGCUAUAACUUAUUAAAGCUAUAACGUUAUGAUGUUUUUUUAAUAUGCAGUUCUAUGAUAGAUUUGCUAUAAAAUCUGUAGAUACGCCUUAAAUAUGUAGUAUUGCGAUAGUUUUGGUCAAAUUAUAUGUAAUUUUGUAAAAUUUUACUUUAAAUAUUACUUUUUAAUGUAUAAAUUUGAAUAUUAUUUUUAAUGUAUAAACUUGACAAUAAAUUCUUUGGAUUUUGGACAAUAAAUUCUUUGGAUUUUGGCGAUGUCAAGGGGAAAAAAAUCCCAUGUCACAAGCUUAAUGGCUCUUUUAAAAUGACAAAGAAAUUUAUAAAAUCUAACCAUAUCAUUUAUAAUAGAGUAAAUUUCACAAAACUACAUGUACUUUGGUCAAAUUAUUACAAAACUUUUGUCAAAAAAAUUAUUACAAAACUACAGAUUUAAGAUAAUGUAUCAUAGAACUACAGAUUUAACAAUAAAUUUAUCACAAAUUACAUGUUUAAGGCUAAGUAUCACAAAAAUAUAGAUUUAAUAAUAAAAUUAUCACAAAACUACAUGUUUUGGGAUUUAAAUCGUUAGCAUUAAUGUUAUGUUGGACUUAUAAUUGUUCAAGUUUUGUGAUUAAAUUGUAACUAAACCUGUAGUUUUCAUGAUAUUCCAUUUUAAACAUGUAGCUUUGUGACAAAUUUAGUGUUAAAUCUAUACUUUUAUGAUAAUUUGAUCAAAGUACAUGUAGUUUUGUGAAAUUUAAUCUUUACAAUAUUCAGAACAAACCUUUUAAAUAUAUGUAUUCCGAAAGGAGCAAUGCUAUACGUAAAUAUCUAUCUAAUAUAUUUACGGUGGCAGAGCCACUGACGUUUUGGCGGAACUUCUAAAAAGUAAAAAAAAAAAUUAAACCUAAGCGAUAAUUAUAUUCGACUUUUAAAAUACCAACGAUAAUAAAGAGAAGAUACAAUGGACGGCCGUAGAAGAGUAUAAUGGUAGCGUUUGACGGGACUUAACCCAACACGACAAUGAACUCUAAAAACUAUAAGAUCCAAUUUUUAAAAGUUCCAAGAAAAGUGAAUAGAAACAGUGAAAUAUCGAGCAAAGCAAGUAGGGAAUAAUAAUUGGGUGACUUUUAAAAACUAUAAAAUUAGAAACAUGAUAAUGAUAAGGUUUGAUAUUUUAAAGUCUUAAGAAAACGAGAUAUCUAUUUAAUAAAUUUUAAGUAAAACAUAAUAAAAAAUAUAUAAUUUUAUAGGGUUACUAGCCCGCGCAAGCAAGCUAGUUUUUAUUAAAAAAGCAAAAAGAUGUGAGAUAAUAACUUUAAGAGGUUUAUAAGGCCUAAACCUUCGGUAAUUAUCCACAUCGACGGAUCCUCAUCCUAAUCCGUUCCCUUUGUCCUGUUCCCCCAUCUUUUACACUGUUGCACUCUGCAACCGACGCAUCAACCUCCACCGCCCUUCUUCCCCGCCGUCCCGAGAAAGGAACCGGAAAAAAAAAAUCCCCAAUUCCCCCUACGCCGAGCAGCGGCGUGCCGGCAAUGUCCCUCCGCAAGCGCCAGCGUUCGGCGAGCAGCUCCCGCCUCAGCACCCUCUCCUCCUCGCCGGCUCCCCACACCGCCGCCGCCGCCGCCUCCGCCUCCUCCCCUCCGCUCUCCUUCCCCAACGCCGACCUCGUCCUCCGCCUCCACCUCGACCCCUGCCCCGACGACGACGCGGACCUCGACGCCGGCGAGGAUCACCGCCCCUCCCUCGACCUCCACGUCUCCUCGGCGUCCCUGCUCCGCUCCCGCUACUUCGCCGCUCUCCUCUCCGACCGCUGGAGCCCCGCCCCCACCUCCGCCGCGGGGGGGCACGGCCACCUCUCGCUGGCCGUGGCCGCUCCGCGCUCUGCCUCGCACCCUUUCCACGCCCACGUCGAGGUCGUCCGCCUCCUCCACACCCUCGACUUCGCCGGCGCCAUCCACUCGCCCGCCGACGCCCUCGACAUCCUCCCCGUCGCGCUCCAGCUCCUCUUCGACGCGUGCGUCGAGGCGUGCACGCGGUUCCUCGAGGCGGUACCCUGGUCGCCCGACGAGGAGGCCCGCGUCCUCGAGAUCGCGCCUCUCCUCCCCGCCGAUGAGGCUGCCGACCUCCUCGCUCGGAUCACGCCUCCCCCAGCCGCCUCCGCCUCCGCCGCCGGGGGCGAGGCCGCCAGGUCGCCCUCCGAGGCGAUGCUGCACGGCUUGAUCCACUCCGCCAUCCAUGGGCACCCGGUCCCCGCCGCAACCAAGGCGUUCGUCGCGAUGCUCCUCAAGGACUACCCCUCCCGUGACUGCGUCCAGAAGGUGCUCGACGAGGCGUUCCUGUCACGGCUGGAGACUGUCAAGGAGCUCAUGGGGAAGUAUGCCAGCCCGGAUUUCAGGGUCGCGGUGGACAGCGAUGAGCGGGACGCGAUACAGAGGCUGAACCUGCAGUCCGCGGUAUUGAAUGUGAGACACUUGCUCUGGCUCAUCGAGAGGAUGGUCGAAAUGAGGGUGGCCGGUAAUGCGGUUAAGCUGUGGAGUGAGCAGGCUGCACUGACUGCUGAUCUGCAGAAGUUGCUGAAUGAUGUGGAUAUGUGGAAGAAUAUUACUCCUGGGCUUCCUGUGCUUGUUACCAGAUGCACGCUCAGGUUCGCCAAUUCGGUUGUGAAUGGGGAGACAAUAGUUCCUCGUCAGGUUAGCCUUCUGAGCUGAUAUUUGCCUUGUUAUGAACUUGCAUCCACGAUAGUACUUAAUGAAGGUAUGCUGUGAUGCCAAGUGUUGCAUAUCUGUUCAACGAUCGCUUAGUUCCAAUCUGAUUAUUUCCUUCUGUUGCAAAGCAAAUCAAUAGGUUUGAGUUGUUUAGUACAAGUAUGUUACAUCUGCAGAAGUAAUCCAAUGCUAUAUUUUGACUAAGCCAUUGCUAUGAUUUAUAAUCGAAUGUUCUCAUGAGUAAUCAGUAGUUACUUGUGGUUGUGAUCUGGUAGCAUCAUUUAAAACAAUCUAUCUUCGGACAUAAUCAUCAUUUAUUUCCCAUUGUUUCGUGGUUAGGAUAAACAUGACUUAUGUACUGUUUUUGGGAACAAUUUUACCACGAGGAUCAUAGGUGUAGACAUUCCUUUAUAUUUUUAGUGCAAUAAACUAGUGGCUUUUUCUGGAUAGUUUGGGUGCAUACAUGUGCAUUUUUAAGAGUUCCAGGUUGUUGCUUGAAGUCUUGAGCAUUAGUUUGGAGUUGUUUGCAAUUUGCAUCCAGUAAACAAGUGCUAAAUCUAACUGAACGAAUGUCCAUAUGAGCAAAUAUUAUUUUGAAAGUAGUUAGUAGGCUAAAUUGAGCUUACCCAGAGUUAGUACCUAGAUAGUUAUUUCCAAUUCCCACAGGUUGUCAUACUUCUUCUAUGAUCAUUUUGUUCUGCGGACAGAUUUUUUUAUUGCUCCUCUGUAAUGUAUUCCAUGUUUCUUUUUCUUAGCGCUAUGCUUGUAAUCACUCAUGGUUUUACCAUUUUUAUGUAUGAUCAUUUCAUUCCAUGUUCACAGCUUGUUUGAUAGUUUCUUUGUAUUGACCUCUAUACUAUCUACAAUGGCUGUCUCUGGUUGGUUGCAACUCACUUUUAAGUGUGCCUGGAAGUUUUUAUGUGUGUAUCUGUGUUGGAUCAACUCGGGUGGGUCUAUAGUUUAAUAAGACAGUAAAACUUGAAAUAAUUGUAUCUUUUCAGUGUACAGGAGCAGAAAACUAGACAUGCAUCAAUCUAAAUUCGAUUCAUGUGGAAAUUACUGUGCAUAUCAGUUUGGUGGGUUCAAUAAGAUUUUUCAUUAGUAAUACUUUAAGAGGUUGAGUUGUGAGUUGGAUAAAGGUUACUUUGUUGUACUUGUGUUGUUGUUUAACUUGAUGGGUCUCUAUGAGUAAAAAAAGCAUAUGUCCCUGCCUCCUCAGAUAGCCAAGCUCUCAACUGCGAGGCCUUUGUGUAUAUGUUUUUUUUCUUCUCUCUGGCCAGGCAGAGUUGGUCUAAAAGCAUUUGGCAGAUGGUAGGCCAGCUCUUUUAUGAAUAACUUUGGCAAGAAAAGCUAGCAGGUCAUCCAAAUGAGAUGGGUUUUUCCCGUAGAUCAGUGUAUUAAAGAAAUGCUCAGAUCUGCUAUUGUGCUUGUCUAAGUACCAUGUCAAUCCACUAGGUACACAAUCAACAUCUAGUUGUAUGAUGGCAACAAUGACAAGCACAUUUUACAACCCUGAACUUUCAUGAAUAUAUGCACAAGAAUUAAAAAGUAAAGCUCAACUCAAACUAUACUAUCAAAUUAUGAACUAUCAGAACUGUUCAAUUUUCAACCAUGGUACAGAUAGUUUUGGUUGACAUAACAUUGAUGGUGUGUGGCCUGAGGCUGAGACAGUUUUUUUUGGGACUCAGCUAAUCCUCUUGAUCUCUGGCAUAGCUGAACACACAAUUUUAUCUGAUGAUAUCCUUGUAGCUCUCUGUCUAGUAUUGCCAGAUUUUCCAUGGAGAGCUCAUACUACAUUAUAAUACACGCUUGUAGCUUUGUUCUUGUGUUUAAUUGGGUCUGACAUAUAUGACAUUUCUGCUUCUCAGGUGAGGACGAAGCUUGUCAGAAGUUGGCUUCCUGUCCUAAACGUCUGCAGGAACAUGGUUCAGCCUAUGCAGUGUGGAUACAAGUCACCAAAUUGCCAAGAGCUAGAGGAGACAUUUCUUCAGAUCAUCUCCACCUUGCCUGUCCCAGAUGCUCAGGAGUUGCUGCAACAGUGCCUCGGGUUCUCGACUCGCAACGUCGACGACUGCCCGCACUUGAUCGCAGCCUUCAAGACAUGGUUCAGGCGUGCUGGCCGGGCUCCUCAAGGUGCAGAAAAUUGAGAUGAGCGCUGCAGCUAGUGUCUGCCAACAGUGGGUGCUGUCUUGUGCGAAAUCUCACAUCUAGUUCAAUGUAGUUCCUAACGCUGUUUCUGUACAUUGUUGUACUACCUACCCUAUCUAUUGCCAUGUAAGGUAUAUGAUAUGUACAUAACAACAUUUUUCUGUUCGUGUGAAACAUGUUACCCAAGUGCAGAUGAAUGAUGCACUAAACUAACUAUUCACGCGUGCAAUGUUCUUCCCUUCGGAAUGUGAAUAUAACUUGACGACAAAUGUAUAUUCAGCUGAUGAUUUCUUCUGUUUAUCUGCCGCAAGAACACUGCAGUCCAGUGAGUUUAUCGGUUUCUCUUGUCUACAACUGAGAAUUGCGGUCCCGGUGUAUCACUCAAAUAAGCUCAUAUUUUGUGUUCUGCGAGUUUCAGAAUUCAGACCAUUCUCUUCAAAAGAAUUCAGAUAGUACUACUGAAUUGCUCGUGCUAUUCUCUCGCCAACGUGGCAAAGCAGUAUCCUCUGAUCUGGUUUAUUAAUUCUUUCUCGUUUGCUGGAACAUUUAGUGGAGAACAUGACUAAGUUCAAAAGUCAGAAUUCGGUUUCUUCCUCAUUCCAUUCAGAAUUCUUUUCAUAUAAAAUAGCUGUGGUAAACUCCUAGUCUCUGCAGCAACUAAAGUCUCCCCUUAAAAUAUAGGAUUCAAAUCUGGAAAGAGGUCUACGCACGAAAUGUCACUAUUUCAGCACAAGUCUCAUGUUCUACGUAAGACCCAGAAUGUUUAGUUCUAGAAGGGACAGUGAUUAUGGAAGUUGUUAUGAACCUGAGUUUUAAUCUAAAAGGAGAUUAAAGAUUUAAGACGCUCUCAUCUUUCACUCGCCAAGGACACGUUUUCUACAUUAUUACAGUACAUUACGUUGGGAAGGUUGAUACUUAGCCCAACCCAAAAUACAAGUGGCCAAAAGCAAGCCAAAUUUGAGAGAUUUUAUCUCGUCGUCUUCCUUCACAUCGACAUUACACAAAGGAGGAGGAGAAAAAACAGAAAGAAAGAAAAAAAUGGAAGAAAAAUUGGAACGAAGAAGAGGAAGACACGAGUGACACGCCAUGAAUUCUAGCACCGAAUUGUACACAUGUGCGACGAGCUGCGGCGACGACGAGCCGACGGGACGGUGAGAGCCAUGGCGUGCAACGGCGAGCUAGUAGAAGCCCUGCACCGGCCACCGGCGGUCGGGAUCGGGGAGCCACGACGAGCGCUUCUUCUUCUUGUCCUUCUUGUCCUUGCUGCCGCCGCCGUCCUCGCCGUCGACCUCGGCCUCCUUCUCGCCGUCGGAGCUCUUGGAGUCGCCGUCGGAGGAGCUGCACCCGGCGGCCACGCCGCCGCCGCCUCCUCCGCCGCCGGACUUGUUCCUGGACCGCACGUACUCGAUGAGCCUCCACGCCGCCGGCUUCGGCUGCUGCGACCGCGGCGGGGACGGGGGCUCCUUGGCCGGCUUCUGCGCCUUCCGCUCCGCCGCCUGCAGCUUCGGCGUCCCCGUCGGCGUCGGCGUCUGCGGCUGCGGCAGCUUCUCCGCGGGCGGCGCCGGGGCGUCGCUCUUCAUCAGCGGGUCCGCGUCGUCGGGGAGCCGCGCCGACUGCGACAGCCGCUCGUACUCCGGCAGCGGCACCGUCUCCUCCGACGACGCCCCGCCCUCCUUCCCGCUGCCGACGCAGUCCAUGAGCAGCAGCUGCUGGUGGCUGCCCCCGCCCGCCCUCCGCCUCUGCCGCCGCGCCCUGAACCUCGAUCCCCUGCCGCUUCCGCCGCCGUAGCGCUUCUCCUCCUCCAGCUGCUGCUGCUGCUGCUGCUCCUCCUCGUCAUCUUCCGUGUGAACCAGGACGUCCAUAUUUAUCUCGGCUACUGGCGCCACAAACCAUGCACCGUCUCUCUCUCCCGAUCUCGCGAUCUCGCGUUGGGAGUAUAAAUUUUGCGCAAGUGAUGAUGGGGGUGCAAAUGGAUGGCGAGAGAGGGAGGGGGAAUGGGGGGAAAAGCUGGGGAAUGCCAAGUUUGACAAGGAUUUUUGGCUCGCGAAAUCGCGUUUUUAUUCAAGCGUGUGGGCGUUUGACCCGCGCGCACGGAGGUCGGGGUCGUGGUGGUGGUGGUGGUGGGCGCCGUGGCGAGGUGAUCCAGCCACGCGCAGACGCGCCCGCUUGGCUCGCGUCGCGUGCCGUGGCGUGCGCGUUCGAGGGCGGGGCGCGUAGGUGGAUUUGGACAGUUUUGACGGCGGAGAAACGGCAAGCCAUGGCCUUCUUUACUUGGUGAAAAGAAAAUUUUUUAGUUACAUCAGACGUGACCGGAUAUCAGAAAGGGUUUUUAACACGAAUGAACAAACUAAUUUCAUAACAGCACAUGUGGUUACUGCAGCACUUAUGGUUAAUCAUGGAUUAAUUAGGCUCAAUAGAUUCGUCUCGCGAUUUCCAUGUAAGUUGUGUAAUUAGUUUUUUUAUUUUAUUUAUAUUUAAUGCUUCACGUAUAUAUAAAAAAG